UCAAAUUCCAUGGCUGAAUGUUAGAAUUAACGGCAUGAGAUUGAGGAGGUUGUGUCCAGAAUGAAAUGUCCCCAUGUGUGGUCAUGUUUUGAGUAGGAAGAUACUGACUGGGCACAUUCAUCUCAUGCAAUGGAUGAAAGUCUGAUGAACUUGCACCUACAAUGCUUAUGGCAUUAGAGCUCAGGUAUGGCAUGGCAACAAAUGAAGUCUCUCUCUGACCAUCUUCAUUGUUUGCAAUCACAGGCUGACCAUCUUCAUUGCUUGCAAUCACAGGCCGACCAUCUUCAUUGCUUGCAAUCACAGGCUGAUGCAGACCCACUUCAUCGUUAUCUGGUCUGCUGCUCGAUUCCACCACUGUUUUACCCUUCAUCGCCUUUUGGGCUUCUGAUCUCACUCGGCCAUCAACGUCCUUGCAGUCAUUGAUCCCAUAUCCUCCAACUCCGGCUAAGUGGGCCUUGAUCCUGGUCGCGCUUCCAGCAUAUGAAUUCCCACAGAAGUUGCAGUUCCAGUGUUUGUUAGGCAGCAAUUUCACAUACUUCCAAAAGGGGUCCAUCUCUCUAGGCAUUUUCUCUGUAUCCCACAAAAGAAUGGACACAUAAGUUUCAAGGAAGACCUUUGAAUUUUUUGGGUGAAGAAUGGCGCCGAGGCCUGUAAGAUAUUUAAUUAAUUUUGGACUUAGGAAUUGGGUCAAAAUCUUCAUCAAUCCCCAAUUCUUUUAGAAAAAGGCCCUGCUUCAGUGACUCCCACCAUCAUUUCUACCCAAGUUCUCUUUUCACUCUCGGAUAUGAAGAUGACAUGUUUAACUGGGUUCUGGAAAUUUUGCUCUUUAAAUUUGUAGCUACUUUUAUGUUUAUUUUUUCACUGUUAUCUUAUCUUUGGGAACGUGGUUUUCUUUCUUGUUCAAUGUUCAUGGGUGUGCGCACUCUUUCUUGGGUAAUAUCUCUAUCAUGCACUCUCCCUUCAGCCCCUAAUCUUGCCCCUUGACUCCGCUUACAGCAAAAUUUCAUGACCCAGGCUCAGCUGCACCCUCAAGUUUUUCCAGUUACUUGAGUUCUUUACAAACUAAUUCUAAGGAUACAAGGUAAACUUUCCAGUUUACAAGCAUCAUGUAUGACUUGACCGGUGGCUUCCAAAAGCUAGUUUGAGUUGAGAUUUGCAACGUAGUUCAGACAUGGAUCUAUAGCAUCUGGGACGAAGCACUUGACUGACCGCUCAGCUAAUUAUGAAAUUAAUUUUUUAUAAAGCAAUAGAAGUCUUCGUUCUGGGCUCACCGGCACCACUAUGUAGUAGAGAAUACAUUCCGAUAAAAAGAAAAUCAACAAAACCCAGACAACCCAUAAAUCGACGAUUACGGAGCGACAUAAAGUAGAGGAAUAGAGACCGAAGUGCAAAAAUUUGGGUUCACAGGAGAGAAAUGGGAGAACGAAAAGGGAGUAGAGAGAUUGAGAGAGAGGGAGUACCUCCGAGCUGGUGAGAAGAGGGCUUGGGGUUGAAUCCCUAAGAGAGCGUCCGCGAUGGAAAACAAGGUUAUAGCUGAAGCGGAGUAAAAAACCGGGGGCAACCCUCUGCUUUUGUGCAGAGGAAGGAGCCGAACACCUCGACGAACAUCGGAGACCUGCCUUGGACGAUCUAUAUAUAAUAAUCUUAAAACGUCUAAGACGUCUCAAGAAAAAGGUAAUCUAUAUGUAUUCCGGAUGGGUGGGUCCAUACUUGACUGAGCAAAACGUUUCGACUGUUCAGUAGAAAGUAAGGCCUUUAUUUUUAAUAAUAAAAAUUAAGAAAACGUCUAAAACGCCUUUAGAAAAAGGUGAUUUAUAUAUAUGUAUAUACAUUCCAAAUGGGUGGGUCCAUACUUGACUGAGCAAAACGUUUCGACUGCCCAAGAAAAUAUUCAGUGGUUCGUGCGCGCCACGUCAUCCGCUGACCUGGCGCGCACAAACCACUCACAUACCGAAACCUGUCCCAAGCGGGACCCCCUCGAAAAUGAGAAAAGAGCUCGUUUUCGGCUGGCUCGGCUCGGCUCCUGCAGUAGAAAGGACGGUCAGCGAUUCCUCCCGCUCAAAAUUUUUUCUCUCUCCUCACUUAAAUGGGCGGGUUCUCUCUCUCCUCUCCUCGUGAAAGAAAAAAAACGCUCAGAGCCUCCUCUGUUUCCUUCUCCGCGCAUCCCACCUCCUCCGGCUCCGUCUCCGGCUCCGCCUCCGUCUCCGGCUCCGUCUCCGCCUCCGGACCUCCGCCUCGGCCUGCACCUGCCCAAAAGCGUCGCUGGCCAUCUGCCUCUGCAUCUCGGUCUCGUUCCCGAGCGGCACCAGGCUCCCCGCCGCUGACCGGGCGUUGUCCCUGACGCUGGCCCGCUCGGUCGCGAGGGAGAUCUCGGCGGACUUGGGCGGGGUCGACGGCGCGGCGAAGAAGGAGAGGCCUGCUGCAUUUUCUCUCUCUUUUUUUCAACGGAGCGCGCGCUAUUUCUUCCCGCUUCUGCCUCUCUCUUCCUCAAGCACUCCUCUCCUCUCUGUCCCGAGCCCUCUCACUCACCCCAAGCGCCCCCUCCUCUCUGUCUCGAGCCCUCUCACUCACCCUAAGCGCUUCUCUCCUCGCCUCUGUCCUCGUCGCCGUCAUCGACUUUCCAGCCGUGGCUCCAGAAAUCGCCGGCUGCCGACUGGCCUCUCGAGCUUCUUUGUCUUCUACUCCUUAUUCGGUCCCGAUUUCGGGCCCAAGGAUUUUGAAGCAAAAGAGGUUUGCGAGGCUAGAUAUACUGGUGGCGGACGGCGAGAGCACGAUCGACCUGAGUCGUUACUCUUCGCUCGGUGAUUUCAGGCUCGACGUCGAAGCAGAGAAGGAGGAAGAACAAGAACGAGAUGAAGGAGAAGAAGGAGAAGAUGGGUCCUUGCUUUUCUGCUUCUGGGUUUAUCUCUUGAAGUCCGCCACUUUCCCUUGUACCAUUUUCCGUCAGGUAGAGGAAAGCCGCCGUUUUUCCAUCUUUUUUUCGUCCCUUUUUGGUUCGUUGGUUUUUGAUGGGAGGGACGGUGUUCGUUUCUCAAUUCUGUGAAUUUUUUUAUGUUUGGAGAGGUUGGGUGUUAUGAGUUGCUUGUUUGGCGGUUGUUUUAGUGAUUGAUCACUCACCGGUUGUUGGAUUUUGUGAUUUGAAGGGAUGCUUUGCGUUGGUUUGGAUCGAUCACCAUUGCUCGGCUCUCGGGUUGUGUCUGUUGGUCUGAUUACGAUGAGUUUGAAUUAUUGUGGAAUUUUCCCAAGAGUGUCUUUUCACGUUCACUGAAGUUUAUUGCUGUGUUGUUCCUGUUAGAUGGUAUAUUGAGUGUCAAUGCCUGUUGGUGGAACCAAAGCUUAUUGAUUUUCGUGGAUUUGUCUGGGAUCAAUCCUUUGUAAUGCGUCAAGUCUUGUUUUUUUUUUUUCCGUCCCCUAUCGCAAUCUAUCUUGGUUUGUGACACAAGGGACUAGUAAAAAAUGGUGAUUAAGGGAUGAUGUAUACCAUAAUCACAAAUAGUGUUGCCUGUCACUUCUCUUUUCAGCUCAAAGUUCUAUGGUUAAUGGGGUUAAAAAUAUUCUUUCACACAGGUGAACUCAGAUGUCAAGGAUGGUUUUCCAAUUCUCGUUUUGAAUGGAGAUAAGAGACUCACGCUUCUGCCACUGCUUCCUCCACAAAAAGAAUCUCCUGAUUCUGAGGUUUCUCCUUUUUCAAGUGAAAAAUUGUACGCUUCUUCAGAUAGCGAGUUUCCAUCUGGAAAAUGGGUCCAUGUUGGCUGUCAGGUAUGUAUAUCAAGUGUCUGAAUUACUCUUUCUACACAUGGUUUUUAAACUGCUCGUUCCUUUUGAGUUGAUAACUGCUGAAAUUUUUAUGGCUAUAGCUGAGCACAUUAAUGUCUGUCAUGUUUACCACUUAUUGGUUUGAGCUGUCGAGCUGUCGAACUGAAGCAAGUUGUUACUGAACAUUUUAUCUGUCUGUUUUACCUUUAACCAAUCAUUUUCAGAUGUAAUUGGAAUUGUAUGAAUGGUGCAUGAUCUUCAAAUAUAUAAAAGUAAGGCGUAUUGGAUAGAUAUUCAUAUAGCACGUAGAACUGUUGCACUUUCAAUGUGACUGAAAAGAACAAGCUUUUAUAGAGUACAUACAUGGAGUAUGAUUCUAUUCAUAUUCAUUGGAGUGCCUGUGAUUAACUAAUUGCAUGCAUUAUCUGGAGGAUCUUGGACAAGAAUUGUUAUCUGCAAAAUUUCAUGUAAGUCUAUGUCUCUCAUUGUUGGUCUGAUGAAAGAGAUAAAGUAGAAUUUUAGAUUGCACAAAUGGUGCUCAACCGAAAGUCUCUUGUCAAUCUUAUGAUGUCAUUGUCUUUCCUAAGUUUCUUACUCUCAGGGCCUUUUUCCCUUUGUAAAUUGCUCAAAGUUCUAUCUUCAUGGCAGGUCUCAAGUGAACUUUUACGGCUUCACAUUGACGGGGAAGUGGUGGAUGAGAAGCCCCUAAGUGCCACAAAAGAUGGAGAACCUAGCCCUUUAAGGAAAAUAAGUUUGGUUAGUACCAGUGGAACUGAUGAUGGUAUAGAAGGUUAUUUAUACAGUCCAAAGGUCUUGCACCCUUCUUCAUCCAUUGAGGAUCAUUAUAAGGUACCUUCUGUCGAGUUUGUUUGACCUUAUUCAUGUGGAUAUGAUUUCUUUAAUGAAUAUUUUCCUGUAAUGCCAGGACUCACCUGUACACUUAGCUAUUGACAAGUCAUUUGCUUCUGACAUAGAAGAAGGUAGUGAUGGUAUCUGGAGUAUCGUGGGUGGAAAGGUAAGUCGUUGUAUCUUCCUUUUAAUCCUAUCGCCACUACAUUUUUUAAAAUUUUUUUUUUUGACAAAAUCUAAUUGAGUGUCACCUCCAGUGUUAAGCAUUUGUCGUUGAACUGCCUUGACGAAGUUGAAUCUUUUUUCUGUGACGUCAGGAAGCAAUAUUUCUAUAUUAAUAGCUUCCGACUUUUUUGUUGUUUUUCUUUCAAUAGAAAAAAGUUGGCUCUAAAGCUGCCUCUUUGGAAAAAGUAUCAAUUUCUGAUAUGGCUUAAGUAUUUGCAAUUUCAGCUUUUCCAAUUGUUUCCCGUUGUGCUUCCAAAGCAAGAUUGCGAAUUGGAGAUUCCUUGUAAUUGUCCAUCCAAAAUGAAUUUAUAUUAAUGAUUGACUGACUGGGUCAUAGCUUUCCUUGCAAGUGUGUCUGGGAAAUGAGACGGGCGGAGAAAGCUUACUCAAUGGUGUUUUACAUUCAGCGUGGUUGUAUGAGUCUGUUCUUCCUUCUUUGAAACCCAAUAGGCUCCUUAUAUGCAAUGUUCAAUUUGCUCCUUAAAAGUCAGGUGCCAUGCUCUAGCUACGGCCUUCUUCCAAUAUGCAGUGACAAUUGGUUUACUGAAUUGCAGGCAUCGUGUCGGAGGAACUUUGUGUUGGAUGUUGUCUUGCUAGAUGCCUUUGGCCAGAUUGUGAAUAAGGAAAUGGAGGUUUGCUUCUUCUUGCUUCUUACUGUGGCUCUCUCUCUCUCUCUCUCUCUCUCUCACCAACCCCACCUAAAAACAACUAUCAUAAGAGAAAAAAAGGAAAAAAAAGAAAAAAAUCAUAGAUAAGAUGCAGUUAAUAAUUGACUUUUUUUUGUGUUUCUUUUUUGGUAGGUUGUUGCUUCACUUUUGUAUGCUAACAGUGGGUCACUGGUGGAGAAAACCAGUGAUGAUGAAGCCCCGCCGUUGACAAGCUAUGAUGGAAUCGAAUUCGAUUCCUAUGAGAAACCUAGCAAAUUAUUGCAUGGCCACGCUUCUUUUAAGCUCAAGAUAUCUCAGGUAGAUGUUGGUUGGGUGAUUUGUACUCUUUCGAAGUCCACUGGAAAUGGAGUGGAGUUCCUCAACCGCCACCUUUCGGCAAAGCUCUUCCAUGACAAGGAGAGCUUGCACCCUCUGCUUGAGUUCCUUCAAGUUCAUUGCUACAAAGGAAAGGUAAGCCCAUGGGCAGAUAACACUCAUCUCACUCUCUCGGAUCUACUUCUUAUGCGCCGCGUGUAUCACUCAAUUGUAUUAACAAGAUUGUGUAAAUGACAACUCAGAGGAAACAUUGCAACAUUCACAUAACUUCAUGACUGUUGAAAGGACAGUUCAGAGUUGCUCAUAUUUUAGAUGCAUGGACUGAAUCCUUUUUUUUUUCACUAACAAUUACUUGAGACUCAUUUAUGCUGAUCUGUGAUGCAGAACGUGAUGGUCAACACAAGAAUUCAAAAUGUCUUCUCGCCCCAACAUGUCCUGAGGAAGGCAGAGGAGUACCUCUCUGCCCUCAAACCUGAGACACCUCACUCUCAGUUCGAGCACAAGUUUCAGGAAAUUGGGCUAGAGAGGGGCUGGGGGCGACACCGCCGAGCGUGUGCUUGAAAUGAUUCGGCUUCUUCUGGAUCUACUUGAGGCUCCCGAUCCAUGCACCCUCGAGAAUUUCUUGGGAAGAAUCCCCAGGGUCUUUAACGUUGUUAUCAUGUCGCCUCACGGUUACUUUGCCCAAGACGAUGUCCUUGGAUAUCCCGAUACCGGUGGCCAGGUCAUUAAUCGUCUCAAAUAUUGAUUUAGCAUCUCUUGCCAGUAUUUCUACAUGCAAUUCCAUCAUCAUGCGUUGUUCACAUUUUGUAGGUUGUGUACAUCUUGGACCAAGUUCGUGCAUUGGAGAGUGAGAUGCUUCACUGUAUCAAACAACGAGGGCUGGAUAUUACUCCUCGGAUCCUCAUCGUAGAUUCUUGCUUUUUUACUGAUAUUGGAAUAGUUUUUUGCUGGUCAAUCCAACUAACUCGUUAUGUUUGUUUUGUGUCCUGCCCCUCUUGGCUGCAGGUCACUCGUCUUCUUCCUGAUGCAGUAGGAACCACGUGCAACCAGCGUCUUGAAAAGGUUUUUGGAACAGAAUACUCCUACAUUCUUCGAGUUCCCUUUAGAACGGAGAAAGGGAUGGUGUGAAAGCGGAUUUCACGAUUUGAAGUGUGGCCUUACUUGGAAACAUACACCGAGGUAUAUUAGCUCAUAAGAUUAUACUUUACGAGGAUUUCUUGUUGACAUUCCAAUCGCUUUUACACUUCCUGGACUGUACCGAGUCGUCCAUGGCGUUGAUGUUUUUGAUCCCAAAUUCAACAUCGUGUCACCAGGAGCUGAUAUGAGCAUUUAUUUCUCCUACACGGAGGAGAAGCGGAGGUUGAAAUCUUUCCAUGCUGAGAUCGAAGAACUUCUGUUCAGCGAUGUGGAGAACAAGGAACACCUGUGAGUUUUUGGAGUUUUUUUCCCCUCCCAUACUGGACUUGGACCUACAUUAGCAUCCUGUGUUUUGCAUGAUAAUGUUCAAGCUCAAACAAAAGCUGACAUGGAUGUGUUGGUUAAUGUCAAAACAGAUGCGUAUUGAAGGACUGGAACAAGCCAAUCUUGUUCACCAUGGCAAGACUGGACCGGGUCAAGAACUUAACCGGGCUGGUCGAGUGGUACGGAAAGAAAACCCGCCUGAGAGAGCUGAUCAACUUGGUUGUGGUCGGUGGUGACCGAAUGAAGGAAUCUUAGGACUAGGAACAGCAAGCCGAGAUGAAAAAGAUGUACGGGCUGAUUGAGACGUACAAUUUGAAUGGCCAGUUCAGGUGGAUCUCCUUCCAGAUGAACCGGGUGAGGAAUCGAGAGCUUUACUGGUACAUCUGCGACAUGAGGGGAGCAUUUGUGCAGCCCGCUCUCUACGAGGCUUUUGGACUGACCGUGGUGGAGGCCAUGACAUGUGGAUUGCCGACCUUUGCAACUUGCAAAGGCGGUCAGAUCAUUGCGCACGUCAAGUCUGGAUUCCACAUUGAUCCUUAUCACAGGGAUCAGGCAGCGGAGAUCCUCGCGGACUUCUUCGAGAAGUGCAAGGUGGACCCAAGCCACUGGGACAAGAUCUCACAGGGGGCGAUGCAGAGAAUUGAGGAGAAGUAAGGACCGGGAUUCUUGUUAGGUUCAAUCUUUGAUAGGAAAAAAGAGCACAUUUCAACUUGUUCAAGAAACAAGUGGGUAACAUGUGGUGCUUUGUUUUUGGUAGGUAUACAUGGCAAAUUUACUUCGAGAGGCUGCUCAACUUGACGGCGCUGUACGGCUUCUGGAAGCACGUCUUGAAUCUCGAUCGUCUCGAGAGCCUCCGCUACCUGGAAAUGUUCUAUGCCCUAAAGUAUCGGAAAUUGGUAAGAGACUCGGCUUCUCAUCUGAUCAUGAGCGCGACAAUCUGCAUGCAUAUCUUGACUCCUUGUUCGGAUAUUCACACUGCUCCUUUGUCUUGACAGGCUGAGUCGGUUCCCCUUGCCGUUGAGUGAGUUAGAGGUGAACAAAAGGGCAGAUCUCAAGAGGCAGACAGCUCCAAAUUCUCUCGAGAGUUGAGGAAUAAUUGCCAUUGCAUUGGAUUGGAAGAGAGCCUUUUCUUUUGCUUUUCUUUUUGCAACUGCUUUCGUCAAUCUUUCUUUUGCUUCUCUCUGCUGUGAAUGUAUGUUGGGUUAGGUUCUUCAAAAAGUCAAUUCAAUGAAUUCACGUUCAACCAUUUUUCCUUCGCUUUUAAGCUAGCAAUGUGCAUCCAAAUGUGUUGCAUCGACACAACACAUUGUCAAAAUUGCCUUCUAUUUCUGAGGUAUUCUAUUUCUAUCUACACCUUCAUGUGUAAAAGAAGAAAAAAACUGGCGGAGGCUAAAACCAUCUCCCAUUACCGAUGCGCCUACCCAGAAAUAGAAUGCAAAGAGUUCCAUACCCUCCAAAUCGUGCAUCAAUCCACUAGUCAUGUAGCUACUCCCGUAUGGGUCUUGUAAGUUCCUUUUUCAUGGCGGCUUCUCUUGGAUAGAACAUAAUUGCCAGCACCAAAGAGAAUGUAAGGCCAACUAUCCCGCCAAAUGGUUGGAAAGGAUGAGUCCCCGUUAUCCAAAGGGGGAAGUUGGGGUUGUAGAUCAAAAAGCCACCUGAUUGUAGAGUGCAACUUGAGACUAAUAUCCCUGCGUGGAGCCCAAUUGGAACACAGGCUACCUUCACCGAUUUGUUGAAGCCCGGCCAAGCUUAGUGAUAAGAGCCACAGCCCAGGUAUUGCCCAUGGAGACCUGAAAUGCGGCGGAUAAGUCAAGUAUCUUUGAUGUUGACUCAAAGGGAAGAUCAGGUCAGAAGCAAAUUGAUCAAGUGCAUGACGGAAACAUGAACCAGGUUCCAAGCAGAUGCUUUAACCUAAAAGAGAAAGGAUGAAAGAUCAAGCUAAGAAGAAAGAACGUUGUCCUCAUUGUAGCUGCUAAAGAAUGUGACAUGACACUAACAGAUCUAAGCCUUUCAAGAAGGCAAGUUUGGCAAGUCAUAAGUUUGCCUUCAUUGUCAGAAUGUUUAUUAUGUAAACUUCUCUCGAUAAAAAAACAAAAAAUUUGCAAGCAUGUUCAAUCUAGAACCAAGAUUUUAGUAAGAACAGGUUAGCAGUGUUGCAUGAUUACUUUAAAAUAGAAAAGGGUGGUCACCAAGUUAAAACCUGAUUUCCAGGAGUGCUGAUUUACUUGUCAUAUUUUGAGUAACAUGCUUUUCCUGGCCCCAAUAGACAUUUUCCCGCAACAAAUGAAGAACAGAAAACUGAAGGAGAAAAUCCAAGGACAAAAAUGAGUCAAAAAGUUGGAAGGAACAUGACUUCAUUAAAGCAGUGUACCUCCGGAACAGGGAGAAUGCAAGCCCUGACAAAAUAAUUCCCGGGUGAUAUCCAAGAUCAGCAGCAAUGUCUUCAGUUAACCAUGAUCUGAAAAGCAACUCUUCCGAAAGGGCAACAGAAGUUGCUGUAACAGCACCUCGACCGACCAAGAUGAGAAUUUGCCCAUAUGACUUGAGCCUUGUCAUGGCAUCUAAUGACAAUGAAUGAAGACUUGGAGGCCAAGAAAAACUCACGCAGCCUAAUAAUGAAUUAACAUACUGUACAUCAUCAACAGGGGCUUUGCUUAAUCAACGAAAAAGAAGGCAAGGCAUAUGCCUUGGCAUGGACAUACAAUACCAGUCCAGCAACUAAUGACAGCACAAUUGCUUUUCCUCUAACCACAAACAGCACGAUUUUUUGAAUCAUAUAAAAAUCUAUUGAACAACUACAAGAAAACAUAUUUUCACUAAAUCCAAUAGACACAAGGAUGGAUUGGGUGCCCCUAUGGCUUCAAUACAUCCAUGACAAGUCUUGCCUGAAAGAAACAGAUUCUGCAGCACCUUGAAGGCCCCUUUCUGAAAUCUGAGGACAAUCUUCCACCACAAGCAACUCUAACUUUUGUGAUCCCACAAGUGGCUUCAGGCCAUCAUCGGUGACUCCUAGGCACUUUACCAAUCGCAAGGUCCGCAAAGAAGGAAAGCGGAUAACAUGCUGCAGUCCCUCGUCACUUACCUCUUGGCAUCUGACAAACUGCAAGAACUCCAAAUACUGAGCAGAGCACAGUGCCUACGAGCUUGCUUUUCUUCUUAUCCAUGUUUCUACCACCCCACUCAACAGUUUCUUUAAGUGUUCCCCAUUCCUUGAGCAGCUUUAGGGCACCCGACAGCCCUAACCCCACUGCAGCUUCAUGAAUUGUCUCAUCCAGAACAACUUCCUCCUCACCCUCAUUAACAGGACCUUCAUCAUUACCAAAUUCUUUAACUUCUGUCCAGCGUCCGGGCUCAUCUUAUACUUCAUUAUCUGCUUUCGUCUCAUCCAUGAAGACAUCUUCUGUGACAGGCUUAUGAGAAACUGGAACGAGGGGUAAUGGCACAAUUUCAGUAACUUGAUAAGAAAAUAACAUCACAUAUUCUUUCAGACACCAAAGACCAUAUCAAGCAAUUGGUGGAUAUAACACUGAUUUGAAGAGGAAGUAACUUCAAUUACAUGAAUGAAAUCUCAAAAUUGCAAUGCAAGCCCAAUAUGCAUGUCCCUCUCCCUUUCUCAGUAGAACCAACAUCAUUCUUAGCCAGCAUAUAUCCUGAAAACUAACCGUGGUUUUAAAACUAAGCAACUCCAAUAUGGCCAAAACAGUUGAAUAAGUCCACCGCUCUUCAAGACAGCAAUCCCCUCGACCAGCGAUUAGGAAUUUAGUUUGGAAGUUAAAAUGCAUCCCAAAUAAACAAGCUACUGUGACUGCAUGAGCAACAGACUGCAAGUUGUAUGUGAAAAGUUCACUUGUUUGCAAGUUGUCCAGGAUGUUGUUCAAUGAGGCACAUCAAGUGCACUGCUUGUUCGCACAUACACAGAAGGCAAAUUCUAAAAUAAGUCACUCACAAACAAUCUUUCAGUAUGCAUACAGUGAAAGAACAAGAAAUGUUGCUCAUUGACCAUCCAAACAAUACCAGGAUUCUAAACUAAACAGCCAACUUAAACUAGUUUUGACCCAAUAAGCAGCAAUGCUAUCCAAAUCAGCAAAAGGCAGUAAUUUGAAAAAUCUGGAGAACAAAAUAAGGGUUCCACAGUUCAGAAAGAAAAUGUGAUCGCAAAUUGUCCAGGCCAACACAGAAUUAAUCGAAUGUAUACCUUCAUCAACCUCGAGGCCUGAAACAAAACCUUCUAUUUCUGUCAUGACAACCCUGCUUUCCUGUGAUUCUCCAAUCACGACACUCUGAUUUUCUGCAUUUUGUGCGCUGGGAAUGCUACUGGCACGAAGAGCUAUCGCUUUAGGACCAGAAGCCCCCUCCUCUUCUUGCUUCUUUAGAGCCAAUUUCCUAGCUCUCUCUAAAGAUUUAUAAAGAUCUUCAUCAUCAUCAGCAACGACCAUGUUUUCGUCAUUCUCCGUCUUAACAGGAAGAGUUUGCUCCACCCGCAGUAACCUAGAUGCCUCCUCUGCUUUAGCAUAGGCCAAUUGGUAGGCAUUCUUUCUCAUCUCAGCCUCGAUUUUCUCUUGUUCCUCUCUGCUAGCCUGCCUCCUCCCAUCCUUACGUGAUCCAAGAUCUCCAACACCCAACCCUGCCGAAACUGCUUCCACUUCAAGGGCAUCUAAGUCCAACUUCUCUUUCUUCCGUAAGGAUUUCUUUUUCUUGGGCUUUCUGAAUCGAAGCAAUUCUUCUUGAGUGUAUUAAUUGGACGAGGUCUUGGCAGAUGAGGUGAGAUCUUUACAAUGACUAUUUGAAUAAACACCCUGUAGCCUCCUUCUUAGCUGUAUAUGAAGUACAUGAAACUUUUUUAGAACGACCAAGCAGACCUCAUUCCUAUUCUAACUAAUGCUGAACCACAAUAUGCAUAAAAACUAGUUACCUCUUCCAAUUUCCUUUCAGCUUAUAGGUCAAACAUCCACUUGAGUCAAGAGGUACCCCUGAAACCAUCAAAAGAAGUGGGAACGCAAUAGCUAGAUAUGACACUUGUAAUCAGAAAAGAGAAAAAAAACUAACCUCAUCUUGAGCCGGAUCGUCAUAUUGUGGUAGUAUUUUCUUCUCUGAUGCAGGGUCAUCACUGAAUCUAAAAAUGACAGUGCUAAUAAUAAGUUGAGUGUAUGCAUAUACCAAUAGGGAAACCGAGAUGCAAGUGUGGGACAAAGACAUGUGACAUGCAAUACACAGUUAAUGCACCUGCCUAACAUCUGGUCUAUGUUUGUCAAACAUAUGAACUUGAUUGAAUCCAUACCUUCUGCAUUGACAUCAAAUCCAGCCCAUAUUGCUUAAGGGGAUAUUCAUACCCACGGAUCCGCUUGCCCCAUAACAUAACAAGUAUCGUAACAGCAAUGUAAAGGCCAAAAAUGCAAGCAAAAUCAGCAAUUCCGGAGGAGCUAUGCGACAUCCAGCUCUGCACAAGUGUUGGAAAUAGAGGAACAACAACAGGCGACCAGAGAACAAGAACCAUGGCAACGAACCCCACAAUCCUGAGAAUAUCCCAGCAGAAAAUUGCUCAGAAUAUAUAGCAAAUUGCAGAAUAGACUUGGGAACCCAUUCAAACUACAGAAACUAGAAAAAGUGAUAUAAAGAACAUGUGUUUUCGAAAGAAUUCUAAGAUAUCACAUUCCGUGUGCAAUAUCUGUUCCAGGCCAGGGAAGAUUAUUGUUGAUUUCUUAACAUGUGUUACCUUUGCAUCAAAAAAUACAGAUCUCUUAGUUGAAAAAAACUAUCUGGAGGAGCUGUUCAAGACGGGAAACAAUGUGAGAAUCUGACUAAGUUCUAUGGAUUAUUUUGCCUGUCAGACCACAUUUACCAGAAAUCUGAAGCGACUAAGGGAAGAUUAUUGUUGAUUCCUCAGCUCACACUUUCUGGAGCGACUAAGACAAUGUUCACAUUUACCAGAAAUCUGACACAGGCAACUAUGAUAGCAAACCGAUAAAAAAAAAAAAAAAAACACAAGGAACUACAGCCUCUCUUACCACACGGAGAGCAACAACGAACGGAAUUCUAGAACUGACCUUACCGCUGACCACGUCGGCAGCGAAAUUACAGACGGCGUCGAGCGUGCUCUCAAUCUGCACCUUCAGGAUCCAGUCGGCGCGAGAUCCGACUUCCUCAACCAGUGGUGCCCGACCAUGGGCCCUCGUCCGGGUUCGCCAUCGCACCCUUCUCCAGCUCCUCCAUCUCCUUGAACGCGGCCUGGAACUGGGGCUCCAUCUCCUCCAUGAACUCGUCCGUGAAGCCAAUCCGGCUCACGUCCAGGAAAAGCCCUAGCUCCCGGUGCUGGUACAGUCGGUUCACGUACCUCCUCCACAGCAAGCGGCAAUCCUUCUCCAGCCCGCGCCUCUCCUUCUUCUCCGCGCCGUCGACCCCACCCAGGUCCGCCGAGAUCUCUCUCGCGACCGAGCGGGCCAGCGUCAGGAACAACGGCCAGUCAGCGGCGGGGAGCCUGGUGCCGCUCGGGAACGAGACCGAGGCCGCCUUCCUCUUGCCGGAGGCCGAUGGCUUCGCGGCGGAGGCCGGCGGGAAUCCUUCUCCAGCCCGCGCCUCUCCCUCUUCGCCGCGCCGUCGACCCCGCCCAAGUCCGCCGAGAUCUCCCUCGCGACCGAGCGGGCCAGCGUCAGGGACAACGCCCGGUCAGCGGCGGGGAGCCUGGUGCCGCUCGGGAACGAGACCGAGAUGCAGAGGCAGAUGGCCAGCGACGCUUUUGGGCAGGUGCAGGCCGAGGCGGAGGUCCGGAGGCGGAGACGGAGCCGGAGACGGAGGCGGAGCCGGAGACGGAGGCGGAGCCGGAGACGGAGCCGGAGGAGGUGGGAUGCGCGGAGAAGGAAACAGAGGAGGCUCUGAGCGUUUUUUUUCUUUCACGAGGAGAGGAGAGAGAGAACCCGCCCAUUUAAGUGAGGAGAGAGAAAAAAUUUUGAGCGGGAGGAAUCGCUGACCGUCCUUUCUACUGCAGGAGCCGAGCCGAGCCAGCCGAAAACGAGCUCUUUUCUCAUUUUCGAGGGGGUCCCGCUUGGGACAGGUUUCGGUAUGUGAGUGGUUUGUGCGCGCCAGGUCAGCGGAUGACGUGGCGCGCACGAACCACUGAAUAUUUUCUUGGGCAGUAGAAAGUAAGACCUUUAUUUAUAAUAAUAAAAUUAAGAAAACGUCUAAAACGCCUCGAGAAAAAGGUAAUCUACAUAUAUGUAUAUAUAUUCCGGAUGGGGGGUUGUACUUGUACUGACUAGGCAAAACGUUUUCACUGCCCCAUAGAAAAUCUAUCACUUUUUUUUGGAAAAAAAUCUAUUAUUGACUCCACAACAAAUUCAGUCGACGAAUGUUAAUAUGCCUAGAUUAUUAGAAGUAUUUUGAUCAUAUUUCUGACUAUCACAAAAUUUCAAUCAGCAUUUAAGCACCGAAAAAAAAAAAAAGGAUCCUUCACGAGUCCGCUUAAGGUUGGUUGACCCAAAGCAACGUGAAAAUUUGUGGGUCCGAGUUGAAUAGACUCGAUUUUUUGGCAGGUUGGGAAAAAUGUUUCCAGAGUGGAUUUCCUUUUUUUUUUUAUUAUUGAACGUAAAUAUUUCAUUCAUAUCUCAAAUGAUAUAUAAGAGGUUUUUCAAAAAAAUCGAACCAAAUUGAAUUAUUAGGAAAAACUUUCGAAUUGAAUCGAAUGAGACUAAGCUCGGUUCAGUUUGGUUUUUCGAUUUUUGGUUUUAAGCUUAUGUUUUUUUCUUUUUUCUUUUCUGUUGUAUAUAUUUUUCGUUUUCAAGAAAAAUUUUUUUAUCAGUUUGUUGAUUUGGUUCGGUUCGAUUAACCGAUAAAAACCAAACCGAUAAAAGAAAUUUCGUUUUUACUGAGAACCUAACCGAACCAAAAAAAUUCAGUUCGGUUUUCAGUUUGUUUUUGACACCCCUACUCGGUGAUCUGGAACGCGCCAUCCUCGAACACCAGCAUCUCCUCCUCCCUCUUCGCUCCUCCCCAUCACGUCGUCCAACUUUUCCCGUCCCACCGCCAUCCUGAUCCUCUCCGGCGACAUCCUCAGCUGCCCUCCCUCGCAGACUGAGCUCUCGAGCAUCUCGCUGAGGAAGCACCGGAACCAUCCUCCCCCGUGGCCUCCUCUUCCACCGUCGACGGCGGAGAGGAGGUCGAGGCGGCGAGUGAAUCCGUUGCCGAAGAAGGGCUCGCAGGAGUGGGGGCCUGACGCUAGGGUUUUGGGAGCAAGGGAGGUAGGAGAGGAGGAUCAGCCAUCUUCUCAGGUGAAUGGAAGUUACCGUCGCGGUUAAGUAAAUAUUAAUUAUAAUGCAAUUUUUUUAUGCAUAAAUGGCUAACAUAAGGUAAUAAGUCCAGAGGAAAUCACUAUGUCUGAUCCUCGAAGUUCUGAAUUAUACAAAAUAUGAUCAGUACCUUUGAUUUUCUUUUUUGUGAACAAAUGUAAUUAUAAUGCAUCCUAAGCACGAAAUUUCAGAAUUCUACUUGUAAAUUCAUUAAAAAUCUCAUCAAAUUAAUGAUAAAGAGCUUUCGUAUCAGCAAGAUUAAAAAAGAAUCUCAAUCCCAAAAGUAAAAUAAAUAAAUCAUUACGGAUACAAUUUUUUUGAAUCACAAAUGAAUCACCACAAUUAUCGAAUCAAAAUACAAUUUUAAAAAGUAAUGUGAUUUGUUUCCCUUAUGCCUCCAAAAAAAUAGAUUUCUCUUUUCCUUAUGCCUAAAAAAUAGGGGAAAAUUCCAAAAAGGUCCCCAAAUGCUCUCAUUUUUUUAAAUAAGGCCCGAAAUGGAUUUUAUUUCAAAUCAUGGCCCAGAAUGAUUAUACUUGUUUCAAAUAAUGGCUUGAUCAAGGACAUUUUCGUCAUUCUCCUUUUUUCUCAUUUUUUUCCCUUUUUUUUUUUUCUCGUUCUUCCUCCUUCUUCGUCGGUGGCUAGAUUUAGCGAGGGUGACCUCACUCGCAACCAACGAGGGUAAUCGAGCCCUUGCUGGCUGCAGGUGCCCUCACUAGCUGCAAGCAAGCAAGGUUCGGCCUCGCCUACGGUUGGCGAGAGCCGACCUCAUUGAUGGCCGAGAGGGGCGGCCUCUCCCCCAGGGCGAGGGUCGCCUCGCCCAAGCGAGGCCUUCCCUCGCCCAAAACCCUCUGCAAGUAUCACCAAUGCCUCGCUAGCCAGCCAUCGACAAAGAAGAAAGAACCAGAAAAAAAAAAAGGAAAGAAAGAAGAAAUAAGGAAGAAAAAAAAAUUGAUGAAAAUCUCCUUGACCUUAGGCUUUUAUUUAAAAUAAAGUUCACUUUGGACCUUUAUUUGAAAAAUUAAAGACACUUGAGCCCUUUUUUGGAAUUUUUCCAAAAAAAAUAUAGUGCAAAGAAAUGGAUUAAACAUAAAUAAAGACGUCGAAUUUCCCUUGGACGACGCCCUUGUGGCAUCGGCUUUUCCCUUAUUACUAAUUCUAGAGCACUUUUUCUCCUUCAAGUGGGGAUCUCUCGACUUUUUAAUGGGUGUCAUUUACCAAAAAAAAAAAAAAAUUCAACGGAUGUGUUUUCUCUAGUGUCAUCCUUACUUGAAGUAGCAAUUCACGACGCAUGUGACGCGCUCCACGCCUCUUCCAUAAUUUAUGGACAGGUGAAUCAUGUUAAAAGUGCGCAAAUGUAAAUCUUUUCUCGAUUGAUUGUUUUGUAAGUGUCAGGAAGACACUUUUCGGGAAAUUUAUAAUGUUAUUCUUGAUUUAAACUAUGUGUUAAAGGAGAGAUAAUCAGUAGAACCGAUAGAAGAGAUGAAUUUGUUGUUCUGAGGAGUUUCUUUUCUUUUUUCUUUUUCAAUUCGAAUAAACCUUUUUUUAAAGGAGGAGCUGAUUUUCAGGGAGGAGAUGGACAUCUCGUUGCGGGCCGCUCUUUUUAGCUUUCUUCUUAGCGUUGUGAUUGCAAUGUCCAACCCGUGUUUGGAGUCUCAUAUAUUUGGUCAGCUAUUAGUUUAUAAUUGACAAGGAAGACAAACCGAGAAAUACAGAGAUGCUUAUCACAGAUAAGAAAAGAAGGCAUAAACAAAUUAAACAUAUGUCAUCACAGGAAUCGGAGGUACUUCAAAAAUCAAUCGAGCAGGACGACGUGGUAAUGGCGAUAACUUUGAUGUCCACUGCUAUCAGAAGACAAUUCAUCCUCAACUGAUUAUCUGCAGCUUCACCAUUCUGGCUAUAGAACGAUUGAGUUUUGUUACUCAUUUGCAAAGAUCAUCAGCAUGCUAUAUAAAAAUAUCGUGCCACAUGACUAUUAAUGAAAAUCUAUCAACAUAUGUAUGGCCCUGCAUUUCGAGAGAGCUUACAAAAACAUGAUCUCUGGCCCAUUUGCUUAAUGACGCCUAAAAAUGAGAAAAACUAAUUUACAUUGAUUUAAUUUUUUUAUUACAGUACAGUGAUUAAUUUAAAAACCAAAAAGGAGUUUGAAAUUGAAAAUAGGAGUACUGGAUGAGGUAAAAAUAGAAAAGGCAACAAAAAGAAAAGGAAAAAAAUAGCAGAUCACAUGCUCUCUUAAACUGUCCCGACUAAUAAAGUAUUAACUUAAGAAUUAGACUCGAUAUUUUGGCAAUUUUAAGUGUUAGAAAAUUGCCGUUGUUAUUCUUUGAACGAUGCCAUGGCAAUUAAUUUUCGACGAUAAUACAAACAUUUUGAUUUUCGACGAUAAUACAAACAUUUUGAUUUACUUUCAAGCAAUAAUAAAAGUUAUACGCACUGGGCCUAAUAGUUGGUAUAUAGUUCAGAAGAAAAAGAAGGGAUUUUACCGUACCGUGGGAGAUCGAUCUUUGGAUGGAGAGAAUAAAAGAAAUUUAAAACUUGUGGGUCACUCACCAGUAAUAAACUCGACGAAGGGUUCGAGGGAGAUACAGGCAAGGGGAUGGUCCCACUCCAGCGCUUGCCACGUCUCCUGAUCUAUCAAAAUCUGUCCAAGGGAGCGGGGAGGAGAAAGGAGGCAAUCAUCACGUCGGUGCAAUGGCAGGAGGCCAUCGUCACGUCGGUGCAGUGGCAAAGGAAUCCUCUUCAGCUUCGGACAUCGUGAUAUUUCAAUAAAGUGGAUGCGAUCGCCAAUGUGAUCGCAACUCUCCAUCCGAUCACAUACCCCCUUCAGUUCCGGAAGAUUCCUUAGAGUCAGGCGUGUUAACUUUGCGAAGGAGGGUAGUGUCAUGUCGGGAGGAGUGCCUAUUAUCAUCUUUAUGCCCUUGCAGUUUUCGACUGUAAUCUGUUGGAGGGAAGGGAGGUGGGGCAACACGUCAUGCGUCAGCAGCACCCCCUUCAUGUUGUCGCAUCUAUCUAUUUCAAUCUUUGUAAGACAAGUGUGCUUGGUUGGCAAUGGCCCGCCUAUUAUUUCCUCUAAUUUCUCACAAUGUUGUAUUCUAAUGGACUUCAGAUCUGGAAGGCUAGUGGCCAGCCAGGCCCCUUCCACCACUCUUUUCAUUUUAGAACACUGGGACACUUCCAUAAGUUUUAGACUGGGCGCAGUUAAAUAAAUCCGCUCCAGUUCCGCCGAACCAUCGAUUUUAAACCAUAGUAGAUGUGGAAACCCAUCCCCCUUCACCGAGAGAUGCUUCAGUUUGGAACACCGAGCGAUUUUCAGUACCCGCAGGCAAUGGAAGUGGACAGCACCCAGCUCCUCCAACUUCUCGCAAUCCUCUGCAGUCAGCUCCUCUAGAUUCUUCAGUGAGCUUAGCUUGCUCAAACUUGUCGCUCCACUUCCUACCGUCAGUACUUGCACAUCUUUCCGAGGUAGAUUGCAGCCAUCCCCACCAAUUUCUUCAUCUACCCUUGCCGCAAUACGGUUGAUAUAUUUAACGAUGCUUUGAUCGGAAACCUCUUCUUCACGAGGUUCUAAAGAAAACAAUUGAAAGACACUUCUUUGACAUAUUAAAUUAAAGAGAGAAUGUAAACAAUCUGAAGAAAUUAGAGACUUUUUCUGGCCAAUUGAACUUAAUCAGAUUACCGACCAAAACAACUUAAUCAAAUUAAACACAAAGAAAUUCAAUAUGUGCAAAUAUGCAAUUGGAAGUCCAAGAAAGGUGUUCCUUUCUAAAAACGAGAAAGAAUAAUUUACACUGGUUUAGUUUUUGAUUAAAGUACAGUGAUUAAUUUAAAAAUCAGAUGGGAGUUUGAAAGCGAAAGUAGAGGGCACUAGAUGAGGUAAAACAGAAUAGGCAACAAAAAGAAAAUGUGAAAACAUUUAACACGCUCUCUUAUACUCGCCUGACUCAUGAAGUAGAACUUAAGAAUCGACUUGAUAUUUUGGCACUAUUAAACGUUGUAAUUUACCAAAAUGAAGAAGAAGUGUGGCAUUUUUAAGGUACAACAGGGGAAAAAGAGAGGGAAAAAAAAAACAAAAAAGAGCGAGGACUGUUGCCAGUAUUAUUUUUUCAAAGUGAAGGGAGUGUUUUCUUUUUUGAAAAUUUAAUAAUAAUAUAGCCAUUUUGAUGUACUUUCGAGCUGUGAUAAAAGUCAUACGCACUGGGUCUAACCAUGUGGUGUAAAGUUUGCCAAAAAAAAAAAGGAAACUUACUGUAUCACGGGAGUGGAUCCUUGGAAGGACCGGCGGGAGAUGGAGAGGAUAAAAGAAAGUAAAAAGUUGCGGGUGACUUACCAUGAAUCCUGGCUAAGCGUUCAAGUACAGGUUGGAAAAGGGACUGGCGCCACUCCAGCAACCGCGACCGCGACAGCUGCUUAUCUAUCCAAAAAUUAUUAACAACGCGGGGAGGACAAGGGACCCCAUUGUCAAUCUUAGGAAGCCUCUUCAGCGUCGGACAAUUUCUUAUAUCGAUACAUUCGAUUGAAUGGCAACUCACGGUCUCAUCAUAUAUGGCCUCCAGCGCCGGAAGUUUCCAUAGAGUCAGGUGUGUUAAAUUUGAGUUGGGAUGCAUCGUGGCGGGAGCAGAGCUUAUUAUCACCUUUAUGCCCUUGCAGUCUUUGACUGAUAAAUGUCGGAGGAAAGGGACGCUCAGCGGGAGGCCCCACGUCAUCAGCACCCUCUCCAGCCUCUUGCAUCCUUCUAUUUCAAUCUUUGCAAGACAAUAAGUUGCACCGGUAGGCGCUGCUCGCUCACCUAUUAUCUCCUUUAAUUGCUCGCAAUGUUUUAUUUUAAUGGACCUCAGAUUGGAAAGGCGACUUUCCAGCCACUCCCAUUCCACCACCCUCUUCAUUUUAGGACACCUGUACACUUCUAUACUAUAAAGAGAAGGUGCCGCUAUAUCAAUCCUCUCUAGUUCCUCUGAGCCCUCGAUUUUAAACCAUUGUAGAUAUUGGAGCUCAUGCCCCUUCUUCAAGAGACGCUUCAGUUUGGAACACCCAGAGAUAUAUAGUCUCCGUAGGCGAGGGAAGUGGACAGCACCCAGCUCCUCCAGCUUCUCCCAUUUCUCUAUCUUCAGCUCCUCUAGAUUAUAAAGUGGGCCUACCUUGCACAAACUUGUCACCUCAUCGCACCGUCCUACUUCCAGUACUUGCACAUUUUUUGGAAGUAGAGCGUGGCCAUCUCCACCAAUUGCUCCAUCUACCCUUGCCGCAAUACUACGGCAACUUUUGAUGAUUAUAUGCCUCUCAUGCAUAUUUCUAAAGGAGUGGUCUCCUAAUUCGUUCAACCACAGUUCAUAUGGUUGGGAGCUGUUUCGCUUGAGAAGCCUCACGCAUGCAUUGAAUGUUUCAACAUUUAGAACAGAGCAAUAGAAUCCUUCCACCUUUGUUAAUUUUAUCUCUUCCUCUUCCUCUUCUUCCUCUUCCUCCUCUUUUGCCGUCACUUUUUUAAUCACCAGAUAUUGCAAGUUCACCAGCUUCCCCAACACUCCUUCUAGUAGUGUCUUGAUCUUUGUGCCAUGUAGAUCGAGGUACAUUAACUUUACCAACAUCUCCAUCCCCUCUGGCACUUCUUCCAGCAUGGUACACCCACUCAUGUCCAACUUUCUUAGGGAACCCAACUUUCGAACACAGGGUACACAACGUAAUUCCUCACACCCUCGAAGUAACAGUGCUUCCAAGCUCUCCAAGUGAGACAUGGUGUCCGGUAAUUCCGUGAUUUUCGUUUUGCUGAGAUCUAGAACCUUCAACCCCUUCAUAUGCUUGAAGAAAGAUUUGUGGAUGGCUUCCAAAGAGACGUUGUUAUUCAACGACAGUCUCAUAAGUUUAGGGCAAUUUGACGAUAUGCCGUAUGGGAUUUCUUCUAUAUCGUUGCUUUGUAAGAAGACUUUCUCUAGGUGAUCGGUCCAGAACUUAUCCUCUGGAAUUUCUUUCAAUCCCAUGUUGGCCUUGACCAUGUGAGUUGUGCUCGUCACUAUUUGCAAUGCCAUGUCCCUUAUCAAGGGGUGUACUAAGAGACGCUCUCAAUCUAUAUUAACCCCCAGGCAAGCCUUUUUUAUUUUGUCCAAUAUGGUGUUUCCCCUAUCGUGCAAUUCUUGCCGGGUGGCCAUUCCACUUAACAAGCCCUCAUCUAUGAAAGACUCUAUCAAAACUUUUUUGAUGAUUUCAUCUUCACAGAAGUACUCUCCAAAACAGAGUAUUAAAUGCAAGAAACACUGCUCCACUUGAAGAUUCCCCAAGUUCAUGAAACUGAGUUUCAGUUUCUUUAACACAUUAAGUUCCAUCAUCGAAUUUUCUAAUCGCUGCAACAAGCCUUUCCAUUCAUGCACUGCCUUUAGUUUCUUCAUGUGAGUUGCAAUCUCAAUGAUCCCAAGUGGCAAACCCCCACACUUAUCCAAAAUGGAACUUGCAAUUUUUUUAACUUCUGAAGGGAGGUCUCUCCCAAAGCAAAGCUUUUUUAGAAAUAAGACCCAACAAUCAUCUGGCCGAUAUAGAGGACUUAUUUCGACUUGUUUUUGGCAGACCAUCUUAUGACAUACAUCUAGUGAUCGAGUUGUUAGUACCAACUUAAUGCCUGUAUUCUCAACUGGAAUUCCAACAUCCUCAAUGUCAAAGUGCAUCCACAGACCAUCUAAGCAUAAGACAGCUCUCCUGCUCUUCAAAUGCCUAUUCAAUAUGCAUGCCCUCCUCUUCACGUCCCUAUCCUUUGAGAGAUUGUCUAGUCCGACUACAUUGGCAAUCUCGNNNNNNNNNNNNNNNNNNNNNNNNNNNNNNNNNNNNNNNNNNNNNNNNNNNNNNNNNNNNNNNNNNNNNNNNNNNNNNNNNNNNNNNNNNNNNNNNNNNNNNNNNNNNNNNNNNNNNNNNNNNNNNNNNNNNNNNNNNNNNNNNNNNNNNNNNNNNNNNNNNNNNNNNNNNNNNNNNNNNNNNNNNNNNNNNNNNNNNNNNNNNNNNNNNNNNNNNNNNNNNNNNNNNNNNNNNNNNNNNNNNNNNNNNNNNNNNNNNNNNNNNNNNNNNNNNNNNNNNNNNNNNNNNNNNNNNNNNNNNNNNNNNNNNNNNNNNNNNNNNNNNNNNNNNNNNNNNNNNNNNNNNNNNNNNNNNNNNNNNNNNNNNNNNNNNNNNNNNNNNNNNNNNNNNNNNNNNNNNNNNNNNNNNNNNNNNNNNNNNNNNNNNNNNNNNNNNNNNNNNNNNNNNNNNNNNNNNNNNNNNNNNNNNNNNNNNNNNNNNNNNNNNNNNNNNNNNNNNNNNNNNNNNNNNNNNNNNNNNNNNNNNNNNNNNNNNNNNNNNNNNNNNNNNNNNNNNNNNNNNNNNNNNNNNNNACUCAGUAUUUUCUAGAAACAUAAUGUUCACAAAACAAUAUGAAAUAAGACGAAAUGUAAGGUUGUGUAUAUAUAAGAGAAAGAAAGAGAGGGGGGGGGGGGGGGCCUUGGGGGUCCUUGGGAUUGGGCGAGAGAAAGAGAAAGAGAAAGAAAGGGGGCGAGAGCACUUGCCCUGUUGCUGGGUUUAGUUGCUAUCGGUUUGCUUUGAGCUGUUGAUGGGUUCAGGGAGUAUCUGGGCCUGUAUGGGAUGGGUUGAAUUGAUAUUUUGGCCAGUAUGGGAUGAAUUGAUAUCUAGGCCUGUAUGAAAAGAAAAGUGGUUCUCCCUAUAUUUUACAUUAAUAUAAAAAAAUGAAAAUUGAAGUAUGUAUUUUAGCAUAAAUUACUCGUGAAAACGUAUCAUAUUUCAUAUGAAUCUUCAUGUUUUAAACAAAGUGCAAUUCCAAGUUCAUAAUAUAUGUUAGUGUAAAAUAUAUGAACUUGAUAACAGUUAGGGAAAUUUUAAUGGUAGUUAUUACAUGACAUAAAGAAACAUGUAUGAAAUCAACUCCAUUACUGUCGUAUUAAGAGAAAAUAAUAAAAUCUUUCAAAUAAAUAUUUUAUAAAAAAAGCGUUAUAAAAAUGUUUGAGAUUUCAAUAAUUGCUAAUCUGCAACAUUGAGAUUAUUAAAACUAAUCCUUUUUCCCGAUGAAACUCAUGGGAUUGAACGAGGUAAGUAAUCCUAGUUAAAGGCAAAAUGAGUGGAGAGUGCAAGAAAAUACUACUUGCAAAGAGAAUAAGCAAUCUCUUUCAAUUUAGAAUCCUAAGUGUCACUCCUAAAGGCAACACUCAAGAAUGAGCUUGUUAUUAUAUAUUUUUAUAGAUGCAAACAUUGAUGUAUCUAUUCUUUCAAGAUGUUUGAGCGGUACAAUACUAGAAAAAUUUAGAUCAACCCAUAAGUUAAAAGUAGAAGUUAAAAAUAAAAGUCCCCUUAACCAGACCUUAAGUUGAAUUUUGAAAUUAAAACAUUAAAAAAGAGGAGAUAUACCUCAUAUCUACAUCUAAUGUAUAAAGACUAAUAUCCAAACUGUUCUAUAAAAAAAGAACUAUACUUGCUUUCAAUUGGAUCAUUGAUUGGUGGGUGACCCAUUUGAACGUCACUCAAACGCAAUGGUAACUAAUAGCACCAGGAGAAAACUGAACCAUAUUAUCGAUGGCUUGGAGACAAUGCAUGACAACAUUUUGUCCUAUUCUCGUACUUUUGUUAAUGUCCCAACAAUUCCAACCAUACUCAUUCAAAAAUAUGAAAACAAGCAAUAUUCAAAGCAUUUAAAUUUAAGAUGAAUGAAGGUGUUGUUAGUUAAAGUCUCAUAUAGGCGGCAUUUGAAUGUGAAAACAAUCAAUUAAAGGAUGAUUUGGAGGUAAGUACGAAUCAUUGAAAGAGCAAAAAUUUUAUUGUACGCUGUCAGAAAAUAAUCAUAUGUUUAUGAUGAUUUCUUUUCUGUCAUUACAUAUCUUGUGAUCCGUCGAGAAACAGUCAAUUUAAAUUUUAGGUUCAUCUAAUACUUUUUAGUUUGAAAUUAAAGUAUUUAGAUAUGAUCAAAUGCAUGAUCAAAGAUAAUUCCUAUCUCUGUGCGGUUGACAGACAGCAAAGGUUCCCAUGAAAUAUCUUUUAUGCAGCACUUUAUUUUAAAUCAAUAACAGUAAUUAGCAUAUAAACCCUCGUAAUUUUAUUUUCCAAUAAAGAUUUCGUGUUGUUAAUUUUCUUGAAAUGCGUUGCUUGGCCAAGAAAUAUGAGAUCAGUACACAUUUGGAGUCGUUGAAGGGGAAACAAGGACAUUUUCAUGAAUUUUGUGAAGUCGUCAAGACAAUACCAGUCCCCUCGACACAUCGAAAAUAUUUUGAAAACUGGAAAGUGCCUACCAAAUGCAUGCUUACCCCUUCUAUGCAUCCUCUUUUUUUAAUUUGGAAGUGUUUUUGGUAAUUCGUUAGGGAAACAUGGAUGAAAUAAGAAAUGAUGUUCAAAACUUUGGCACAUGAGAUUGGAAUUGAACCGAUGACUAUGCAAACUGAUAUAAUUAUCCAUCUCCAAAGUCAGCCCACUAGCAAGGAAAGUUCACUGACCAAGCGAUCUCAUAUACACCUCCCUCUCUCUCUCUCUCUCUCGCGAAGCUCCCAUGGUUCACACGACUCUGUUCAUUUGUUUAAAGUAAAUGCUCUUCACGUAGGUGAUUUGAGGGGAUAGAGAGAGCCAUGGCUUUUCAAGAUUUGAAUGUCACACUUGAAAAGCAUUUGUCCGUUCAUUUUCAAAGAACUAUUGAUUAUUAUUGACUAACUCUUAAACUGCUCUGUUCAUUUUCUAUUACUAUUAGGAAUCUAAAUGUCCUGCUAUAUCCAAAAUCUUGGGGAAGGAUUAGAAAACAAAUUCAGUGUCCUGCAUGAGCUUCUAACAUAUGGUGAAUUUCGAAGUUGCACAUACCUUCUGGAACCCCUGCAUUGGGUUCUCCCUCUUCUUCAUUUACUGGGGGUGGCAUGUGAGUCAAAGCUUGAGGUGCAAGGUCUCCGCCGCCGCUGGGAUGACUCAAAUUCCAUGGCUGAAUGUUAGAAUUAACGCCAUGAGAUUGAGGAGGUUGUGUCCAGAAUAAAAUUGCCCCAUGCGUGGUCAUGUUUUGAGUAGGAAGAUACUGACUGGGCACAUUCAUCUCAUGCAAUGGAUGAAAGUCUGAUGAACUUGCACCUACAGUGCUUAUGGCAUUAGAGCUCAGGUAUGGCAUGGCAAGAAAUGAAGUCUCUCUCCAACCAUCUUCAUUGCUUGCAAUCACAGGCUGACCAUCUUCAUUGCUUACAAUCACAGGCCGACCAUUGCUUAUGGCAUUAGAGCUCAGGUAUGGCAUGGCAACAAAUGAAGUCUCUCUCCGACCAUCUUCAUUGCUUCCAAUCACAGGCCGACCAUCUUCAUUGCUUGCAACCACAGGCUGAUGCAGACCCACUUCAUCGUUAUCUGGUCUGCUGCUCGAUUCCACCACUGUUUUACCCUUCAUCGCCUUUCGGGCUUCCGAUCUCACUCGGCCAUCAACAUCCUUGCAGUCAUUGAUCCCAUAUCCUCCAACUCCGGCUAAGUGGGCCUUGAUCCUGGUCGCGCUUCCAGCAUACGGCUUCCCACAGAAGUUGCAGUUCCAGUGUUUGUUAGGCAGCAAUUUCACAUACUUCCAAAAGGGGUCCGUCUCUCUAGGCAUUUUCUCUGUAUCCCACAAAAGAAUGGACAGAUAAGUUUCAAGGAAGACCUUGAAUUUUUUGGGUGAAGAAUGACGCCGAGGCCUGUAAGAUAUUUAAUUAAUUUCGGACUUAGGAAUUGGGUCAAAAUCUUCAUCAAUCCCCAAUUCUUUUAGAAAAAGGCCCUGCUUCAGUGACCCCCACCCUCAUUUCUACCCAAGUUCUCUUUUCACUCUCAGAUAUGAAGAUGACAUGUUUGACUGGGUUCUGGAAAUUUUGCUCUUCAAAUUUGUAACUACUCUUUUGUUUUUUUUUUUUUUUUCAAUGUUAUCUUAUCUUUGGGAACGUGGUUUUCUUUCUUGUUCAAUGCUCAUGGGUGUGCACGCUCUUUCUUGGGUAAUCUCUCUAUCAUGCACUCUCCCUUCAGCCCCUAAUCUUGCCCCUUGCCUCCGCUUACAGCAAAAUUUCAUGGCCCGGGCUCAGCUGCAGCCUCAAGUUUUUCCAUUUACUUGGUUGGGUUCUUUACAAACUAAUUCUAAGGAUACAUGGUAAACUCUCCAGUUUACAAGCAUCAAGUAUGACUUGACCGGUGGCUUCCAAAAGCUAGUUUGAGUUGAGAUUUGCAACGUAGUUCAGACAUGGCUCUAUAGCAUCUGGGACGAAGCACCUGACUGACCACUCAGCUAAUUAUGAAAUUUAUUUUUGAUAAAGCAAUAAAAGUCUUCGUUCUGGGCUCACCGGCACCAUUAUGUAGUAGAGAAUACAUCCCGAUAAAAAGAAAAUCAACAAAACCCAGACAACCCAUGAAUCGACGAUUACGGAGCGACAUAAACUAGAGGACAUGAGACCGAAGUGCAAAAAUUUGGGUUCACAGGAGAGAAAUGGGAGAACGAAAAGGGAGUAGAGAGAUUGAGAGAGAGCGAGUACCUCCGAGCCGGUGAGAAGAGGGCUUGGGGUUGAAUCCCUUAAGAGAGCGUCCGCGAUGGGAAACGAGGUUAGCUGAAGCGGAGGAAAAAACUGGGGGCAACCCUCUGGUUUUGUGCAGAGGAAGGAGCCGAACACCUCGACGGACAUCGGAGACCUGCCUGGGACGAUCUAUAUAUAAUAAUCUUAAAACGUCUAGGACGUCUCAAGAAAAAGGUAAUCUACAUGUAUUCCGGAUGGGUGGGUUCACACUUGACUAAGCAAAACGUUUCUGACUGUCCAGUAGAAAGUAAGGCCUUUAUUUAUAAUAAUAAAAAUUAAGAAAACGUCUAAAACGCCUCAAGAAAAAGGUGAUCUAUAUAUAUAUAUAUAUAUAUAUAUAUAUAUAUAUUAUAUAUUCCGGAUAGGUGGGUCCAUACUUAGACUAAGAAAAAGUUUCGACUGUCCAGUAGAAAGUAAAGCCUUUAUUUAUAAUAAUAAAAAUUAAGAAAAUUUCUAAAACGCCUCAAGAAAAAGGUGAUCUACAUAUAUGUAUAUUUAUUUCGGAUGGGUGGAUUGUACUGACUAGGCAAAACGUUUUCACUGCCCAAUAGAAAAUCUAUCACUUUUUUUUGGAAAAAAAUCUAUUACUGACUCCACAAACAAAUUCAGUCGACGAAUGUUAAUAUGCCUAGAUUAUUAGAAUUAUUUUGAUCAUAUUUCUGACUAUCACAAAAUUUCAAUCAGCAUUUAAGCACCAAAAAAAAAAAAAAAGGAUUCGUCAAAAAAAAAGGAUUCUCACGAGUCCGCUCAAGGUUGGUUGACCCAAAGCAACGUGAAAAUUUUUGGGUCCAAGUUGAAUAGACUCGAUUUUUUGGCAGGUCAGGAAAAAUGUUUCGAGGGUGGAUUUCUUUUUUUUUUCCUCAUCGAAAGUAAAUAUUUUAUUCAUAUCUCGAAAUGAUAUAUAAGAGGUUUAAAAUAAACAUAUUCCAAAAAGUAAAACAACAAAACACAAAAUUGCUAUGAUUGGCACACUUUGAUUUUACAAGAAUGAAUUUGUCUCAGCAUCAAAACAUAACAAAGGGCAAUCGAUUACUAAAUCCCACAUCAUCCACCGUAAUCCCCUUGUUUAUUCAAUAGACGGUGCACGCUUAAGUUCAGCAUUUUAACACCACUAUCAUACAAAUACACUAAAAAUAAGUUGAAAAAAGCUCCCAAAUCUAAAUCUAGAUAGGAUGAGGUUGGACAAGCACAAAAACACCUCUAAAGAAUUCACAAAUUUAGAUUUAGAUCGGAAGAUAAAAGCUCCUAAAACUCGGAUAAGUCACUGCUUCCAAGGCAUUAGGAACUCAUCUUAUUUCUUCUCGAUUUUGUUAACCUUCUUAAUUUGGAGGAUCUCAAGCAAUGGAUUGAUAUCAAACGAUGAAAGCAAAAAAUAUGCCAAGAGAGCAAAGAAGAGUAUGGGUAGUGAGCUAGGAAAAACAAAAAAGAUUAGAUGAAAACAAUAAAACAUUCUCGGAUCAUAUCAGGAUAAAUAAUCUUAGUUGAGAAGAUGGAGCCUCCCUUUGACUGACCAUUAUUUUUCAGGCUUGAACGGGAACAAAUUUAAUCAUUGUUUUAAAUUCCUCCGGCUCUUAACGAAUGCUAAAAGGAUUGGUGUUUUUUAAUUUCAAACAAAUUCUGGUUCUUUUUCUCCAAUCAUAUCCUUAAUUUUAAUUUAGAUUUCAAUACAUAUUAUUAUUAUUAUUAUUUUAUUUCUCUUCCCCUGCCAUCCACUAAAUUCAUCAAUAACCGAAAUUUAUGUUGGGAGUUAGCCAAGGAGAUCGAGAGGGAGAAAUGAAAUAGGGAAGGGGGUGUAUCAGCCUUGACAAGACAUGAUUGCGAGAAAGUAGCAAAUCACGGCGGCGGUGGGGCUCGAGAGGGGGAGGACGGCAGGCCCCUCGGCGCAUGCACCGCCAUCCCUCUCUCUCCAAUGCGGUUGGGUCUUGCGACGUCAGCAAUUGGUGAGGCGGCCCGCACAUUUGUGCUGACCCGGAGCUCCAUUCGGCAGCUCCGUGUCCCCAUGCUUUGCUACUAAUCGAUCGGCAAAUUGGCCAAUAACAUUAUUAUCCUUCUCAGAUUCAAUACGCGCGCCCUUCUCUUCACAUCCUUAUCAUUUGAGAGAUCAUCUAAUCCAGCUACAUUGACAAUCUUGUCUUGUGGUUCAUAGAUGCUAAACUCCUAAGAUACAAUGACCGGAACACAUCAUUAACAUGACUUUCUUUACUAGUAGGCAUUUAUGGAACAAGGGGAGUUGGCACCCUUGAGGGUGUCUAGGCGAGUCUCUAGAGAGCUCAUUGGAUCUUGCCCAAUCAGUCGUAAUGAUCGUCACCAGUGGAUGGCGGCAACUGUGGCAGCCAACGGCAGUAAUGGUAGAAGGAGAAAAGAGAAGGAAGAAGAACAAGAACAAAAGAAGAAGAGAAAAGAAAAGAAAAAAAUUUGGAUUGCUUAAUUUUGAAAUUGUUCUCAAGAACAAAGAAAUAACUCUAUUUUACUCAUUGAUUUUUGUUCUCGAGAACAAAAAUUUACCAAACAAACUUCUGUUCCAAAACUAUUCCUGAAAAAAAAAAUAAUAAAAAUUGUUAUUAUUUGACAAGUUGCCGAACGCGUUCUAAGACCUACACAAUAAAUUGGUUUACUUAGUGAUGGGACAAUCUGUAAUUAGUUAUUUUCAUUAGCAAAAUCUUUUAACCACCCAAUAGAAAAUCCGUCACUUGACUUGGCCAACAAAUUUAGGCCCCGAGUGUUAUUAUGCCUGGAUUGUUAGAAUUAUUUUGAUUAUAAUCAAAAUCCCACACAUUUUUGUUCAAACACAACAUCCACGUAGGAAAACUAAACUCUUUCAAAACGUCCUUUAGUAUGUUGGUCCAAAGCUUAUGAUCAAAUUCCUACAUUUUCUUCUAAUCUUGUUUCAUCGCAUGUGAACCGUCUACUGUAGCGUCUUAUAUAAAUCAGCGGUUGACGCAUUAGCAUUGCAUCGUAUUACGUUGAUCCGUGAGCUUUAUUUUCAUGUGAGAAGGAAGUUGUAAAUUUUACGUGUGUAAAGUAAAUGGUUUGGGAAUUAUUUGGCAUUAACUUUUCCACCAGAUGAAAUUUUUUGCAAGCCAUCCGACCAUGUCAUGCUGUGUUUCUGAUUUUGGCAAUCCAUCCUCUUUUAAGUGGAUUUCCAUACAUCUAUGUACUUGGAUCUCAACACAUUCUUUUAGUGGGAGCUUAUAUGGUCCUUUUAAGGGGUUGAUUCUUCCGUCAUAAUCCCAUUGCAAUUCCAAACUUUUUGUCAUAAGUCUUAUGGAAAGUAUCAAUAAAACUUCUAAGUUUUCAAUCAUUGACCAAGUUCUGUCUUUUUCAUAAUUCUACGAAUGCCAACUCUUCUAGGAAAGAAGAAUUAUUUGUAUUUGUAUUUGUAUUAAUUCAGUAUCAAGGAUUGUACGAUUCCCUCCAUAUAUUUUUUGCCCCUUAAUUAAUUGCUCUACGCAUCACGAGGGUCAAUCUAGCUUGGUCCAAGAAAGGUAAUAGGCCAGGCUGUCCAGUCUGUCAAGUCCCGCUCACGUGUCGCCCUUUCAGACACAAGCGCGCGUCCUAUUCUUUCGUUUCUCACGUUGAAUUCGCCAAUUCGAUUUAUUCGUACAGCUUUCGCAAUCCGAGGACGGUGCCAGGAAACUCCCAACGUUUUGAUCGAUCAUGUCCUAAACUGGAUCCAUGCUGGCCCGGUAACCAAUAAUUCAAGCUCCAACCCCAUUAACGGAGUAGCUUAAAGUUAGAAGCACCAACAAUCAGAGGACCGUCGACAUAACUCGUCCUUACGAAAAUUUCGUAAAAAGGAUCUUCCAUCCGAGGACAACUAUCGUGUGCGAUCGCCCCGCGCGGUCUGCUUUCGAAAUGCUUCCUGUAGCUGCAACCAAUCUGACCAAUAUCUUCUUCCACUUGACCUCCAUAAUGGAGUUUUUUUUUUUUUCUUUUUUUGGGGUCGGAUCCAUAACGGAGUUUAAUGGAUCUUAACUGUGUGCCCUUUUUGCAUAUCUCCUUUUUUUUUUUUUUUUGCACAUCUCCUUUUUCAGUAAUGUGAUGAAGUUUUUAGCUGUAUGUGAACAGACUUUUGUUUGUCAACACGGUAGGACUUCGGUCAAGGACCGGAACUUCUCGGGGAUGGUGUGCUUCAAACUAGAAUAAUGACCCCACAGAAAGAUGGAAAGAAGGAACUCAUUAGUCUCGAAGUUGCCAAUUUUAUAUUGGAGCUUGUCGACGGGUACGUUUCGAUGACUAUAUUAUGGUUCGAUAACACUGGAAAGUAAUAUGGUCAUUUGACAUGCCCAAAAGCAUUUAAACAUAAUCUCAAAAGGAACUGGUUUUAAUGUUGUCCGGAUGGCAAGAUGGCCGGAACAGAUUGCAUCCCUCGCUAGGUUUCAGUUGGAAGAAUCUGAUGCAAACGGCAAUUUGGGUUCUCUGUCCACCCCAGAGGAAAUUCGCAAUGAAGACUGAAGUCACGGGGUUGAUUGACACUAUGGACUAUGAAACGGUCCACAUAGUUGCCUUUACAAUGGAUACGAUUACGGGAAAUCUGUGAUUUACUAGUCUAUUCUUUAUUAAUAUCAUAUUACUAGAUUCUAAAUACACAUAUAUAACUUGAGUUUGUGAUGAACAUUGACAUAAAAGUACUAUACAAAAAUGUUAGAAAAGACACCUACAUUCUAGAAAUCCACAAAAGAGUCAAAUUAAGUAUGAGAAAAAUAGCAAUUUCACCAUGACAAGUACAGUUACUAAGUACUCCGAAUUAACCAAUUCAAAUUACUCGAAGAGGCGCAUUCAAUUGACAGGGGAAACAAAGGAGUACAAAACGAUCACGGGGUAAUAAGAAUAGUAGGGAUUCAUGGAGGUACUUGAAAUGUCUUAACAAAUAAAUAAUUAUAGGAGUGAAAUAUUGAUAUAAUUUGAAAAAAAAUAAAAGCAAGCCUGGACCAUAAAAAAAUAAGAAAAAUAUAUAGGAGGACUUACUUGAAGAGUACUUAGCACAUGCAUUUCCUUCGAUACCUCGAUCUUGCUCAAAAGGCAAAUCAGAUUUUGCCAAAGGUUCAACUUUCCCCACAAGAAGUAAAGCAAUGCAUUCCUUGGUCCUCACAACAUCUUUUGUGGACGAGAACAAAACUCUUAACUCCGUCGGUUCCCUUUAUUUUAAUAAACACAUUCACCAAAAAAAAAACCACAUUCAUAAGGCUCUCCAUCUCCCAUGGACGACGCCGAUCUUGUGAUAUCUAUUCAUUUUAUUUGGGUUUUGGCUGAAACUUUUUUUUUAACACUUCUUUUGCUAAUUUAGAGCGUAACUUUUUCUACGAACCGUUCAGAUCGAUAGAUGGGGGUGCCUCGACAUCCCAAAGGGAUGUGAUUUACAACUCCCCUCCGCCCAAAAAAAAAAAAAGAAAAAAGAAAAAGAAAGAAAGAAUAUAAUGGAUGUGUGUUGUCUGGUUUCAUCAUCACUUCUGGUGGUAAACUGGCAACGCAUGUGACGCCCUGUACGCUACUUACAUACUUUAUGGAUAGGUCAAGAAUGGUGGGCAGUGUCGUGUCGUGAGAUCUGGUCGACCUGAGAGAAGGUGAGGGAAAAUAGUAUCAUAGCCUUGUUGACCAGCGUCUUGUAAGACACGUGCUCAAUUAAAUCUACGAUAACAACUUUUUUCACAAAAAUCUAUAAUAUAAUUUCUAAAUGAAAAUAAUAUGACCGUUCGGAUUAUUUUUCAAAGUCCAUAAAAUCUCAAUGGUACCAAAAUGUUCGAACUUGCCAGGUUUUUAUUUACUUCCCCAAUCAUAUAUUUCCAUACUUUAAGCUAAUAUUAAAGUUCAGCUUACUCGUGAGGAAGACUAUUAAAAUAUUUAAAUAAAAAAUCAUAUUUUCAUUUAACAACUUGAUUUUUUAAAAUAGUUGACAAUAAUCACAAAAUCUCACACAUAUAUUACUACAUCAUACUUUGGAGUCAUUUGAUGACCACGUUAGCUGAAUUUGGUCGGAUUUGGUCUCGGAAGCAUUUGAUUAGUAAAUUUGUUGAAGUAGAAGGAAUUACUUAGACAAAUUAAAAGUAUAAUAAUGUAAUCAGAAAAAGUGUGAAAGUACAAGGGCUAAAAGUAGAAAUUUUCUUUGUCCGAGAGAUACAAUUUUCCGCAAAUUCAACAUAGAGUUGGUUGUGCCACCUAGUGAGAGAGCUCCUUAAGCACCGAUGUUGCGGUAAACUCACCUUUCAUGUCAAUGAACUACUGGGGUUCUUGCUCUUGUGUAAGGGCAGGUUACCAUUCACGCUGGUACUUAAAUGUUUAAAUAAGAGGAUUAGAGUAAAAUUGUUAGUAACAUAAUGGCUAGACAUUUCUUUUUCUACAUUUCAAUAGCAGGGGUAGUAACUUUGAUCCAUCGUAAGUCUCUAAUCGUAAGCUAUAUGUUGCCUUGGACAACAUGGCAAUGCUGUUGAGAUAUGGACGGUUCAUUGUGUCGAGUACAAUGCCUUCAUCUGAAAAUAACUACGAGUCGAAGUUCGGUAUAAGGUGUUCUCAUCAGGCGAUGCAACUGCUUUAAGGCAACACAACAUCUCGAAAGAGAUGUUCUUGCAAACAUUCUCUCCUCCUUUUAGAGACAGAUUUUGUCAUCCUCGUUUCUCACGUCCGAAAGGCAUAACCAAGAAAAAUUAAGAUGAAAGAAAGCGAUCAUAUGUUCCCGUAGUCAAUGCUGCUGUCAUCGCCCGCGACCCUUAAAAUCUUCUACAAAGGAAGUAAUUGAGUGAAACCGAAAGACAAGGAAAAUCCAAUCAUCAAGAACAGUCAUAUAGGUCUCCAUUUAUCGGGUUUAGUUUAAAGUAAGAGAAUUGAGUUCUUUCAUACACUCGUGCAUGCACUCUCCCCACCUUCCGUUUCUGCCAUUGUAUCAUACAGAGGCUGAUUUAACGUCUCCAGGAGGUAAAACGCUAGUGUUCCUCCCAGAAUUGCAGAAACCGCAAAGAGUGCAAGGGGGAAGCCGCCUCCUAAGACCACCAUGAAAGGUGCCAAAGUCGGACCCAUUUGCCACGCCUGAGCUGCCUACGCCUGAGCUGCACAGCCAAGAGCUGCAUUCCUCACCACGGUCAGAAACAGCUCCACCGUGUAGAGAAAGAGCAAAUUAAACGUGCUGGCAUGCCAAAGAUCCGGAGAAUUCCUCAACACCAUCCUCACCACUUUCCAUACCCGUGUAACAUCAUCAAGCUCUGCCGUUAUUGUAAAGGCCGCCACCUCAGCCACCCCCUAGGGGAACACAUUAAGGUAAAGGUUAGUCAGGAGAUUGACGACAUUUAGGUUUAUGCCGUCGUACAUGACUGAAUACAGGAAGUUGAUUGCCACGGCCAAGUGAUAGGCAACGUCACCACAUCAAUGAGAGACCCCUUCGUGUCCAUAUGAUCUUUGCAGGAUCAAACCUGAUAUGAGUUUUCAUUCACUUCCUCAUCCAGUGCAAGGAGAGGUUGGGACACCUGGAGUGCCAUAACUUGGCACGGAGGGACAUUUAAGUGCUAUAAUUUUAAAAUGGUACACUUAAGUGCCAAUAUCGGAGUAAAAUGGAACACUUAAGUGCCACUCCGGCGAAAAUCCGGCCAAAUGGCUGACGUGGCAAUUUUCCGGCGAGUUUGGUCCAAAACGGCGUCGUUUUGCACGCUGACGUGGCGGAGAAAAUACAAAAACGACACCGUUUCGUGUCUACGUGUAAAUAAUAAUAUAAAAAUUAAUUAAAUUAUAUUUAAAAUUAAUUUAUUUAAAAAAUUAAAAAAUUAAGAAAAAUUUNNNNNNNNNNNNNNNNNNNNNNNNNNNNNNNNNNNNNNNNNNNNNNNNNNNNNNNNNNNNNNNNNNNNNNNNNNNNNNNNNNNNNNNNNNNNNNNNNNNNAUGAACGGAUCGACUAAAUUCGCCGGAAUUCGCCACGUAAGUCAUUUGGUCGGAUCUUCGCCGGAGUGGCACUUAAGUGUCUCAUUUAACUUCAAAACAGGCACUCAAGUGUACCAUUUUAAAGUUAUGGCACUUAAAUGUCCCCGGUGCCAAGUUAUGGCACUUGAGUUGUACUUUUGCCAGUGCAAGGAUGACCCCAUCGGCGAGGUUUUCAUGUUGGCUUUGGCGAUAGCUCGCACAAGCUUCACGCCCUCGUCAAUCCUCCCACGGAAAAGAUAUCACUGUGGGAAUUCCGAGUUGUAAGGGAGGACAUAGCAUGGAGGGAAUGGAGGAAGCAAUGUAGAGAGCCCGCCUAGACGGAAACACAUAGAUGAUGCCGUACGAGAAGAUAUAGAAAGUGGACGUUCCUGCUGCCCCGCGAGGCUCAGUGAAUAUCAUGAAAGCGCGUACGAUCCCACCCGUGCUGAAUCCGGUAAUGAAGCGGACGGGGCAAUAGGUCUAGUAAUCCGUAGGGUCGUCAAGCAACAAAGGUGGUGUUCAACAUACAACCACCUUGAGAGAGCCUUUUCUUCUCAAGAACGAGUCUGAGGCACGGCCAAAUGUUCCGGCUCCUGCGACAUACGGCAUAAGAAGCCACCAGACUAUGAAUCAAUCCCUCAGAAAUAGCGUCUCGUUAAGCAGAUAGAUAACAAGUUUAUGCGUAGACGUUUGUAAUUGCUUCUGUUUAUAAUGCACCCUCCUACAGUUUCUUGCAUGAGGAGGAAAUCCAAUUAAUCGAAUCUAAAUUGAACUAUUUGUUUUUCAUUUUGCUUCCAUUUAUCGUUUGACGCUCGAGUCAAGAUUAGACGAUUGUUCUUAGGAAAAAGGAUGAUGAAAAGAAAGAGACUGAUUGAGUUGACUGCUUUUCCAUCAACUAGCCCAAGCUGAGAAUUAUACUGCAUCUGUGAGAUUGAAGAGUAUUUUCUAUGAAGCUUAACCACAGCCAGUCAUACAUUCGAUAAGGAUAAUUUAAUUUAAGUUGUUGGUUAUAUAUCACAAAGUUCCUAAAGAAUCAUGACAAGGCCCAUUCGGAGGACCUUUCAAUUUCCCUUCUGCAUACAUCAUCUACGUCUAUCAUUGGUUUGAUUUCUGCUAAGUGCCUGAGGUGCUGGUGCUAGUCCUCGGACUACGGUCACCGAAUCCGGGCCGUGACAAUUUUGUAGGUAAAUUACAUCUCCGCUUUGUGCCUAAAGGAGCACUUCGUCAAUGCGCUCUCUCUCAUCCCCACACACACUUGCAUUUGCGAUCAAUGUCAAAUCCAAUCAACAGUCACGUUUAUAUCACCAGCUGUCCUAAUGCAUAAGACUCUAAGGACGUAAAGAAGGACGUGGCAAACAUAACCCAAGAAGAAAGUUAAAAAGAGUGUUCCGCGACAAGAUGUGAGAGUGCUAGUAUGAACAAAAUAAAGGAGUUAAGGAAGAGAAUAAGAACACAAGAUUUAUAGUGGUUCGGCUUAAUCCAAGCUUACGUCCACUCUCCCACGAUAACAGCCUUUUUGGCUGCAUUCCACUAUGCAAUCAACAAGAGAUUACAACUCCGAGUGCAAACACUUAGUAGUAGAUCACACUAUCUCACUAAGUCACUCUCUUGGUAUUUCUCUCAUGAUUACAAACGUUUAAGCUCUCAAGAGACAAGUAUAUGAUCUAAAGUCGCUUAGACUUUGGAAUUAUAAAUUCUACGCUCCGUCUCUUACUUGCUCAUCGGUCCAUGAUCUCCUUAAAUACUCCUCCACUUCCAAACUACCGUUGGACAGUAUCCCGGAGAAUCGUCUUCCAAUAUACCCAUUGGACAGCUCUGUAUCUAGAAGAUUUGGUAGCCGUUGAGUGACAAAGGUAAAAUCCCAAAUUGAUUCCGAUCGCCCAUACAAACAAAAUCUUGGUUUCCAUAAGUAAAGCUUCUUCAUAUAGAAAGUUCUUGUCUUCAUCAUCCAAUUGUCAAUCAAUUAGAUUGAAUCAAUCAAAUCAAUCUUGAUGUGGAAUCCAAACCAGAUCACUAGCCGUUGUAUGAUUGGGCUUGAGUUACGAUUCAUCGAAUCUGGAUGUAAAGUCUAAGUCUUGAGACUUUACGAUAUGAGUCUUGAGACUUUACAAACUGGGUCUCUAGACUUUACAAUCUGGGUCUGUAGACUUUAAGGUCUGUACCCAAUUCAGCUUCAGCAUAGAGUCUGUCUUCAGACUUUGAGUCUUGAGUCUGGCAGUCUUCAGACUUUGAGUCUCGAGUCUGGCAGUCUUCAGACUUUGAGUCUUGAGUCUAGCAGUCUUCAGACUUUGACACAGAAGUCUGGAAAUCUUCAGAAUAUAUUUUGGACAUGUGUUACGUUCAGUCUUCUGGUCGUCUUCUGACUUUGAUAAUAUCCUCUACAUGUUUUAACAUCUGCAUGGUCUAUUACUCAACCAUCAAACAUGUUAGUAGCCUUUGAUUUAUUUUGUCAUCUUCAAAACAUCAUAAGGGAUUUCCCUAACAAGAUGCCCACCUGAAAAUCGGUUCUACUUACAAGGAUUUAUUCACAUCAGAAAAGAAAAAAGAAAAAGAAACUCCUCAUAUCUCCUCUCGCGUCCUAUCGUUUCUCUUCUUAAACUUUGUUCCUCUAGAGAUAUUUGUCAUAUUUCUUUUGAUUUUCUAUAUCUAUUUUGAUUAUACAUAUCUAAUUUAAUUGUCUUUGAUAGUAUAGACUCUCCAUGUACUCUUUUCUAUGCAUCGAAAUAUAGGAAAUUUCCUAUCCUCUCUCCCAACAAGAUGUUAUUUCAUGUGUUAGAAUAAUUUACCUAAAUGAAUAGCUCUUUGGUCUACUUUAUUUCUCAGUGGCCCUUUUGACAUGUAUCUACAUUGUUAAAACAGAGAAUUAUUUUCGUUAUUUGAGUUUAAUGAGAUCUGAAAAAGGAUAAGUCAAAUUUUACUUUUCUAGACUUCAGCAUCUUUCCAACAAGGUUGUCAGUAUUCAUUUUGUUUUACUAAAUGAGAAAUGUUGGACAUACAAAAUAUUUCUAAAACUGAUAUUAAAUUUUCUGCGGCCCUUAAUCCUUUGUCAUCUUUAUAUUCCGAUCGUUUCAUGAGCACGAAAAGUGAUUGUUGGACACAUAAGGAUUUGUAUAUCAGUUGAUGCCGAAUUUUCGUAUAGUUAGAAUGACUCUUUUUGUAAAGUCAGUGCGAGAAUCAUGUUUUGCAUGUACAAGGAGCGCCUUGGCUGCAAAAAACAAAACAAAACAAAAGAGCAAGGACCAUUGCCACUAUUAUUCAUUCAAAAUUAGGGACUAUGUUUUUUCCCUUAAUUUCCAGACAGCGCCAUAACAAUGAAAUUUCAAUAAUAAGAUAACCAUUACGCGACACUUUCAAGCUGAAAUGAAAGUAAUUGUGUGGUACGACACAAGGGAUAGAACCGGAGGAAGCGUUCAAGUGCAUACGGGGCAAGAAGAAGGUCCCACUCCAGCGACUCCCAUGUUUGCCGAUUGUCUAUUGUAAUCACUCGAAGAGAAGGCUGAGGAGACGGGAGGCCAUCAUCAGGCAAGAAGAGCUGCACAGGAAUGGUCUUGAGGUGAGGACAUCGUUUCGCACUAAUAUAUCCUAGGGAAUGGCAACUCAUGGUGCCAUCAUGCCAUCACAUAUGCUCCUCAGUUUCGGAAGAUCCCAUAGAGUCGGGCAUGUUAAAUCUGGGAAGGAGGAGGGCGUCAUGUUGGGAACGGUGCCUAUUAUCACCUCUAUUCCCUCGCACUCUUCAACACCUGUUGGAGGAGAGGGAGGUGGAGCAACAUGUUGUGUGUCAGCAACACCUCCUUCACGUUGUUGCAUCCUUUUAUUAUGAGAUUUUUAAGAAGACAAGUGACACCUCUUGGAAAUGGACCGCCAAUCAUCUCCUCUAAUUUCUCACAAUAGCAUGUUGUAAUGCACUCCGGGUUUGGAAGGCAAGUGGUCAGCCACUCCCAUUCCACCGCUCGCUUCAUUUUAGGACACUCACCCACAGAAAUGUUUUGAAGACUAGCUGCUGCUAUAUUAAUCCCUGUAGUACCUCUGAGCCCUUGAUAUGCACAAGUAGUAGACUUGGAAGCCCCUGCCCCUCUUCUAACUUCAGUCUGGAGCACCCAGUCACAUUCAAGCUCCGUAGGUGAGGGAAGUGGAGAGGACCCAGCUCUUCCAAGUUAUCACAUCCAUAUAUCUUUAACACCUCCAGGAUCUCAAGUGGGCCCAUGUCGCAAAAACUUGUCAACCCAUCGCACAAUCCUCCAUCCAGUACUUGAACAUUUUUCGGAAGUAGGGCACAGCCAUCCCCACUAAUCCCUCCAUCUACUCUUGCUGCGACACUGCCGCAACUAUCAAUUAUUAUAUGCCUCUUUUGAUCAUGCCAACGGUAAUCCUCUACUAAUACAUUCAACGCCAGACUACUGUUGGGAGCUGUCCUGCCCGAGAAGCCUCACGCAUGCAUCGAACGUUUCCACAUCUGGAACGCAGCAAUAGAGUGCUUCCAUCUUCUUUAAUUUUGCCUCUUCCCCUGCCCCCAUCUCUUGAAUCGCAAGAUAUUGUAGGUUCCCCAGCUUCCCUAGCACUCCUUCUGGUAACAUCUCAAUCUUUGUGCCAUCUAGGUCGAGGUACGUUAGCUCUACCAGCAUCUCCAAACCCUCUGGCAUUUUUUCAACACCUGCACAUCCUUUGAGGUCCAACUUUCUUAGGGAUCCCAACUUUCCUAAAUAAGAAAUACGACAUAAUGCUGUACACCAUUGCAGUAACAGUGCUUCCAAGCUCUCCAAGUAACAGAUGGGGUCCGGUAAUUCAAUGAUUCUAGUGUUUCUGAGAUCAAGUACCUUCAGCCCAUUUAGAUGCCUGAAGAAAGAUUUAUGGAUGAAUUCAAACUUGACAUUGCCACCCAACAAGAGCCUUGUAAGUUUAGGGCAAUUUGGUGAUAUACUGUACGGGAUUUGUUCCAUUUUGUUGCCUUGUAGAAAUACUUUUUCCAAAUGAACAGUCCAGUAAUCUUCCUGUGGAAUAUCUUUCAAUCCCCAGCAGGCCUUGUUCAUGUGAGUUAUGCUCGUCACUGUUUGCAAUGUCAUAUCUCUUAUCAGGGGGUGCACAGGCACCUCUUCUUCUAGAUUAUCCCAUAGACAAGCCUUUCUGAUUUUACCUAAUAUGGUGUUACAUUGGUCGUAUAGUUCUUGCCGAGUGGCAAUUCCACCUAACAAGCCCUCAUCUAUGAAAGACUCUGUCAAAUCCUCCCUAUGAGCUUAAGAAAUAUCUUUUGCAAAACAAAGUAUCAAAUGCAGGAAACAUUGUUGCACUUGAGGAUUACCCAAGUUCAUGUAAUUGAGUUUCAGUUUCUUGAACGCGUCAAGUUCCAUCCUCGAGUUUUCUAAUCUCUACAACAGGUCUUUCCAUUUGUGCACUUCCUCCACUCCCCUCAUAGGAGUCGCAAUCUCAAUGAUCCCAAGUGGCAAACCCCCACACUUAUCCAUAAUAGACCUUGCAAUUUUUUCAACUUCUGAUGGAAGUUUCUCAAAGUGAAGUUUCUCCGAAAGUAAGCUCCAAUAAUCAUGCUCAUUUAGUCAUUCUAUUUUCAUUUGUUUUUGGCAUUGCAUCUUAUGACACACAUCAAGAGAUCGAGUUGUCAGUACCAAUGUGACAGCCCAGGCGGCGGUGCACAGGAAGGAUGGAUGGUGGUGCGUCUGGGCCUCGGUCCCCGGACGUGCGCAGGGAGGGGGCGCGUCUCCUAUCCCACAUCGCUUAGGGGGGAGAGUCACGGUUUAGUUUAUAAGGCUUGGUUUUCUAACCUGUGUAAUGCAUUUUAAAGCCGUGAGGGCCAAAGACUCAAAGCGGAUAAUAUUACACACUGGGAGGCCCGGGUCCUUAUAUAUGGUAUCAGAGCCAACUUCGGAUCGCGUGUGGGGCCGUAGUGAGGGUCCCUUCCCAAGGGUAGGAGGGAUGGCGGUACGUCCGCGCCCUCGGUCCCCGGACGUGCGCAGAGAGGGGGUGCGUCUCCUAGGCUAGUUUAUAAGACUUGGGUUCUAUCCGGGUCCUUACAACCAACUUAAGGCCAUUCUUUUCAACUGGAAUUCCAAAGUGUGCAGAGAGGGGGUGUGUCUCUUAAGCUAGUUUAUAAGACUUGGGUUCUGUCCGGGUCCUUACAACCAACUUAAGGCCAUUCUUUUCAACUGAAAUUCCGAAAUCCUCAACUUCGAAGUGCAUCCAUAGGCCAUCUAAAUAUUAUUGAACUUAGGAUUCUCAAGCAGCAUUCUAUUAUGGACAUAAGUUUAAACGGCUGCUUGCCAACUCAUCCCAUUCCAUAAACGCCAAUAAUGAAAAUCUCAUCUUCCGUCAAAUAGUCACAGAUCUUUUUAAUUAAUUCUCACUUUCAUUGCCUAUUAGCUUUGAUAUUACCAGGGGUGAGCUUUUCCUGUAUCCUGCAGCACAUGUCGUCGACCCUCUUUGGAAGCUAUUGUGAGCUAGAAUGUCUUCAACUUCUUUACUUAGGUCAUCUAGUCGCUCCACUUGCUGCGGAGAAAGAGACCUACCUUCUCCGAAUGAUUGCACCACGCUCCAUUGUUCCCCUUUUAUCCUUUUCGCUUUCCUGCACCACGUCUCCAACUCAUCCAUGUCAGCUUCUGUGCUGCUUAGUUCUUCCAGCUUUAGUUUCAGAGUUGACAUAUUCUCACCGACAAGCCCACGGGUACCUGGUUAGUUAUCCAUGAGUGCAUCAUCAAUCCUCGUAUCUAAUAUCCACGAGUGCAUCAUAAAGCUAAAUGAAAAUUUAUGAAAAGAAGAACUAAGCAAUUAUGUCGACGUGAAAAUUUAAUAAAGGAUUAAGGGUGUAAAUAAAGGAUCGAGGAUUUUUCCCCGAGGUGGUUUGUACGAGCACUUGCCUUGUUGUUGGGGGCAUGGUCUCUUAAUGGGUUGAUCAGUCUGCAUGUCUGAGGGAUAUUGGGUUUAAAUUCUACUAUGGGUUUUGGGUCUGUUGGGUUUUAUUACUUGAGGUUUGGGUUGAACCUUUCGGCUCUUUAGGUUUCUAUGAGAUGGGUUGAACUGACAAUUGGGUCCAGAUGGGAAGUGACUCUCCUUACACUUUACAUUAAUAUAUAAUAUGAAAAUUAAAAUAUGUAUUUUAGCAUAAAUUACUCAUUAAAUUGUAUCAUAUUUAUAUGAAUCUUCCUCUUUCGAACAAAAUAAAGGUGGAAUUCCUAGUUCCUAUUAUCUCUUAAUAAAUAGUAUGAGGAUGCAAUCAUAAUUAAAAAAAUCCAUAAAGGCUGCUGACAACUGCAAUACUAUAAUAUUGAGAGAAAAUAAUAAAUAUUUAACAAAGAAAUAAACAUAUAGUUUAUAGGAAGAGUUACAACACAUGUUAGAAUUUUAGAUAAUUGUUAUGUAACAUUAAAACUCAUUAAAACUCACGAUCUUUUAUUGGACAAAAUUCACGGGAUUGAACGAGGCAAGUACAAAUCCUAAUUGAAAGCAAAAUAAGUAGUGAGUGCACAAACUUAUUAUUAUGUACUUGUUUAGAUACUGGCUUUCAUGUACCUAUUAUUUUAAAAAUUUUGAGCAUUACAACAUUAGACAAAUUCAAAUCAACCCCAUAAGCUAAGAGUAGAACUUAUAAAGUAAAAGCCACUGUAACGACCCUAAAUUGUAUCUUGAGAUUAAAAUUGAAAAGAUAAGAUACAUAUGAUUUCCACAUCUAAUCCACAAUGACCAGCGCCAUGACUUGUCCUAUUAAAAAAGCGCUAUACUUGCUUUCAAAUUGAUCUUUGAUUGGUGGGUGACCCAUUCAAAUGACGAUAACUAAUCGCCCGAAGAAAAUCUUUCGUCCUGCUAUCGUAUUUUCGGUAGUGUCCCAACAAAUGCACUUGCUACUAGGCAGAACCUCAACAAGCUCCCAUAAUGGAUCCAUCGCUCUCGGCAUUUCCUCUGUAUCCCACAGAAGAAUAAACAGACAUAAUUCAAGUGACUGGGUACCAACAAGGAAAUACUUUUUGUUGUUUUCAAUGUUUUCUUCUCUUUUGGAAGGCAGUUUUCUGUCUUGUUCACUGCUCAUGCUCGUGUAGUCUAUUUCUUGGAUAAUUUCUCAGUUGCCAUGGCCUUGUUGCGCUGAAUAUGGCAGUUUGUCGCAGCCAAGCGCUGGUCUUGUGAUUGCCAAUUAAAGAUUGCAAGGAGUGCAACCUCACUUGCAAAUCUACACUCAUCGAGCUCAAAAUCUCGCCCUUGACUCCGCUUACUGCAAAAGUUCCAUUUACUCGAGUUCUUUUAAUGUCAAUUAAUUCUAAGGUUGCAUGGUAAACUAUCCGAUUUACAUGAGUGGAGAUUGCGAUGUGAUGCAGACUAGAUUAUAUAGCAUCUCUGACCAAGCGCUGGACUGACCGCUCAGCAAUUUAUGAAAGUUAUUUUGACACAGCAAAAAAAGUCCUCGCUCUUUGCUCACCGGAAACGUUGAUUAUCUUAAGUAAUUAAGAGCGCAUUCUGGAAAUAAACUCCAGAACAGUUGUUUCCGAAAAAGACCAGACAAAAUUUUGGUAAGACCUGGUCACCGCAACUCUUUCUGUUUAAUCUGUUGUUAGUUGAAGUGCCAAAAAAGAGCUUGAGAGAUCGCUAAAACGAUAUUUACAAGUGGGUAUGAUAUGAAACGUACCAGAAGAAGAACCAAAGCUGCUCUUGAAAUUCUAAGGCACAGAUCGUCAUUACCAUCCAAGAUUCCGACAAAGAGUUGGGUUUGUCUGCACCAGUGCAAUUUUAAGAGGAGCAAAGGCAAAGGUUGUCGUAGUCAAACCAAAAUAGGUUCCCUGGGGAACAAACGAUGGGCGUCUGGCCUGGAAAAAGUCAAAAAAAAAAAAAAAAAAAAGGCUUGCUGAAUGCGUAUGAGAAAACAGAGAAAAGAGACUUGGCCAUGGUCAAAGUCUUCAACCACGCUUCAGCCCCUAGAAGGUAAAUAAUAAUAAUCUUCAGUUCUGCAUUACUCAAGUCGACAACAAUUUUUGGGGUGGCCUUUUACUCUGGAUGCGAUUUGGAAAGGAAUACAGCAAAUGGAUAUGAACUCCCCGUUUCCUCGUUUCCAUUCAUUAUUAUAUCAUCCUUCCUAUUUGUAUGUUUAUGAUCAAUCGCACAUCAUUGCAUUCUCAACUAAAUUCUGUGCAGAUAAUUAAGACAACUUGAAAUCUCGGUUGUAGCAUGAGCCUUUAGAUUCUGCUACUUGUAUGGUGAAUUCGGGAGCUGCACGAACCUUUUGGGAACGUCCUAAUUGGUUCCAUUCUCUUCAUCAUUUUGGUGGAUGUGCAAUGUCAACCAAAGCUUCUGGUACCACAUUCUAGAUGGAAGCUGGGAACGAUGGAAUUCUGCUGUCGACGGAAUGAGAAACUCCGCUCUGUCCAAUUUUGUUCUGAUGAGGGAGAGAUUGGAACGCCACCCAGCAACUGAGGAUCAGAUGAAUUCAACUCAUCUAAUAUAAGAUAAGACGAUGCAGUUGCACCCACGGCGAAUGAAGGUUCUUUGGAGCUGUCUUUCUUGCUCAUGGAUCGAUGCUAAAUUGGUGGAAUGUUGGAAUUCAAUAACUGAAUGUAGGAUCAGCCUUCGACUUUCCCUUCCAUUCUAUCCUCAACUCCUUACGCUCAAUUGCUUUGGGGACUUCCCCGCGCACUCGCCUAUGGACAUCCCUGCACUCAUUAAUCCAAUAUCCAGGAAUUUCUCUGCUAACUGCCCUUGAUCCUUGUCACCACUUCGCCGCCACCCUACUCCCUCCCGCAGAAGUUACGCUUCCACUUUCGUUUUCGAGUCGAACUCCAGCAAAACAAUUUCGCAUAGUGGAUUUAGGAACAAAUGACUAUCUUUCUGCCUUCCUCAGUUUUCAAAAGUAGACAGUAUCAUAGGAUUCCACUCGUUUGCUUGGUGGGUGGGUUCCUUUUGUCCCUCAAAUCCGACAUCAAUGACAGGGCAACCAACACAGCAAACUCCUCAAUGUGAACAAAACCCUGCACUCCAAACCCUCUCUCUCUCUCUCUCUCUCUCUCUCUCUCUCUCUCUCUGUGGCCUGAGAGCUUUUCUCUCCCUUUCAUGGGAGCUUUCUUCUCCCGAUCUCGAUCUGGGAGUUUAUUUGCAUCCCGUAUAUUAUUUCUUUCUUUCUUGGCGUGCUGCGGAUGCUCCUCCAUUGAAGGUGGCCGAUUCGACGAAUGAGUGAGAUCCCCCACGUUUUAGAGUUUUCCCCCGCUCACCCUACAAGGAAAACCAAACCCUCUCCUUAAAGACCAGUUACCUGGACCCAUACCAGAUCCCACGCCACGAAUUCCUCCAUCUUUAAAAGGUUUGGGAUCUAACCCUCCUUCCGACAACCGAUUUGAGACGUCCACCUACUUUCUCCGUAUCUUGCUGAGAUAUGUGGAAGAGUGUGCACGCCAGGUGUUUGGUUGAUUUUCUAGUACAAAGGUAAUUUCAUAGAUCAGCGGUUGGCUCUCUAUUCAGAUACAUAUGGUUUGAUUUCUUGGAGUGCUGUUGGAGAGCUGUGGUUCGUUCGUUGGCGGUGACAGAUGGUUUUUGUUUUUUGGGUCUGAUAGAUAUCUGAGGAGUGACUACCUUUUUAUGUUAAGCGGAAAUAUGGAGGCGGGCCAAAUUAUGCCCCUAUUGUUGCCAUAUAUAUUAUAGCUUGGAAUGAUAGUUGAAGGCCACAUGCCGAUCUUGUGACCUAGAUAUUGUGUUUCUGUCAAAGAUAAAAUGUGAUAUUAGACGGAUAAAGACUCGUAAAAGGAUUGGAUUUAGUUAGUCAUUCUUGAUUCCCACAGAAAAUAUUGCAGGAGGAUUAGUAGUCAUGUGAAAAUAUCUUGUAGUUUUAUCAUUUUUUUUUUUGCAGAUAAAAACUGAAUUAAUAUUGAGGUUUCUAACAUAGAAAAUCCGAAAUAGUUGUGAUGGCUUUCAUUGUUGUACUCACCUCUUUAUUGUGGUCUUAAACGAGUGGCUUGGGAAGAGUUUAAUGAGACUAUUUAUUGUCCUCAGGCAUCCUAUUAAAGGGGCUUGAGCCCAUCUCGUCACUCUUUAGUGGACUUUAUAGGUCUAGUGGGGCGUGUUGAUCUUAGCUUCAGAGGCAAACCUUAUAAUUGGACAAAUGGCCUAGAGGGCUUUGCAAGCAUUCGGAACAGAAUGGCAAUUUGUUCGACACCGUAGUGUAAGAAAUUCCUUAAUUGGGGGUUGUCCACUUGCCGGUGGUAAACAUGGAUCGCCCUCCUAUUUUACUGAAGUCAACUUCUCCUGAGGAUAAUUCGAGACAAUUUUUUAAAUUUGAAGCCGUAUAGCUGCGGGACUCAACUAAUGUUAACGAAGUGGAAAAGGCUUGGAACAACGAUACGGUAAAUAAUUCAAUGACCUCAUGGCAUAGGAAGCUAAAAUCGAGAGAACUCUCAAAAGGUGGAAUAAGGAACAUUUUUGAUAUUUGCCAACGGUGCCUUAAGGAAUUGAUGGUGUCGCUUGAUUCCAUUCAAAAGGAUGAGCCUUCGUAAGAGGAGCAGGAGGACAAAAAGAAAUCAAGGCGGCUACUAAUGAGCAAUGGGAGAGACUACGUUUUAAAUGGCCAAAGUUCUUUAUUUCUUUGAUCUAGUUUGUUCCAGACGAUGUAUAUUCUUCCAUUAAGUUGGACAACCGCCGAUGGGCGAGACUUGCCUGGAUUUGGACCCCCAUAAGUCGGGAUCGUUUCCAUUGUGGAUUAUGGGAGGCUCACUUAAUCGACAAUUCAAAUGGCAUCCGUUCUAUUGGUCGAGACACAGGCGAAACUUUUCCCUUUGAGCAUAGUCCCAGUAAAGACCUCAAGCUUCUUGAUGUGGCAGCCAUUUGUCCCCGUCCGCCAAAUGAAAAUUUUCGCAAACCAUCCGGCUGGCCACGCUAUGUUUCUGAUUUUGGCAAUCCAUACUCUUUUAAGUGGAUCUCCAUAUAUUUAUGUAUUUAAGUCUGACAGAUCUUUCAAUGAGAGCUUGUAUGGUUUUUCUGAAGGGUCGAUCCUUCAAUCAUAAUGCAACCGUAAUCACACUUUUUAUGGUAAUUCUUAUAUGAAGUGUCAUAAAACUUGACAUUUUCAAUCAACGGCUGAGUCCUUUUCUUUUAAAGUUCGACAAAAGAAAAGUACUGAAAAAGUCAUAAACUUAUCGUGUUGAUACCAAUUUUGCAUUAAACAAUGUAAUCCUAAACUUUUUCAUAUUAGUACCAAUUUCAUCCAUCCGGCCAAUUUAGAUUAAAAAUGGCUAACAUGGAUACCAGCCAUUUUACGUGUCAUGGUCGAUGAUGACGUGGGCAAAUUUUAUUAAUAUUUGUGAAUUUUUAAAUAAUUUUUUGAUUUCUUUACGGUGGCCACCGAUAAAAAGUAAGAAAGAAAAGAAGAGGGAAAUAAGAAAAAAUUCACAAAAAUCAAUAAAAAAAUUAUUAAAAUUUAUCCACAUUAGUGUCGACUAUGCCAUAUAGGACGGUCAAUUUUCACAUCAUCGAUUUCCAACUUAAAUUGACCGGGUGGAUCGAAUUAAUAGUAAUAUGAAAACGUUUAUGACUAAAUUAUCUAAUUAAAAAUUUAGAAUUGAAUUAGUAUAAAUGUAAUAGAUUUAAGACUUUUUUAAUACUUUUCCCAUUUGACAGACACCACCUUUGUGAGAAAUGGUGUGUCGACGGAUUAUACAGGAUUAUACAAUUCCCAUUCGUUUAUUUUUUACCCUUUUAUGAGAUAGCAAAAUAAAUCUAUGAAUCGGAAGGGCAGGUCCAGCUUGGCCCAAUAAAGAUUGGGCUAGGCUGUCCAGUUUAUGAAAUCUUACUCAUGUGAGAGCCCAUUCUUAUCCAUGUCGCCGAAUGCUCUCCCCUCUUUUUUUUUUUUUUUUUUUUUUUUUUUUUUUUCAGGUAGAAUUUGCCUAUUUUAUUUAUUUUUGCCAAACUUUUCUUUCUUGGUCAUACUAUUUUUGCCAAACUUGUCAUCUUUGAAACGUGCUAGGGAUUUUACAACAUUUUAACUCGCUCUGUCCUCGCCCAAUGACCACGAAUUCAAGCUUCAACCUUAUUAAUGGAGUAGCUUAGAAGUGCCAACAGUUAGAGCGCAUGAACAUAACUUGUUCCACUUUAAUAUCCUAAAAAAGUCUUCCGUCCGAGGUCGACAAAUGCGUGCAAUCGCUCGAUGCUUCCUCUGGCUCCUGACUGUGACCAAUCUGUCGGAUGUGUUCUUCCACUUGAAUUCUAUCAUGUAUUUCUUAGUCAAUGACUGAAAACAGGAACAAAGAUAAGAUAAUGUAGUUUAAUGGAAUUUGACUGCAUGCGCUUUUGCAGAUCUCUUUUCUUUGGUGACGUGAUGAAGUUUCUAGCUGCAUAUGAACAACUUUGUCAACAUGGUCGAAAUUCGGUCCAAGACCGGAACUUCCCUGGUUGAGCUUCAUGCUAGAAUAAUGACCCUAGAAAGAUGGAAAGAUGGAAACCAUUAGUCUCAAAGUUGAGAAUUUUUAUAUUGGAUCUUGUUGAUGGGUGCGUUUCCGACACUAAUUUAUGGUUCGAAAACUUCGGAAAAUCAAUAUGCAGUGAUCUGACAUGUUGCAAAGCAUUUAAGCGAAGACCUUAAAAGUAACUAGUGUUAACGUUUUCUCUGGAUGGCAAGAUGGUUUCAACAGACUGAAUUCCAUCCAUCACCAGGCUUCGGAUUCUCUGUCCAGCUCAGAUGAGAUGAGCACUGAAGACUGGUGUCACGGUAUUGAUUGAUGCUAUGGACUUCGAAGGGUCGAUAUAGUUGCCUCUACAAUAGAUGAGAUAAGGGGAAAUCCGUUUUUUACUAGUCAAAGAAAUGAACUUUGGUCAACGUAUCAUUGUCAGAUGAACAUCUUACCCGUGAUCCUCCCUCUUAUUUCCGCUAUCGUAAGUCAAAUUCUGACGUUUAAAGUUGAAAACACAUACUUUAGUCCCCAUUGAACAACCAUUCACCAAGUCCACGCUUCUCAUAUUUUUCGCCUUAAACUUCGUUAAUUACGACAAAUGGCAGUCUCUUUAUCCCUCCAGAAACAAAGCUCAAACCUUGAACACCCGCAGGAUGGAUAGCUUGUGUCUUUGGCUUGUGACAGGAAGUUAGGUUCUGCUCUUCUCAGGCUUCACGGUGGCAGUUGACACCAUUGAUGCAUCUCAAUCGUUAAGCGACAGGGAGACAAUAGCUUCGAGUGGGGGAACUUUUGAACUGGGAUUUUUCAGUCCAGGCAGUUCAAGGGGCCGUCACGUGGGAAUUUGGUAGAAGAACAUCCCAGUUAGAACUGUUGUUUGGGUUGCAAAUAGAAGCAAUCCAAUCAAUGACUGUAGUGGCAUGUUGAUGAUAUAACACAGAUGAUAUAGUCCUACGCCACAACAACAGUGUCGUUUGGUCCGUGAACACUGCUGGAUGGGCCGAGAAUCCAGUUUUACAGCUCUUAGAUUAUGGAAAUCUUGUGCUGAGAGAUGACAAGAAUGACAGUUUGGAUACCCAUUUGUGGCAAAGCUUGGACUACCCAACCGACACUUUUUUGCCGGAAAUGAAGCUUGGAUGUGACUUAAAGACCAGUCUCGAUUGGCAGUUAUCUUCCUGGAAGAGCCCAGAUGACCUGUCACCGGGAGAUUUCACUUGGGGGAUGGCCAACAGUAAUUUCCCUGACGUUGUAAAAUGGAAGGGCUCCGACACGUACUUUAGGAGCGGACCAUGGAAUGGCCUUCGUUUCAGCAGCACACUGCAGCAAGGGUCCAAUUCCAUUUUCUGGUAUAAUUUUGUAUCUGAUGGAUACGAAAUUUACUAUAUGUAUCAUGUCACCAACAAAUCUGUGCUUGUGAGGAGCAUCUUUGAUCAAACGAACUACUUGUGGGAGCGGUCCACAGGGAGCAAAGCGACUCAAAGCUGGAGGCUCUUCCUAACAGUUCCUAACAGUUCUGAAGGACUGCUGCGACACCUAUGGCAUUUGCAGUACCCACAGCAAAUGCAUGACUAACCAGCUGCCAUAUUGCCAAUGCUUAAAAGGAUUCACACCUAAAAACCCGGAUGAAUGGAACUCCACUGAUUGGUUGCAAGGAUGUGUUUGGAACGAGCCUCUGAACUGCAGCACCAGCGAUGGAUUCAUGAAAUAUUCUAACAUGAAAUUGCCGGAUACUACUCAUUGUUUAGUGGAUAGUAUCUUGAGCCUCGAAGAUUGCAGGACCAAAUGCUUGAACAACUGUUCAUGUGCAGCAUAUGCAAACUCAGAUAUCAGAGGACGAGGAAGCAGAUGUGCAAUGUGGUUCGGUGAUCUGAUAGGUAUGAGACAGUAUCCAGAUGAUGGACAGUUUCUGUAUGUGCGAAUGCCAGCUUCUGAAAUAGGUACUAUCUUGUUUUGGCAUCUCUGAAAAAGGUAGGUCUUGCACUAGAUUUCCUUUUCACCUAUCAUUCUUUUUCCUUUCAAAUGUGAGCACAAACCUUUCCAUAGUUACCCAUUAUAUCUGGCAUUUAUAUGUUUUUAAUGCUGACUUUUCAAUUGAGCAGGGAAGAGUAAGUCCAAGGUGUGGAUAGCUCUGGUAGUUGUAUUAGCAAUUGCCAUAGCUAUUGCCAUGCUAGUCGCCAUCUGUUACGCCCGCAGAAGAAGGAAAAACUUCGGCAGUACAUAUUUCCUUUCAUGACUUUCCUCACAAUACUAUGUUUUCAUGCAAAAGAGAAUAUUUGUGGUCUAAGAAAAGAGAGAGAAUAUCGAAAAUUAUUACUCUUGAUUUGAUAACUGAAAAUUUGGCAUAGUCAGAGAGUUGCAUAGUCAGAAAAUUAUUAGAAGUGGGACUUACUACACAUGCUUCCCUGCCUUCUUUUUGCUUGAGCUAAGUACCUCCGAUUUUCCACAUCAGAGAUAGCAGAAGAUAUAUCUGAAGGUCAAGAGAGUAAACACCCUGAUGAUGACUUGGAGCUCCCAUUAUUCGACCUACACUCAAUUGUUGAGUCCACAAAUAAUUUUUCGAUGAGGAACAACCUAGGUGAAGGCGGUUUUGGACCUGCAAGAUAAAACAAAAUUUGGAGUGGACUAUCCGAAACAUAGCACAAAGAUCCGGCCAUCAGAAUUGAAUCUUCCCAUUGUUGUUUUUAUCCAGGGUAUACUUUUAGAUGGAGAGAAAUCGCUGGGAAGAGACUCUCAAGGAGCUCUAGGCAAGGACUGAGGGAGUUCAAGAAUGAGGUCCUACUAAUUGCAAAUCUUCAGCACCGAAAUCUUGUAAAGCUUCUUGGUUGUUGCAUUCAGGGAGACGAAAAGAUGCUGAUCUACGAAUUCAUGCCCAACAAAAGCUUGGAUGCCUUUAUUUUUGGUAACCUAGUUGAUGUAUUUCUAGUUAAUUUUAAAAUGUAGCCAUUGCCUGUAAAGAAAAAAAUAUCACGAGACAUGGGACUGACUUGACUAAAACCUGACGGAUAAAGAGAAAAGUAAGUUAUUGGAUUGGCACAAGCGGUUCAAUGUCCUCUGCGGUGUUGCUAGGGGCCUACUCUAUCUCCAUCAGGUUGAGGAUAAUCCACCAGGACCUCAAAGCGAGUAAUGUCCUACUUGACAACGAGAUGAAUCCAAAAAUUUCAGAUUUGGGAGGCUAGGAUAUUUGGAGGGGAUGAGAUGGAAGGAAAUACCAACAGAGUGGUUGGGACAUAGUAAGUAUCUUACAGUUAUCUUACAGUAUGGUCUGCAUAGAGUGAAAAAGGGUGGUUCUGAUUCCAUUUUAAUGCAUGUUGUAAUAUUUUCUUUUGUUCUUCAGUGACUACAUGGCACCUGAAUAUGCUAUUGAUGGGCUAUUUUCAGCAAAAUCGGAUGUGUUUAGCUUCGGUAUUUUGGUCCUCAAAACUGUGUUUGGAAAAAGGAACAGGGGAUUAUAUCAUUCGAAUCAGUCUAGUCGGCCAUGUGAGUAAUUUGUUUUAUAUAAUUUUUUGUAAUCUUAAGUAGCUUUAUGGUCCAAUGAAGUUCGUGCAAUUUUUCAUUUUGUAGGCAUGGAAGUUGUCCGAAGCUGGCAAGUCUUCCGAACUGAUCGAUUCAUGCUUGGUGGACAACAUCCAAUAUAUCUCAAGUGUUACGAUGUGUUCAUAUUGGUCUCCUAUGUCUGCAAGAACAUCCUGAGGAUAGGCCUAGCAUGUCGUCGAUUGUGACAAUGUUGAGCAGUGACAACGCAUUGGCUGUGCCUCAACAACCAGGUUUCCUCGUGGAGAGUAAUCCGCACAGAGGAAAUUCCUCGUCUAGCGUUGGACUCGUCUAUAGUCAAUGAAAUGACUUUUACACUUCUAGAGGCCCGAUGAGAAGACAGGAACUUGCCACAGUUUUGCAUUAUUCUGUACUUGUUUAGUUCAUUAAUAUACAUCAUGGAUUUUUAGAAUUCAUGUUAUCAGUUGAGCCUGUGUAGCUGUAAAUGGUUUGUUAGCAUUGAAUGUCUUAAUAAUCUGUCUUCAUCUCAUGAGCAUAUCUCUAAUCGGCUCGUAUUGUGUUCCCUAGCUGAAACAGACCUCAUUUACAUUGACCUCCUGAUUGUUAACAUCUUGGUGGAGACCCUGGUGAUAGACUCGCCAAUCUCAGAAGCUAAUCUCAGAUCUUCAGGUCGUGGUUGGUACAAAGUAGCUAAAACUCAAACUGAUUAUUCCUUAUUAAGUCUCAAAAGGGGAUAAGAACGCUUCAAGUGCCAAAAGUUGGCACAAAGGGACACUUAAGUGCCAAAAGUUAUGAAAGUGACACUUAAGUGCCACUUUGUAAGAAAAGUGGGACACCUGAGUGCCACCUCCGACGAAGGCAGCCGGAAAUCAUACGUGGCAAUUAAAUAAGAUUAUUUCUCGUCGAGGUGGCUCGCCGGAGAGCUGAGUCAGCUCUAAUUCACCAAAAACGACGUCGUCUCCUCAGGUUGGCCAAAAUGGAGCCCUUAAAUCAACCAAAACGACAUCGUCUCCCCCAUUGCCCCAAAUCUAAAACCCUAAAUCCAGCAAAUUGCCAUUGAAGCGUUGGAGCCCUAAUCCCGAACCCUAACUCGAUUUGCCCCAAAUUCUACGGUUGGAUAUUAAGAAUGGAGAGCAGGACUUUCAGCAGCGACUCAAAUUUCUCUCGCCAAAGCGAAGGAGAAGGCGAGCGUUUCUGUUUUUGUGGGUUACCAAGUCCAAGAAGAACAUCGUGGACGCGAAGGAAUCCUGUGAGAAGAUUCUAUGGAUGUGCCCGAUACAGAGAAGGGUCGAAGUGCAAAUAUUUCGAAUGGGUUGAUGCGAAAUUCUCUCACCGAGCCACAGAGGUGAUAUUGGACCUACUUGAUGGAUGUCAUCAACCUCCAUCUACACCUGUGGACGAUUUGGACGAGGUUGACUCAAUGCAAGCUCAAGCAUCUUCUGCUAACCAUUUGAAGAAUGAAGUUUCAAAGAUGAAUAUUGAACGAAAGUGUUACCGAGCAUUUAUUGUGUUGCUGUUUUUUUGUCUAUCCUAUUUUAUGAUGAAAUGUAAAGUAUUGGAAAAUGAAAAAAAGUUUCUCCGACUGCCAUAGUUGUAAAUGAGGUCAAGGAAAGGGAAUGAAUGAAUGAAUGAGAUGCUGUUUGAAUGAAUGAGAUGCUAUUUGUACUAUAUUUUUGCUUAUUCUCGAAUAUAAAUCGGUGAUGAUGGAAUGUAUAUUGGGUGGAUGUGUUGUGGUGACUUCUUUUCUUCAACUGAAUGUAAACCAGUAGCAAUGAAUCGAAUGGAGUUGGCAUAAGUUGAACAUUCGUAUAUAUAAACCAGCAGCUUCUUUGGUUUGCUGCAAAUCAUCAUUUACAUAGGACAAACAUGAGUGAUUACUCGAGUGCUAUAAGUUGUAUAUAGUGAUCACUUAAGUGCCAGUCGUGAUUAAAAAAAAGUCAUUUAAGUGUCAAGUUAGUAUCAAAAGUGAUCACUUAAGUGCCAUUUGUGAUUAAAAGUGAACACUUAAGUGCCAUUUGUGAUUAAAAGUGAACACUUAAGUGCCGAGUUUUUUAGAAUGUGAUCAGUUAAGUGUCAAUUUUAUUUGUACGUUUCAUCUAUAAACUGCACCAGCCAUCAGCUGCUAUCAGCCACCACGACCGCCCACCACUGGCCACCAUCGGCCUCUAGCCAUCACCACCAGCCACAUCAAGCAUUCCAGGCAUCCACUUGAGCCAUUACUAUGCUGCUGGUAUUCUGCAGUGCAGAAGUUCCUAGUGCCUUACAUCAGCUUGCACCAACACUACCUGGAGCAAGAUGUGUGCAAGAUGUGCAUAUUGCACACUUACAUCUUGCACCAAGUGCAGCACAAACCCCCAACCCCCAACCCCUAUAAUAGACCCACCAGCCUAUCAGUAGGCAUCGGCACCAACAUCUUAGCUACCACACCAGCACGUAGCCACCACCAUAAACCCACCAUUAACAGCCACUGUUGGUGGUGGGUCGUGGGUUUGUUGCAAAAGGGGUUCAUGCAAACUAUACUAGUUACAGCAAAAGGCCCCAACCCAAUCCACAUAGCGGACCCACCACCAUCAAGUUUCACCAACCGCCACCACCAGCCACACAAGCACCCCAGUCACCACCACAGAUCCACCACCAGAAGCAGAAAGCAAUAAGUAAAAGUAAAAACAAAAUACAAAAAAUGAAAAAGGCACCAAAGAUGACAAGCAACAAAAUCAUUUCAUUGAUAUUGAAAUGAAGUCUCACAAAGUCGAUGACAAACUAUUUAAAAGAAAACAUCCACAGUAAAACAAUUGACUCGUCAGCCCCACAAACCAUAUCCCAUCCCAUUUCAUUAAUCAAUAUGCACAAUGCCUCCUGUUCGUGCUCCUUUCACUUGAUUCAUAAUCCUUGUGCUUUUUCUAACUGGACGUGAGGUUUCUUCUUCAACUGUCUCAGGAUGCGUUGAUUCUGAUGGAGGUGCAAUUGUCCUAGGCUGAGCUGAUUGAGAAGGAGCUGGAGCUGCAACUGUCGUAGGCCGAACUGAUUCAGAUGGACCUGUAACUAGGUUUUUCUUACUCUUCUUUCUUGUUGGCGCAACCAAUGUCUUCUUCUUUUUUGUUGGUGCAGCCGUUGAUUCUUGAGUUUGGCCUUGAGAGAUAAGAACCUCUGAACUUCUCCCAGGCUUCAAAAAGAAAACUCAAUUAUUAACAAAAUUUUGCACCAUAAAUUAAAUUAAAUACAGCCUAGUAAGCUUAUAAAACUUACAUUAAGAAUAACUGUUCCAGAACGCUCAUCUGUAUAAAGCCCAUAACCAUACUGUUUUAGCCUCUUUCCAAGAGCUCCUCUUGUUCGAAGGGGAACGUCAGUUUCAGGUACUUGUGAUUGAUUAGCCCUUCUUCUCGCAUGUGAUUUCUUGGGCUCUUAUUGUGGCUGUUUAGCUACAGCAGGGGCUUCUUCUGGGCAUUCGAAUGUUAGACGUCUUGUAGAUGGCCUUCUUGUAGGUGGCUCAUGAUUUGGCUUUCUUUUGGUUGUUUUUCUAUUUAGCCCUUCAGCUUCAAUGACACCUUCUGUUGGCUUUUGUGGUGGCCCUUGUGAUGACCCUUUUAGUGGCCUUUGUGGUGACCUUGGUGAUGGAUCUUGUGGUGACCUUUCAGUUGGGCCCUUUGUUGACAGCUGAGCUCUAGCUUGCCUUCUUCGAACCUGAGAAAAAGACAAAUGAUAUCAUAAAUAUAAACAUCAGGCCAUUGUAAAGGAAAACUAAACACAAAUUAUUUAAGUUACCGGGUAUUUUUUUCUCUGCUUCUGCUGAAGAACAGUCGACUUAACUGGCCCUCCAGUUGCUUCGGCCAAUCCUUGAGCUGGCUGUCUACCUGGCCUUGUUUGAACAGACCCUUCAGUUUCAGGUAUAGCAGGGGCUUCGACCAAUUAUUCACGUGUCAUUCUCCUGACCUGACAAAGACAAAAACAUUAUGUCAAUUAGUUGUACAUAUCNNNNNNNNNNNNNNNNNNNNNNNNNNNNNNNNNNNNNNNNNNNNNNNNNNNNNNNNNNNNNNNNNNNNNNNNNNNNNNNNNNNNNNNNNNNNNNNNNNNNNNNNNNNNNNNNNNNNNNNNNNNNNNNNNNNNNNNNNNNNNNNNNNNNNNNNNNNNNNNNNNNNNNNNNNNNNNNNNNNNNNNNNNNNNNNNNNNNNNNNNNNNNNNNNNNNNNNNNNNNNNNNNNNNNNNNNNNNNNNNNNNNNNNNNNNNNNNNNNNNNNNNNNNNNNNNNNNNUCGUUUUCGCUUUGGUCUUCCCAUUCUCUUCUUUAAUGGCAAAGGUUGAGGUGCUUCAUGAUCUGUUGGCUCCCAGAACUUGGCACCUCUGAUUGGCUGCAACAUGCAUUGGUACGAAGCAAGAUAUCUCGGUUUCUUGUACCAAUCAUCAAGGUAGUCUUCUGUGUUGUGGCCCUUCAAUUGAAUGGCACAUAUGGCAUGUGCACAAGGAAUUCCACUUACUUGCCAUGCUCCACAUGAACACUUCCUCGUACCUAAAUGGACAACAUACUUAUCAGAGCCCUUCAUUAUCUCAUAUCCUUCAUCCCCAUUCCAAAUGGGAUGACAAUACCUACUCGUAGCCAAGUUCUCAUCCAAUUUUUUAGCAAUCCUAGGACCACAUUGCCUAGUCCAGUUUGCAGCCUCAUCCCUUUGUUUGUGCAACCGAGUCAUAACCAUAACCCUUAUGUCUUCAAGCAUCAAGAUAAUUGGUUUGCAUCUGGCAUCUAUUAUUCUUCCAUUGAAUGAUUCGCAGAUGUUGUUAUUUAUGUUAUUGCACUUGAAUUCCUCACUGAAGAACGCCCUACACCAAUACUUUGGUUCUGUUUGGAAUAGUGCAUCAUAACAUUCCCUUGUCAAUUGAAGCAGUUCUUCUUUGGCCAUCCUAAAAUCAGCCAUAUUCGUGCUCUUUGCUAGCUGCCAAAAUUUGAACUGCAGCUUAUCCCCUUUAUAGUUCUUUCCCCAAUUUGCAUAUAUGUGCCGCGCACACAUUCGAUGCUCGGCAUAAGGCAACAACUCAGCUAUAGCUGGAACCAGUCCCUGCAAUAAUUCAAAAAAAGAAAAGAAAUGUAAGCAAACGACAUGUUCAUAUCAACAAGCAAACAAUUGACCAAAUCUUUCAAAGAGUACCUUCUGUUGGUCACUCAUGAACGCCCACCCUGCACCAUUUGUUAUCUCCAAAUCAGCCAUCAAAUUUUUUAGGAACCAGGACCAAUUGUCCUUGUUCUCUACCUUUACAACAGCCCAAGCCAGUGGAAACAUCUGGUUGUUUGCAUCUAUUCCAAUUGCAGCCAACAAUUCUCCCUUGCACAAGCCCUUCAAAAAACACCCGUCCAAUCCUAUAAUCCGUCUACAACCAGAUAAAAAUCCUCGUUUGCAUGCAUCGAAGCAAACAUAGAACUUAUCAAACUUGGUCCCAAUAUCAGGAAGUGGUUGAGAUAGCUAGUGUAAGCACCUAGAGGGGGGUGAAUAGGUGCACAAACAAUUUAUCGAGAUACGUAAGCGAUUCUUGGCAAAUGAUAGAAAUGAAGUUUACUAUGAUUAACGAAAAUGAAGUACGAUCAAAGUAAAGAGAGUAAGGAAGAGAAAAUUGAACACAUGGUUUAUAGUGGUUCGGCUUAUUCCAAGCCUACGUCCACUCUUCCGCACUGACAGCCCACCGGCUGGAUUUCACUAUGAUCAAAAGAGAAGUUACAGCACAGCUUUGCCUUGAUUCCACAGUGUAGAUGUUCUACCACACCUCCUCAAGGUUUCUCACAAAUAUAGACUCUCUUUUGUAUACAAGUAUUCGCUCAAAGUGAUUGUCUAAACAAAAAGGAGCUUCAGACUUUGGAAUUCUUCUAUCGCGCACACCUUGAACAACUAAGACCGUCUUCCUUAUAUACUCCUUUAUGCCAUCAUACCCGUUGGCACUUACCAAAGGAAUUCCUCUAAUCUACCCAUUGGACGGAAUCAAUUAGGAAGAUUGUUCGAGCUAUUAAAGGAACGUGUCGAUAGCCCAUUAAUCCUGUUCGCCCAUACAAUCAGGAUCUCGGUUUCCAUAAGUAGAACCUUCCAAGAAUAUUUAGGCAAUCAUCGAAUCUUCAAUCAUCGAAUCAAUCUCGAUCAAUCAAAGGAUUUUGUUACGUCUUUUCCAGCCACGAGAUCUUCUCCAGUUGAUAAGGUUAAAUCCUUGACGAAACAUCCAGUUCUGGAUAACCUUUCUUCAACGGAUUAGAGAUUGUCAAUGAGGAUAGACUUUGAGUCUUGAGUCUGGCUGUCCGGAGGUCUUCAGACUUUAAAUAGCAGAGUCUGCAAGCCUUCAGACUAGACUGAUGGAAACGUUUUGUCAGCUUCAAAACACUUCAAGAAGAUUUCUCCAACAAUCUCCCCCUUUUUGAUGGUGAUAAAACUUUCCUGCAGAUUUGGAUAACUUUGACCUGCAAAACAUUUAUCAAACACAUAUGCAUAUCUUAUAGAGAUAAAUGGCUAAAUGAAUAACAAUAGAAUCUGCAACCACAGAAAAUAGGUUAGCAGAAAAUAGGUUAGAUUAGUAUACGAUAAAGCCAUCCAUAAGAUAUCAAUAGUAGUUAAUAAAAGCAGUCAAGUCCAAGUCUAGUUCAGUUCUCAUCCAGACACAAAGUCAAAGUCAAACAAAACAAUCCAACAAACAGUCCACACGAUUAAAAGUUUAACGAUUGAAUGUUUGAAAGUUUGAUCAAAUCUUGCAUCUCUCCCCCUUUUUGUCAGCAUUAAAAAGGUUGAGAUGAAGUCAAGAUUGCUUGGGAAUGCGGACAAGCUGGAAAUCUUCCAUAGACUGAACGAUGCCUUCCAGCCUUUUCAAGUCUUCCUUCAGUUGUGCAAUCUCCUCACCCUUGGCAUUGGCCUGAAUCUGAACAGAGAGGGCUUGGAUCUUAUCAUUCAAUGAACAUGAAGAAACUUGACCCGCAUUCUGCAAGUUUUGAACCUCGCAUCCCAAGGCAUAAAUUUGACCUCGCAUCUCCAAGAGAAUAUCUAUGAUUCUGUGAAAAUCUGCUGUAUUAUCAAUCUGAGUACUUGCUUCGGCCCGAUCUGAUGGAGUAAAUGCAGAUGAUGGUAGAUCAGCAUAAUCUCGCAGGUUUGGCGAUGAAACUUCAUGACCUUCUUCUGGAAACUGAGAGGCAUAAACAUCUUCUGGGUUUGCAGGUGAGCGACUGACUCCUUCACUUGCAUCAGGAUAUGAAGACUUCCCUCCUUUCUCUUGAUCUCCCCCUGUUUUCAUGCCUACAGGUGGAGAAGAGAGUUCCUCAGGUUCUCCUUCUUCUCUUCUUUCUUCUUCAGGUCUUUCCUCCUCUGCUUCUUUUUCAGCUUCUCUUUCUUCUUCUUCCUUCUCCUCUGCAUCCUUCUCCUCUGCUUCUUUUGUCAUUUGUUCCGAUUCUUUCUGUGGAACAGGACGACUUAAAUUCUUCAAAGCCAUUGCAGAGAUGGUGAUGUCUUCCUCAUCAUCUUCAUCCUCAACGAGGAGAGCUCUUCUUCUCUUGGAUGGAGCAACCAUGGGCUCCUUCCCUUUUCUUUUAGCUGCAGAAGAGAUUUGAUGAGUUUUGGCAGGAGUCUUCUCCUUGAAUUUUUCCAACUCCUUUCUCAAUUCCUUCAGACGCAUUUUGGUCACCAUUUUCAGUCCUACCACCAUAUGAUCACAUGGUCGAACACAAAAGAUUUGCGGAGGCUGAAUAUUCAGAUGUCUGAAUAACUUCGUAACAAGGCUUGGGUAAGGGAGUUGACUUCUGUCCUUCAUCAUUGCUCUAUACAUGUGAAACAUAACAGUGUGAGGGAGAGAAAACUUUUUCCCAAAGAGGAUGGCAUACAUCAGCUUUGCCUCUGAACUUGAAACAUCAGUUUUGGAAGUUGAUUUCGGUCGGAGGCAAUUAAUCACAAUCUUGUGAAGUAAGAUAUUGAAUGCACUCAUCCUUAAGUAGGUGAUCUUCUCAUCUGUUCUCCUGUCCUUCACCAGUUCCAGUGUGGCUCGAGCAAUGGAAACUUUAAUUGGCUGAUAUCUUCCUCUUUCAACUCCUAACGCAUCUGCCAGCAUAUUCAUAUCCACAACAUAGUCUUGGUCUUUAACGCUGAAAGAGAAUCUAUUCGCAUCCAAAAAGUUAAGAUUUGAAUAGAAAUAUGCAGUUAAUCCAGCAUAGGCCUCGGUAGUGUCAGAGCAGAACUUUUCAAGUUGAAGAUAAUUGAACUUUUCCCUCAAGUUCACAUUCACAGCAUCCAGAAAAUCAAAAUCCACACUCCUAGGGUUUAUUACCCCACGCUUCAGCAAUUUCGAGUACAGAUCCUUUUGUUCCUUCGAUCUGAACAAAUCUCCCAUUUUUCCUUGAUUUUCAACCGCAAUACCCAUUUUCGGUUGAAAUAGGCUGUACAAAUUGUCAUCAUCAUUCCCAUCUACAGGAUUCGGCCCUCAGUCACGAGGAUCACUUGGGAUAUUCGCAAGGGUUUCCUCAGCCACCCCUUUACGAGCAAUUCCCAAACUUUCCAUUUUUCGCAGAAAGAUAUAUUUGUUAUUAUAUCCUUUGUCUUUAAGAAAAUCAUCAACAUAGUUCAAAGGAGUACGAGUUCCUUUUAAGGCACGAUAUAGCUUGUAAAUAUAAGCGGGCUUUUGAACUCUUACAGGGUCUGCAUCCUCGAUGAUUUCUUCCUGUUGUUGAUGAUCAACGGUUUGAGGACUAGAUGGAGGAGAAUGACGCUGCUGAGAAUGUUGUGGGCUCGGUUGCUGUUCUGGAGACACUUCUUCCUCAGUAAGAUCGAAGUGCGUAGGCCCCUCACUCAUUCGCCGUGGUCCCCUGCUUGCGAUUCUAGAAGACUUUCUUGAAGAUGACAUCUUUCUCAGUUUUUGGAAGAUUCCUUGCUUGACUUUCCCAAGAAAGAUGACAACUUUUUGAAGAUUAAACAAAGAAGACAAACGAGAAUGGAGGAUCGAUGCUUUCUAGGGUUUUUGAGAGUAAAGUGAAGAGGAAUCAACAGUGCACGAUCGGUUAAAAAGAGAGAUAAAUGAAUCGUCACAAAGGAAGGUAAAAAGAUGCCUUUUUGAAAUAACUGUCUUUUUCCGUGAAAAUAGUCAUUUUAAAAAUAACUUCUUUUUGGAAAAUGAAAUGAUGCAAUAAUUACGUCGAUUAAAGAUAGCAAUAAAACACGGUUACCAAUCGUACCUUUUCAAGAUAAGAUUCGAGAGAGAGAGAGAGAAAGACUAACUUACAGUCUGACGGUCGUACCAAGACUAACUUACAGUUAAAGUCUUGUAUGUCUGAGUCUGAAAGUCUUUAGACUUUGAUUUCCUCAUACCUCAAAAUGUUGAGUCUGGAACGGAUGGUUUCGAACUGAUUUUUCUCCAACGGCUUUGUGAAUAUAUCCGCCAGUUGGUUCUUUGAGUCAACAAAUUGAAUUGAAACAUCUCCAUUUUGAACAUGGUCUCUAAGUGAUGUCGAAUCUCUUUAUGCUUCGCUCUUGAGUGUAGAAUUGGAUUUUUGGUGAGAUUGAUAGCGCUGGUGUUGUCGCAAUUAAUCUCCGUGCAUGAGUCUUCAAUUCCAAAGUCUCUUAGCUGUUGUUUCAUCCACAGAAUUUGCGAACAACAACUUCCGAGAGCUACAUACUCUGCUUCUGCUGUAGAGAGAGCUACUGUGCUUUGCUUUCUUGAAAACCAAGACACUGUCCUGCCUCCAAAUAGUUGACAAGUACCCGAGGUGCUCUUUCUAUCGACUUUGCAUCCAGCAAGGUCUGCGUCUGAAUAUCCAAGAAGAGUAAAGUCUCCCCUUUUUGGAUACCAGAGACCAAAGCUUGAAGUUGAUGAGAUAUAUUUGAUAAUACGCUUUGCUGCAUUUAAAUGAGAUUCUUUUGGGUCUGAUUGAAAUCUGGCACAGAUGCAAACACUAAACAAAAUGUUAGGUCUAGAAGCAGUAAGAUAAAGAAGAGAUCCGAUGAUACUCCUGUACAGCUUUUGAUCAACUUUCUUCCCUUCUUCAUCUUAGUCUAUCUUCAAGGAACUUGACAUUGGUAUGUCAGCCUUUUUGCAAUUGUCCAGACCAAACUUUUUGAUAAGAUCAUUUGCAUACUUUUCUUGAUGAAUAAAAGUUCUUUCCUCCAAUUGUUUUAUUUGAAGUCCAAGAAAGAAGGUUAACUCACCCAUCAUGCUCAUUUCAAAUUCUUCCUGCAUAAUCUUAGAAAAUUUCUUGCACAGACUUUCAUUAGAGGAUCCAAAGAUAAUAUCAUCGACAUAUAUUUGAACAAGCAGAAAACUUUUGCUUUCGCUUUUAAUAAAAAGAGUAGUGUCCACUUUACCUUUAACAAAUCCAUUUUGAAUUAAAAACUUACUUAAUCUGUCAUACCAAGCUCGAGGUGCUUGCUUUAAGCCAUAUAAGGCCUUUUUGAGUCUGAAUAUUGAGUCUGGUUUCCUUGGGUCUUCAAACCCUGGUGGUUGUUCCACAUAGACUUCCUCAUGGAUGAAUCCAUUUAGGAAAGCACUUUUGACGUCCAUUUGAAAUAACCUGAAAUUUUUAUGACAAGCAAAUGCAAGUAAUAAACGAAUUGCUUCUAACCUUGCUACCGGUGCAUAAGUCUCGUCAUAGUCGAUCCCUUCUUCUUGUGUGUAUCAUUUGGCCACGAGUCUUACUUUGUUUCUUACGACUUUACCUUUCUCGUCCAUCUUGUUUCUGAAAACCCAUUUAGCUCCAAUAAUUGAUUUUCCUUUCGGUUUUGGAGUUAAUUCCUAGACAUCAUUAAUUUUGAAUUGUCUGAGUUCUUCUUGCAUAGCUUCAAUCCAGCUUUCAUCGGAUAAAGCUUCUUCUAUGCUCUUGGGUUCUAUUUUAGAAAUAAGAGCCACGGCACUAGACUCUUUUCGCAUUUUGGAUCUUGUGCGUAUUCCUUCAUUGAUGUCGCCAAUAAUAAGAUCUUUGGGAUGACUGGACUUAUGUUUCCAGUUGCUGAUUAAUUGAUGAUCACUUCCUUCACUUGAAUCUUCAACAGUUACUUGUUGCUGAUCCUUCAAAAUCUGAGCUGCUUCUUGAUAUUUAGACUUUGUUGAGUCUGGAGCAGAUUCAGUCUCUUCAAGAUGAGUCUGAAUGGAUUCAUUUUGAAUGGAAUCUUGGAAUUUGACAUUCAUUGAUUCUUCCACAGUUUGAGUCUUCUUGUUGUAGACUCUGUACGCUUUACUUGUAGUUGAAUAUCCAAGGAAGAUGCCUUCAUCUGACUUUUCUUCAAACUUACCAACUCGAUCAUUUGCAUUUUUCAAUAUGAAACAUUUGCAUCCGAAAACAUGAAAAUAUGAAACAAUUGGCUUCUUUUCUUUAAAUAGUUCAUAAGGGGUUUUUUCUAGAAUAGGCUUUAGAAAGACUCUAUUGAUAAUAUAACAUGAUGCUGAAACUGCUUCAGCCCAAAAUCGUAAAGAGAUAUUGCUUUCAUUUAAAAGAGUUCUAGCCAUUUCUUGAAGAGAUCUAUUCUUCCUUUCCACGACUCCGUUUUGCUCUGGAGUAUAUGGAGAGGAGAACAAAUGUUGAAAACCAGAUUCAUCACAAAAUUUUGCAAAGUCUUGAUUUUCAAAUUCACCUCCAUGGUCUGUUUUUAUACUUGAAAUGACAUACCCUUUUUCAUUUUGAACCUUCUUAGCAAAUUUUUCAAAGUAAGAGAAAGUUUCAGACUUACUUGCCAAGAAAUAUACCCAAGUAAAUCGUGAGUAGUCAUCCACAAUUACUAGGCAAUAUUUCUUACUUCCAAUGCUCUGCGUUCUUGUUGGUUCGAAGAGAUCCAUAUGCAAGAGCUGCAGUACACGGUUAGUGGAAACUUGAUUUAUUGGUUUAAAGGAAUUUCUUACCUGUUUUCCCAAUAUACAUGGUGUACAUAGAUCGGACUUUUGAUAUGAUAAAUUGGGUAGACCACGAACAAGCUUCUUUGCUGAGAUUUUGGCUAUUUGCUUCAUGUUGAUAUGCCCAAGCUUUUUGUGCCAUAAGUUCGCUUCGUCUUGGAUUGAGAUUAGACAUUGCGAUUCAUCUGGUUUCACGUCCAAGAGGUAGAUAUUCCCAUGUCUUCGACCCAUGAAUGACUGAGUAGAGUCUUUACUGGUUCCUGAACAAAUACCUUCUUGAAAGUUGAUUCUAAAACCGGCAUCACAAAGCUGACUGAUACUGAGCAGAUUGUAAUUGAGCCAUUCAACUAAAGAAACAUUGCUUAUUGUGAGGUUCCCAAUCUUUACAGUUCCAACUCCCACUAUUUUUCCUUUGCUGUUUCCUCCAAAUGAGACUUUUCCACCAUUCACUUGAAUGAGCUUUAUGAAGUAAUUUGAAUCUCCUAUCAUGUGUCUGAGCAUCCACUAUCCAGAUACCAUUUCACUUUUUUCUUGAUAGUGAUCUGCAUUCAAAAAGAAACUCAAGCUUUCUUUGGUACCCAUAUUUUCUUGGGUCCUUUUGAGUUAGUCUGAUAUACAGUUUUUGCCCAGACUUUAUUGACAGGUCUCCAAACCAUAGGACAUUCUUUCUCAAAAUGAUCUGCACUAUUGCAUUUUGAACAUCUAAGAGCAUUGCGAUCUACUGGUUUUACAAAGUUCAUUUCAAAAUGAUUUUUGUAAGCGUUUCUUGUGGGUCUUUGUUUGAUUCUUUCUUUUACUUUAGGAAAAUCGAUUAAAGGAAUGGUUUCAGCAGUCAUUCCCAAUCCAGAUUUAUUGAAAUAAGGUCUUUGAGCAGAAAGUAUUUUCUCCAGUUUUUCAGAACCUAAAGAAAAUCUUUUGGAAAUAUUUGAAAUAUCAUUUUUCAAGAAUGCAUUUUCUUUUAAAAGAUUAUUUUCACUUUCUUUGAGAGAAGAAACAUUCUGGUCUAAGCAUUUCACUUUUUCCUCCAAAGCAUUCUCUUGUUGUUUUAAAGCAGAAUUUUCUUUUUUGAGUUCGGAAAUUCUUUUAAGAGAAGUCUUAAGACUAAAACAUAAUUCAUCAAUGUAUUUUGAAACUUUAAUAGGGAUUUUAAAGUUACUUACCUCGAAUUCACUUUCUGAAUCUGAAUCAGUCUCGGAGUUUGAUUCUGAAUCCGAUUGUGCCAUUAGACAUAUGUUGGCAUAAUCAUCAUCACUAUCUUCGCACUCUGUAUCACUCCAGGUUUCAGCUUUGACAGCUUUUCGAUAUCUUUCAGUUUUUCCUUUCUUCUUCCUUAGAAGAGGACAGUUGGGUCUGAUGUGUCCCUUUUUCUUACAUUCAAAGCAGACUACAUCUUUGUUUGAUUCUUCAUCUUCAGCAGACUUGGUCUGUUGCUUUUGAAAACUUUGUUUCUUUGCAUUGAAUCUUCUUCCUUUUCUGUUCAGCUUUCUGAAUCUUCUUAUCAUAAGAGCAUGUUCUUCAUCAUCCACGUCGUCUUCAGAAUCUGUUACAUCAGAAUCAUCAUUAGAUUUUAAUGCAAUAGAUUUCUUACCUUUAGGGUCUUCGUCUUCAUUGAUUUGUUCCACUUCAUAGGAUUGAAGAGUCCCAACCAACUUAUCGACAGACAGUGGCAUGAUUCUUUGGGUCUCCCUGAUUGAGGUCUUUAUGUGAUUCCAAUCCUUGGAGAGUCCACGCAGUAACUUGUUUACUUUCAUGGGAUCAGAAAUUGGUUGGCCUUGAUUUUCAAGACCAUUCACGAUAUCUGUAAAAUGACUAAACAUGUCAGUUAUAGAUUCUCCUGGUUUCAUUCUGAAGGCUUCGUAUUGACCGAGAAGAAUGUUGAUUCUUGUCACUUUCACUCGAUCGGUUCCUUCAUAAGUAAUGUGUAAUCUAUCCCAGACUUCUUUGGCUGUAUCACAAGAAGAUAUUCUGUUAUAUUCAGUAGGUGAUAAAGCACAAUAUAAAGAAUAAAUUGCUUUUGCAUCAAGAGCUUGUCUCUUGAUUAUCUCUUCCUGAGUCAUUUCGCUAGACUCAACAGAGUCUUUUCCUCUUUCUGAGACAGGAGCAGCUUUGGGAACGAUUCAUUUUUCUACAACGUCCCAUUCCAGAGGAUCCUUUGAUCUUAAGAACGCCUUCAUCUUGUUUUUCCAUAUGUUGUAGUCCUUUCCAUCAAAAUAAGGUGGUCUGGUGUUGCUUUGCCUUCUACCAGCCCUGGAGCCAACAUACUAGCCAUGGAUCUUUAACUCUGAAGUAAAAUACUUCAAAAAAAGUGAGUACACGAGCUCUGAUACCAAUUGAGAUAGCUAGUAUAAGCACCUAGAGGGGGGUGAAUAGGUGCACAAACAAUUUAUCGAGAUANNNNNNNNNNNNNNNNNNNNNNNNNNNNNNNNNNNNNNNNNNNNNNNNNNNNNNNNNNNNNNNNNNNNNNNNNNNNNNNNNNNNNNNNNNNNNNNNNNNNNNNNNNNNNNNNNNNNNNNNNNNNNNNNNNNNNNNNNNNNNNNNNNNNNNNNNNNNNNNNNNNNNNNNNNNNNNNNNNNNNNNNNNNNNNNNNNNNNNNNNNNNNNNNNNNNNNNNNNNNNNNNNNNNNNNNNNNNNNNNNNNNNNNNNNNGGUUUCUCACAAAUAUACUCUCUUUUGUAUACAAGUAUUCGCUCAAAGUGAUUAUCUAAACAAAAAGGAGAUUCAGACUUUGGAAUUCUUCUAUCGCGCACACCUUGAACAACUAAGACUGUCUUCCUUAUAUACUCCUUUAUGCCAUCAUACCCGUUGGCACUUACCAAAGGAAUUCCUCCAAUCUACCCGUUGGACGGAAUCAAUUAGGAAGAUUGUUCGAGCUAUUAAAGAAACGUGUCGAUAGCCCAUCAAUCCUGUUCACCCAUACAAUCAAGAUCUCGGUUUCCAUAAGUAGAACCUUCCAAGAAUAUUUAGGCAAUCAUCGAAUCUUCAAUCAUCGAAUCAAUCUCGAUCAAUCAAAGGAUUCCAUUACGUCUUUUCCAGCCACGAGAUCUUCUCCAGUUGAUAAGGUUAAAUCCUUGACGAAACAUCCAGUUCUGAAUAACCUUUCUUCAACGGAUUAGAGACUGUCAAUGAGGAUAGACUUUGAGUCUUGAGUCUGGCUGUCCGGAGGUCUUCAGACUUUAAAUAGCAGAGCCUGCAAGCCUUCAAACUAGACUGAUGGAAACGUUUUGUCAGCUUCAAAACACUUCAAGAAGAUUUCUCCAACAGUGGUCUCUCCACAACCUCUACAUACACUCUACUUGAAGGAUUUUGCAGCCUACACUCCCAAGCAUAAUCCCACACCUGUCCAUAUUCGCUGCUGUAUUGAUCAAUGAGUAUCUUCAUCACCUUUUGCUUCGUUCUUUUGCAUUGAUUCUUGCUUAUAUUGAUGCCAACCUGCUCCUUCACCAGCAACCUGAACUGAGUACUAUUCAUCUGAGGCAUCAUCUUAAUCAUAUUAAAGAAGUGCUUGCACAACCAUGCACUUGUUACCCUUUUAUUUUCAAAAUUAAUGGAACAAGUAUGUUCCUCUUCGUACGCUCUAAUCUGGAAAGAUCCACUUCUCCUAACAAAUGCACCAUAGAUCCUCCAUGGACAAUUUUGCUGCGAACACUUAGCUCUUACAAAGGCCUUAGUGUUUCUAAUGAAGUCAAUGUUCCUCUGUGCAGCAAUGGAGUUCUUCAGUAUAGCUUCCCUAAAUUGUUUUGCAUCUUGAAAUUUCAUACCUACCGACAAAGUAGGAGAGGCAACGGAUGGAUCAUAAGAAGGAAACUUACUUUUCCUUCUCCUUGUAUGCACAACUCCUUCAUCUUCUUCAAGCUCAUCCUGGGAAGUAACAUUCUCAAGGCUUUCUUCAUAAUCAGUCUCCUCACCAAUGGCAACAGCAUCUACAGAGCCUUCGGCUUUAUUUGGAACUUCAUCAGCUACCUGCAAAGCUGCAAAUUUAUCUGUCAAAAAAUCCCUUUGCCUUUUUCUUGACUGUACAAGCUCCUCGUCGUCGUUAUCACUUGUGAAAUUUGCAGUAGGCAACCCUUCAUCAUCAUCAUCACUUGAUUCAGCUACUUCCCAAUCUAAUCCAGUGAUUGUGACAUCACCUAUGUCAUCAUCACUAUGGUGAACUGCAUCUGCGCUCCUCUCCUCUCCAUCAUGUCUAUCCUGCCUUUCUUCGACCCUAACCUCAGUACUACCUUGAAUACCAUUUCCUUCUUGUUCUAUUUGGGCACUUUCUUCAUCAUCAUCUUUAUCCUCACUUUCAUUGUACUCAACAUAUAUUUUUACCUCUUCACCAUGAAGAUAAUGGUAUAGAAUAUCCCUAAAGCCGUUAUCGUUUUCUAAGGUUCGCAAACCAUCUCUUAAACCUUUCCCAGGAAUACAAUACAACAACUUCUAAACUUUACAAGGCAAAUAAGUUAGUAUAUCCCUAACAAAUCCUAUAUAAGAUGCCUUCUUAAUGUCGACAAAAAUGGUGCCCUCAUUUCCACCCUCAUACUCCCACUCAUCCUCCCCAAUUACAAAUUCCCCAGCAUAGCAAACUAUGACAGCGACAUAAUCCUUGGCAUGAGCCAUUUCUGCACCAACAACAAGACAAAGAAUAAUUAGUUUUGGGACCACAUCCACAAAGAACAAUAGACAAUCGCACAAGGGAGUCCCCCCACUCUCAUAGACUUUAUUAAACAGGUCCCCACACUGACAAUAUGCCCAUAUAUGACAGCCAAAAAAGAGGUCGACACUUUAAUAAUUUACCUUCCCUUCCUCUACAAUAUUAAUAAAAAACAGAGGCCCCCACACUGAGAAUAUGCCCCUUCAUGACAGCUAAGAGGUCGCCACUUUAAUUAUUUUGCCUUGCCUUCCAUUCCCUUAAAAUAUAAACCAAAAACAGAGGUCCCCACAACAAGCAUAGGUCCCCACAUUUGCUGAACUAAACCUGCGAUGUGAGAAUGUACAUCCACUUAAUCAAAUCUAUUUUUCCUGUGAAACACAUAGAAUUUCAUUAAAGCAAGCUUGAUGUAAAAUUAUAGGGUAAAAGUUCUGUUUCUCAUCCAGCCAAGAGGAGAAAUCAUACCCCUAAUCUAUAAUGUUUGGCCAUUAAUAUAUUGUGUCAAGAGGUCAUUACACAAUCCAAGCCCUAAAUUUAUCCAUUGCACAGUAGACUAAUACUACAUGUCAAAAGAGCUCAUAGUUUAUAAACUUUAAAAUGAGGUACUUACAUGUGGUUUCAAAUUUGUCCCUUGCAGGUAAAUGAACUUAUAUAAAGUAUCAAAACAAAUUUUGCACUCCUCAAUGCCCUGCAUAUAUGUCGACUAUCUGAUUAGAAACAACAAUCAGGAAAGAAGACUAAAAGAACGAAAAGAUCGGAAUCAAAGGAACAAAAGCAGAUUGAUAGCAAAGUUGCGUGCUCUUUGCAGAGCACUUAAAGGCCAUUAUUCCAGCCACCUGAUUCAAUAACUUUUCACUCAAACACAUUAGUUCCUAGUUCCACAUUAGUCAAUAUUUUGUCUCACUCGAGCCUUGACUGCAUAAAUCAUCGACUGAGGCAAGCAUCUCCACACAAGGGAGUAACCAAACAGAGCGCGCACAUUUCAACAGCAUUUCCAUCGUAGCCUUAAUAAAAUAAUCGAGCGAGCCCUAAUAAAAUAAUCGAGCGAGCCCUAAUAAAAUAAUCGAGCCCUAAUUUCAUCACGAGGGAGGGGGAAAAGGGGCCCAACCUAGAGGAGUGACGAUGGUGAGCAGGGAUGACGACCAACGAUGCUGAGUGGCUACGACAACCAACAACGGCGACCGAUGACCACCUAUGGGCGUGAACGGCGACAGAGAGAAGGGCGGCGACGGCGUGAACAGCGAUGGAGAGAAGGGCGGCGACGACUGAGAUCUAAUGUGAACGCAGAUGGGAAGGAACAACGACGGCUAGGUGUGCUUAAGCCAAAAUGACCUAAACGACGUCGUUUAACACCAACGAAAAACGACGUCGUUUAGGUCAGCUCACUCAGUGUGGGUGGACAACGUCGUUUUGUCGUCCACGUGGGUUUUUUUUCUUUAAACGUUUGCCACCUCAGUAAAAGAAGUCGUCGGGAAACGCCACGUAUGCAAUUUGGCCGGAUUUUAGCCGGAUUGGCACUCAAGUGAUCAAUUUUGCUCCGAUUUUGGCACUUAAGUGUACCUUUCGUAACUUUUGGCACUUAAGUGUCCCUUUGUGCCAACUUUUGGCACUCCAGGGGUCCGUGUCCCGUCUCAAAAGGAUCACUAGCUUUGAUUGCCCCUUUUCACCAUUUAUGCCUUCACCUAUAAGUUCCAACCACACCAAUGCAACAAAAUUUAGUGCUUAAGGACUACCAUCACUAGGUUACCUGACUAUCAACUACAAACAGGGAAAUUGCAUGUCUCAGCUGGAAAAUUGCAUCAAUUUAGAAUGUCACCCGAACAAAUGUAUCUUACAUUGAGCAAUAUCAAAGGGAUAUACACAGCAAACAUCCGCAAGGUCAUCACUCUAAAUGAAAACCUUAACUUAUGAUACUCCAGAGAACAUGGCAUGUCCUGUAGGGUCGAGGAGGGCACUCAAGCAACAUUAUAAAGGUGUUCACCAAAGUGUGAGAUAAAUUGAGUGAACUUCAUAUAUAAAAUCGUGGUAUUGAUCUAUGAGCAAUAUAAACUGAGGAAAAGCCAAGGAAGAGUGUCUUAAAGAGGAUGUAAUGCUCCUUGGAACAAAUUCUUCAGCCAUUUCAACACAGAAAUCAGAGAUACUUAAAAGUUCAAACACAGAGGAUAAAAUUUUAACCAAACUUCUUUUUAUACUGCUUAAAAAUGAGCUGCCCUUUACAAGCAUUGAGGGGUUUAUUUCCAGGAGUAUAGACAAUCAGAACCCACGAUCACUUCUUUCUCUUCCUUUUUGUUUGGUCAUUUCUAGUAUGAACAAGAGAAGCAGGAUGAGAGUGAUACACUCAUACUCCACAAAAGGGUCCAGCAGCUUGCAAUGAUAUAUCUGAUAGAGCUUAAUUGCUAACAAAUUCAAAAUUAAUCAACCUGAGGUAGGAAUAGUAAUGGCAAGGAUAAAAACAUCUCAUAACACAAUUUUCAAGAGUAAAUCAAAAUGAUGGGUAAGCCAAACUCCAUGAACACCAGGUGAUCAAUAAACAAGUGGACAAAUUUCAUGUAUCGAAUCCCAUUUUAGGGUAGUCACCAUUCUUCCACUACAAACUGAGGAUUCAAUUGGCUAACAUGUAGCCACAAAAGCACAUUACACAGAAAAUGAGGCAGAUGGUAUACGAAGCAUUAUGUAAAAUGCAGUUCUUGUUACCUAAAAACUUCAAAUUGCAUUUGAUGAAUGCCAAUGUUCAGAGUGGAUAAAUCACAAAAGAACAGAACAAGGGAAGCCACUCUCAAGCAGAGGAACCCUCUUCAAUUUUGGUAUAUUCCAUAUAUAUCCACUGGAUAAAAUUGCAAAUCGUGGUCCCAUCACAUAUGCUCCAGUUCUAGACGAUUCCAUAGAGCCACGUGAGUUAACUUUGGGAAGGAGGAGUGCUCAUGUUGGCUAAUCAAACCUAAUCAAAUUAAAUAGAACGAAUGUAAACAAUCUAAAGACAUUAGAGACUUCUCUGGCCAAUCGAACUUAAUCAAAUAAAACAGAAAGUGAUUUAGUGUGCAAAUAUGCAAUUGGAAAUACGAAGUCCAAGAAAAGUAAGCAUUUAUCUGAAAGACUAAUUUACACUGGUUUAAUUUUGGCUUAAAGUAUAGUGAUUGAUUUAAAAAUCAGAAAGGACUCGACAGUGAAGAUAGAUAGUACUGGAUGAGCUAUAACAGAAAAGGCAAUUAAAAGAAAAGGAAGAAUGGAUUGACAUGCUAUCUAAGCACUCCCAACUAAUAAAGCAUAAGUUAAGAAUUGACCCGAUAUUUUAGCACUUUAAGUGUUAUAAUAAUUUACCUGAAUGCAUAGCCCUUUGAUCUACUUUAUUUGUCAGUGGCCCAUUUGACACGUAUCUAAUUGUUAAAGUAAUGAAACAUUUUUCUUAUUCCAGUUUAAUGAAAUUUAAAAAAAAAAAACAAAUUUUACAUUUCUAGGCUUCAGCAUCUUUCUAACAAGGGUGUCAUAAUCAAUUAUUUUGUAUAUAUGAGAAAUGGAAGACAGAAAAUAUUCCUACACUGAUAGUAACUUUUCUGCAGCCAUUAAUUAUUUGUUAUCUCCUUAUUGUGAUCAUUUUGACCCAAAAAGUGACUGUUUGACGUAUAAGAAUUUGUAUCAGUCUAUCCAAAAUUUUUGUAUUCUUAGAAUGGCUCUUAUAGUAAAGUCGGCGAGAAGACCAUCAUUUAAAUGUACAAAGAGAACCUUGCCCAAAAAAAGGAAAAGCGUGGACUAUUGCCGUUGUUACUCAUUCAAUGUUAAGGGAGUAUUUCUAGUUUCUGAACAACACCGUAACUAUUAAGUUUCAAUAAUCAUAUAACCAUUUUGCUAUACUCUCAAGCUGUAAUAAGUCAUUUAUCAGUGAGUAGUACGGGCAGUUCCUAAGUAGUGAUGUGGUAUACAACUUGGUAUAAAAAUUUUGGGGAAAAAACCGAACUUCUGUACCGCGGGAGAUCAAUCCUUAGAAGGCCCCGUGGGAGAUGGAGAGGAUAACAGAGUAAAAUUUGUAGGUGACUCACCAAGAACAUUCGACCAAGUGUUCUAAUGAAUCACGGGCAAGGGGAUUGUCCCACUCCAGCGACUCCCACGUCUGCUGAUCUAUCUGAAUCUCCCAAAGAGAGGGGGGAGGAGAAGGGAGCCCAUUGUCAAGUAGGGACAGCUGCAGAGGAAUCCUCCUUAGUUUCGGACAAUUGUAUAUAGAAAUCCACCGGAGGGAAUUGCAACCCAUGGUCCCAUCACAUAUGCUCUUCAGUUCCGGAAGAUUCCAUGGACCCAGGUGAAUUAACUUUGGGAAAGAGUGCGUCAUGUUGGCAGUGCCUAUUAUCACCUCUAUGCCCUUGCAGUCUUCGAUUGAUAUCUCUAGGAGGAAAAGGAGGUGAAGCGAUAUGUCUUGCGUCAGCAGCCUCUUCAUGUUGUUGCAUCCGUUUACUUCGAGAUACGUGAGAAAACAAGUGGCACCGCUUGGUAGUGACCCACUAAUUAUCUCCUCUAAUUCAUCACAAUUAUAUACAAUAAUCUCCUCCAGUUUUGAAAAGCAAGUGAUCAUCCACUCCCAUCCCAUCACACUCUUCAAUUUAUGACACCUGGACACUCCCAAUGAUUGCACACUUUCUGGAAUAAGAGCACAGUGAUCACUGCUUGUUCCAUCUAUGCUUGCAAUGAUAUGGUCACAACUAUUGAUGAAUAUACGCCUGUAAGUCUGAGACUCGCAGUGAUACGGUGCAUCCAUCACAAGCUUGUAUUGUUGGGAACUAUUUUGCUCAAGAAACCUCAUGCAUGCAUUGAAUGUUUCCACGUCGGGAACAGAACAAUCAAGUGCUUCCAACUUCUUUAAUUUUGCUACUUCUCCUGCCCUCACCUUUUUAAUCAUAAGGUAUUGCAAAUUCACCAGAUUCCCCAACACUCCUUGUGUUAAUGUCUCGAUCUUUGUGCCAUCUAAGUCAAGGUACCUCAGGUUGACCAACAUCUCCAUUCCCUCCGGCACUUCAUCAAGGCUUGAACACCCUUGGAGGUCCAACUUUCUGAGGUGUCCCAACUUUCCUACAUGAGGAAUAAGUUUUAAUGCCCGACACCUCCGCAGUAGCAGUACUUCCAAUUUGUCCAAGUGACAGACGGACUCCGGCAAUUCCGCGAUUUGGGUGUUGCUGAGAUCUAGAUUCUUCAGCACCUUCAAAUUUCUGAAGAAAGAAGUGUGGAUAUUUCCCAACAUGACAUUGUUAUUUAACAACAACCUGGUAAGUUUAGGGCAAUUUGGCGAUAUGCCGUGUGUAAUUUCUUCUAUUUUGUUGCCUUGUAAAUAGACUCUCUCUAGGCAAUCGGUCCAGAAUACUUCCUCUGGUAUUUCUUUCAACCCCAUAUAGGCCUUAACCAUGUGAGUUGUGCUCGUCACCAUAUGCAAUGCCAUGUACCUUGUCAAUGGGUGUAGAUAUAGACACUCUACCUCUAGAUCAUCCAACAGGCAAGCCUUUCUCAUUUUAUCCAAUAUGGUGUUACCUUGGUCAUGCAGUUCUUGCAAGGUUGCAAGUCCAUCUAACAAACCCUCAUCUAUGAACGACUCUAUCAAAUGCUCUCUACUAGUUUCUAAAAGGUCUUCACCAAAACAAAGUGCUAAAUGCAAGAAACACUAUUGCACUUGAUGAUCACCCAAGUUCAUGUAACUGAGUUUCAGUCCUUUGAACGCCUCAAGUUCUAUCCUUGAGUCUUUGAAUUUUUGCAACAUGCCUUUCCAUUCGUGAACUUUCUCUACUCCCCUCAUGCGAGUCCCUAUAUCAAUGAUCCCAAGUGGCAAACCAUCACACUUGUGCAUGAUAAACUUCGCAAUUUCUUCAAUAUCUGAAGGGAGUUUUCCAGCGAAGCAAAGUACCUUUAAAAAUAACCUCCAAGACUCUUCCCUCUCAAGAGGUUUUAUUUUGAUUUGCUUUUGACAGAGCAUCAUAAAACACACAUCUAGUGAUCGAGUAGAGAGCACCAACUUUACACUGCCCAUUUCAACUGGAAUUCCCACGUCUUUAACUUCGAAAUGCAUCCACAGGCCAUCUAAAAUUAGAACAGAUUUCUUCAUCCUCAGAUGUCCAUACAGUAUGCUUGCCCUCCUCUUCACGUCCUUCUCAUUUGAGAUAUUGUGUAGCCCGACUGCAUUGGCAAUCUCUUCUUGCAGUGCAUAUGUGCUAAAUUCCAAAGGCACAUUGACCCAUAAUACAUCAUCAAAAGCACGAUUCUCCAAGAGUUUAUUAUGGACAUGCGUCAAAAUGGCUGUCUUGCCCACUCCAACCAUUCCAACAACACCAAUGAUGGAAAUGUUCUCCUGCACUAAAUAGGAAUAAAUUUCAUUAAUCUUUCGGUGAGUCCCUCCGCCUACUAAUUCUGUUGUCACUAAGGGAGAUCUUCUGCUGCAUCCUUUAGCAAGUGUCGUUGUCUCUUGGAGGAAUCUUUCUAGAAUUGGAAGAAUCUCUUUAAAUUCUUUGACUGCCUGCCCCAAGCUGCAACAUCCUUUUAAUUUCCUCCACUUUGACUCAUUCAUGUUCUCUACGCCCCUGCUCGUAAGUUCUUCCCGCUUCCUUUUGAUAGAUUUCAUAUUCUCGAUGGCAGGCCCACAAGUACUUGGUUUACUCUGUGUUCUGGCAUCUAACGUCAAUCAUAAAUAAAAAUUCAAUAUGUGCUUUUUCCUAGACAGUUUUUAUAGAAAUGUGACGCUCACAGAUAAAUAAUUCGUUUGUAACAGUGUAUUCAACACUUUCAUAACAAAUGUAUCAUUUACAACCUCCCAUCAAAUAUAUAAGGAAUAAAGGCACUGCUAAUCCCCAAUCCUCUGCAAAAUAUUCAAUCAUGUCCCUGAAUUCUUGAACUAUAUAUUCUGGGACAGUUUCAAAUGCAAAAUAUGCGCAAUCGUGUGGAACAUAAUUUUUUAAAUACUUGACAUUUAUUGUCAUGACUCCGAUGGAGGAACUUGUUCGGUCAACUUAAUAUUUCUGACUAUAGAUCUUUGAGAUGGAACAUAUGGAUGAUUAUAGAUUUCUUAUCAAAACAUGCAUAAGAACCUGGAGAUGCAGAACUGGAGAUUCAUUAGGAUUAACGAUUUGCUAAAGUGAGCAUGAAGAAUAAAUGCAUUACCAGGGAAAGCUCACAAGUGCACGUGCGACAUGCCUCAACCUUGCGCAGAAUUACUAGCCACUUCUAUAGAUAUAUGCAGAAUUGGAGAUUUGCUAGGAUUAAAGAUGUGCUAAAGCGAGCAUAAAGAAUGAAUUACUACGUAAAGCUCGCACGUCGACCUUGUGCGAACUUCAUUAGCCAUUAUAUUAGAUAUGGAUAGAUGUUCGAGUGUGGAUAGUUCCCCAAAACCCCACACAAUUUGACCAACUCGAUAUGUUGAAAGCUUCCAAACUUAGCAACACAUAAUUCGCUGCAACAUCUACAACCCUUUUUCUAUUACGAAGAAAAGUAGAAACCAGAAAGUGGUUAACCAGAUACACGCUAGCGCCCUUCUAUGCAUCCUCCUUUUCACUUUGGAAGUAAUUUUAGUGAUUGAAGUGAUAUCCACAUAGUUGAAAUAUGUUCAAAAUUUUGGUACAUGAGAAUGAAAUUAAACUGGUGCUCUUGUGUGUACUGAUACAAUCGUCCAUCUCCAACAAAGUCGGCCCACUAGCAACUUAUAUACAAGUGCGAGAUUAUCACGUGCUUAGAUAGAGAGCAAUGAAUGGCUUUUCGAGAUUUGAACGUCAGGAUUAAAGGCAUUUGUUCCUUCAUAUUGGAAGGAUCUAUUAAUCAUCAAUGACGGACUUUUAAGUUCCUCUCUUCCUAUUCUAUUCUGUGUCUUCUAUUACAAUUAGAAAUCUAGACGUCCUGCCUUUAUCCUUAUUACCAGGUAAGGAUUGGGACACAGAUUACGGGUCCGAAUGAGCUUUAGAAAAAUGGUAAAAUGGUGAAUUUGAAGAUGCACGUACCAUGUGGAAGAACCCCUAUACUGGAUUCACCUUCAUCUGCAUUCGGUGGGAUUAUUUUAACCAAGGAUACUGGGUCGAAUGAAGAGUGCGUCUCGGUCAUCAUGCGUCCAGCAGGAGUAAAUGGGAACGGCUGAGGCAAUGGACAAACGGCAGUGCUUAUGACACCGGAGCUCACGUAAGGCAUGGCAGCCGUUGCAUCUUCAUUGCUCGCGGUCGCAGGCUGGUGCGGACCCUCCUCAACAUCGCAUCGCCCGUUGCUCGAUUCCACCGCUAUUUUAGCCUUCAACGCUUCUCCGGCUUCUGAUCUAACUCGGUCGUCGCCCAACAGGAACCUAUGAAAGAGGAAGUGGCCCAUCAAUGCCUGCAGUCCCACAGACUGCUUCCCGCAUAAUUUACAGCUCCACCCAUAAUCAUAAUCAGGCAGAGCUCCGGCCCCAACAACCUCCGUGGCGGCUAUCGCCAAUGUCCUGUAUCACGAAGAAGAGUUCGAGUGACUGGAGAACAGGCAAGACGUAUGAAGCAGUUAUCAGAUUUUGCUCCUCAGAUUGGAAACUAACCUUUUGGUGUCUUCAUCAAUGUUUUCUUCCCUUUCCGAAGGCGGUUUCCUCUCUUGUUCUGCUUCUGCAAUCUCUCUGUUCGGAGAUUUCUCAGUCGCCAUGGCCUUGCUGCGUUCCUCCAGGCACCGGUUCCGCCGUUGCCGAAAGAAAAUUCUGCAAGAGGAUGCAAUCUCACUGGCAAAUCCCCCUCGACCGAGCUCCAAAAGAUCUCGCCCUUCGCCCCAACCCAAAUCUCGCCAUUGAAUCCCGCUUUACCGCAAAAUACGAAGCGGUGCGAUACUGCGAGACUCGCCCUGGAUUUUGCCUGCCGCAGACUACGCAAAAUAUAUGAAGAUUAAAAGAACCUUCCUACCCAAAAAACAACAGAGAGGGAGAGAGAUUAAAAUAACCAAAAUAAAUCGAUAGGGAACGUGGCGUUCGGAACGUCACCGUCCCCGAGGUUGUCUCACGGAAACGUGCUAAUGGUAAUGGGGCCAUCCACGCCGUUAGUUUCGAAGAAGCAAAGGAGCAUCGUUGGAUAGAUUACAGCUUAGAAGAAAUUACAGAUUAACAUGGGAAAAAUUUUAUCUGGUAGGAUGUAUCUCAAAUUAUAUAAGAUUUUCAAAGAUUAUUACCUGAUUUAGGAUAGAUUCUUAUUUCUUUUUUAGCAUCGCGAUUACUUAAUUAUCUAGAAUAUUAUUGAUUUUAAUUUAUCUUAGGAGAGAGUUUACUUUCUCAAUCGAAAAAAAAGUUUCAAAUAAAUACGACAAACUCUCUUUCACUAAAGAUGUAUGGAAAUUACUAAUCGUCUCAUGCUUUCUUAAUUUGGAUAAAUUUCAAUUUCUGAGGGAUUGUAUUCAUGAUCUGACGACAUUUGGCCAUCUAUCGGACUCUCUAACGGUGGUCUGUAUCUUGAAUGCCAUCUUCGGUUAUUUGACGGCCCUGUCUCCGGAUUACUGGACCUAUUGCCUCCUCCGCUUCAUUACUGGAUUUAGCACGGGCGGGGUCGGCCUAUGCGCUUUCGUACUGGCCACCGAGCCUAUUGGCCCAAAGAAGCGCGGGGCGGCAGGAAUGUCCACUUUCUACUUCUUCUCAUGCGUCAUAGCUCUUCUCUCCGGCAUCGCUUAUGUGUUUUGCUCAUGGCGGGAGCUCUACAUCGCUUCCUCCAUUCCGUCCAUGCUCUUCCUCGUGGGGGUCCUCCCUUUCAUCUCAGAGUCCCCACGGUGGUAUCUCGUCCGGGGAAAGAUUGAUGAGGCCAUGAAGCUUAUGCGAGCUAUCGCCAAAGCCAACAAGUAACACCUCCCCGAUGGGGUCAUCCUCGCACUUGAUGAGGAAGUGAAUGAAAACUCGAACGAUGGUCCAUCCUGCAAAGAUCAGAUGGACACAAAGGAUGCAAUAACAGGGUCUCUCAUCGAUGUGGUGAAGUCGCCUGUCACUCGGAUUCGCCUUUUCUUGGCGGUGGCAAUCAACUUUCUUUGUUCGGUCGUGUACUACGGCAUUAGCCUAAACGUUGUCAAUCUCCAGACCAACCUUUACCUUAGUGUGUUCCUCAACGGCGUGGCUGAAAUGCCAGCCUUUACAAUAACGGCCCUAUUGCUUGAUAAGUUCGGGAGGAAGCCGCUGGCAAUCGGAACACAGUGGUUCAGUGGAAUAUUCUGUCUUAUAGGGAGCUUGGUGAUGAUACACGGGGAAUGGAAAGUGGCGAGGAUGGUGUGCGGAAUUCUUGGGAUUUUCGGGAUGGCCGGCACGUAUAAUUUGCUCUUCAUCUACAUGGCUGAGCUGUUUCCGACCGUGGUGAGGAAUGCGGCUCUUGGCUGUGGAGCUCAGGCGGCGCAAAUGGGUGCGAUUUUGGCGCCUUUAGUGGUGGUCUUAGGAGGCGGCUUCCCCUUUGCGGUCUUUGCGGUUUGUGCAAUUCUGGGAGGGAUACUAGCAUUUUACCUCCCGGAGACACUGAAUCGGCCUUUGUAUGAUACAAUGGCUGGAAUGGAAGGUGGGGAGAGUGUAUGAAGGAGCUCAAUCCUCUUACUUCAAACUAAACUUGAUUAAUGUAGGCUUAAAUGACUCUUCUUGAUGAUAGGAUUUUCCUUUUUUUCCUUUGGGACAUGAGAGUGCAGGAUGGCAGAAUCUGUCUCUUAUAAAAGGGGAGAACGUUUGUAAAAGUGUAUCUUUCAAAUCACUCAUGUUGCCUUAAGGCAGUUGCCAUCACGUGAUGAGAACACAUUAUGCUGACCUUCGACUCUUAGUGUUGUCAGAUUAAUGCAUUAAACUCCACAUAAUGUUGCUAUCAGCAUCACUGAUCCUACUAUCGAUAUGUUGAAAAGAAAACGUUUGUGUCUGAUCAUUCUGCCUUCGUGCAAGAGCAUCAAACCCACCGGUUCUUUGAAAUAAAAGGCGAGUUCACCGCAAGAUUAGUGCUUAAGGGACUACCCCCACUAGGUGGUACAGUCGACUCUAUCCUGAAUAUGCAGAAAAUUACAUCUCUUAGACGAGGAAAAGAUUCUGCUUUUCAUCUUGUACUUUCGCACAUUUACUAAUCAAGUUAUUUUAGUUUCAUAAUAUUUUAUCGUCUUGGCACCGAAUCUGACCAAACCAAGCUGACGUGGCCGUUGGAUGAUACCAAAGUAUGAGGCGGAUACUUAUGUGGACAUGGGUGGAAAAAUAUAGCCAAUGUAGACGUCGGAGUUGAUGUGGAUAAGACUUUUGCCAUGUAAACGGUCAUGCAGACGUCUACAUUACAGAAAUAUUAUCCCCUCACACUAUGACGUUGUCCGGGGCUGUGUCAGCUGAAUUUGACCAAAUUUGAUGUUGGAGGGACUUAAAUAGAAAAUGUGAAGAUAGACAAAAAAAGAAAAGUAAAUUGAUUUAAAAAAAGAGCGUAAAAGUAUAUGGAUGAAAAGUAGAAAUAUUUUGACGAAGCUGGAUAGAAUCUCGUGAGUUUUGGCAUGAUGGAGGAGGAAAAGGCGGGUCAGUUCAAGAAAAACAAAUGGGACAGUUGGCCAGUGUUCUCCAUACUGAGGAAAUUACAUGCAACUGUGAGAAAUCCAAAGUAGGGUUCAUGCAGAAUCAAAGUGGUGAAGGAACUCAAUUGUGAAGUUCCUUUUUCUCGCGUUUACUCUCUACUUUCUUUGUGAUUGUGUGACGAAUCCUAACAAUCGUGAUGUUAUAGAACUUGGAGUCUCAAAUAGACAAAGGUGCGCAUAUGCGCAUGAAGUAGACAUAUACUCUUUGAGAGCUUCACCUCUCUUCACAUUCUCUUUGUCCUUUCAUUUCCUCGCAAUUUCAAUUCCUGUUUGUUUUCCUUUCCGAUGUACUUCAAUUCCCAUGAAUUUCCCUUUAAAGUAGCUUCAGUUCGAUACAUUUGUCUCUAUUGGCACUUGGUUUCGAGUUGAUUCAUCACUACAUCCAAAUCCCAUUUGCAUAUUUUGUGUUUGAGCAUGAAACUGCGGAGCCAAUCGUCUAAAGUUCGACACAAUCGACUGACUUGUUUUUCGUCGACUGCAAUAAAAGGUGACUCUACAACAAUAUUUAGUGCUUAAGGACUACCAUCACCAGGUGGUACAGCUAACUCCGAAAUGGAUAGGCAAAAAGUUGUAUCUCUUAGCGAACAAGAUGCAUGCAGGGGAAACCAAAAGAUGGAUUUAGAGGACAAAAAUGUUAAAAAACAGAGGAGAUGCAGAUAUGCAGAUAUGCACAAGAGUAGCGUUAAAAACAGAGGAGAACAGAGGAGAUACUGAUAUUCACAAAAACAGAGGAACCGUUUGCAGAACCACACACAUAAAAAAUUGACACCAUAGCCUUUAUAUAGGCUUUACAAAAACAAAUAACCACCACAGCCCACUAACUUCACACGUACAACAACCAAUCCACAUAAUAGAAGUGCUUAAUAGACUAUUAACACAUAAAAAACAAACCAGAAACAUUGACUCGUUCAACAUUCCCUCCCUUAAACUGAUGUUGCAAACAAUCAGUUUAAAGGACCUUCUCUCAAUUUGGAAUAUCCAACAAACGAACACCAAUGAGCUUUCUCAACUUCUGAAACAUGGACAACUUUAGGGGCUUGGUGAAUAUAUCAGCCACUUGAUCUUCACUUCUACAAAAAACUAGGUCAACUACUUCAUCCUUUGUAAGAUCUCUUAAGAAGUGGUACAUCGCAUCUAUAUGCUUGCUCCUCCCAUGUAGAACUGGAUUUUUGGACAGCUUGAUAGCUGAGCUAUUGUCACAAUAGAUUAUAGUUGCUUCUUGCUAUUUGAACUGAAGCUCUCCAAGAAUCUUCCAUAACCAUAUGGCUUGACAGGCGCAUGAAGUUGCAACAACAAAUUCUGCUUCAGUUGUUGAUAAAGUAACAAUUGAUUGUUUCUUUGAAGACCAUGAAACCGCCCCUAAACCAAGCAUGAAUACAUACCCUGAAGUACUUCUUCUAUCAUCAACAUCUCCAGCAUAAUUGCUAUCUGUAAACCCAAACAAAUCUUACUUUUCUCCCUUUUUAUAGAACAGCCCAAAAUUUUUAGCUCCUUGCAAAUAGCGAAAAAUCUUUUUUGCAGCUUGUAAAUGUAACUCUGUUGGGUGCUCCAUAUACCUGCUUAUAAGGCUCACAGCAUGCAUGAUAUCUGGUCUUGUCCCCGUCAAAUACAUCAGGCUUCCAACAAUUUGCUUGUAGAGAGUGCUAUCCACCUUACUUCCAUUAGGAUCUUUCAAGAGCUUCAAUCCAACUUCAAUUGGAGUAGUCACGGGGUUACAAUUAUUCAUUUGAAACCUGUCCAAAAUCUCUUGAACAUACUUCUUUUGAGACAUAAAGAUUCCAGUUGCAGAUUGAAUUACUUCUAUGCCCAGAAAUAAUGCAUCAAUCCAAGAUCAGUCAUCUCAAAUUCAUCCAUCAUAGACUCCUUGAAUUUGUCAAACAUGGCACUAUCACUCCCAGUAAAAAUAAAAUCAUCCACAUAUAAGCAUACAAGAAGCAACUUUCCACCAUCACCAAUUUUAAUAAAGAGUGUAUGCUCAUAUGGACAUUUUCUAAAACCUUUCUUCAAGAAAUAGGCAUCAAUGCGACUAUACCAAGCUCGGGGAGCUUGUUUUAACCCAUAUAGUGCCUUCUUUAAUUUAUAAACUUUAUAUUCACUACCGAGCUUCACAUAACCAGAAGGUUGAUCAACAAAUACCUUUUCUUGAAGAUCACCAUGCAAGAAUGCUGACUUCACAUCCAAUUGGAAGAUAGGCCAUGAAUUUUGUGCUGCUAAUGCAAUUACUAAUCUGAUUGUGUCAAGUCUUGCUACAGGUGCAAAUACUUCUUUGUAAUCCACUCCAAAUUCUUGCUUGUAGCCUUUCGCCACCAAGCGCGCCUUAUACUUAUCAACUUCACCAUUCUUGUUCAAUUUUGUCUUGUACACCCACUUGACUCCGAUUGUUUUGUGUCCUUUUGGAAGAUCUGUUAACUCCCAAGUGUUAUUCCUCUCAAUAGUUGCAAUUUCUUCAUCCAUUGCUAUCCUCCAAUUUUCUUUUUGUACUGCUUCAUCAAAAGUUGUUGGAUCACAAUCUGAAAACAAAGCAAAAUGGAUAAGUGGAUCUUCAUAUUGAUCAACUCAUGUUACUUCAUAAUCACUCAUCCAUGCAGGCCUCCGUCGAACACGAUGAGGCUGAUCUUCAGGUUUCGCAGCUGCUGCUGUACUUUGGACACUGCCUGUGGCGAUUUGGGUUGUUGUGGAUUGCUACACCAGCUCAUUUUCAUCUUCAAAAUUCGUUGGAAUUUGCUUACCAACACCUUGCUCACCCCACGGCCAAGUUUGUUCUUCAUCAAAAAUCACAUCACAGCUGAUAAUGAUUUUCUUGAUCAUAGGAUCAUAAAGUUUAUAGGCUUUUGAUUGAUCACUAAUGCCAAGAAAAACAUAUUUGACUCCCUUGUCAUCUAACUUCUUCCUCUUUUGGUCAGGAAUAUAGGCGUAGGCAAUACACCCCAAAAAUCUUGAAGUGAUCUACUGCAGGUCUUUGGCCGCUCCAUGCUUCUUCCGGUGUCAUAUUUUGAACAGCUAGAGUGAGACUUCUAUUUAAAAUAUGAAUGCUCCAAUUAACUGCUUCUGGCCAGAAAUUUUUUGGAAUUCCACUUCCCCUCAAGAGACUUCGCACCAUAUUCAGAAUGGUACGAUUCUUCCUCUCACAUACGCCAUUUUGCUGUGGUGUAUAGGCUGCUGUAAGUUGUCUCUUGAUGCCAUGCUUUACACAAAAAUCUAUAAACUCAAGUGAGUUGUACUCUCCACCACGAUCCGUGCGAAGGACCUUUAUUUGAUUUCCUCCAUCCUUUUCAACAAGUUCUUUGAAGUUCUUGAAAGCUGCAAAAGCUUCAGAUUUUUCUUGUAAAAAAUACACCCAAAUCUUCCGGCUAAAAUCAUCGAUGAAGGUAAUGAUAUACCGUUUACCUCCAUUGGAAAUUGGAGAUAUUGGUCCGCAAAUAUCUGAAUGAACCAAUGCCAACGGACUUUUUGCUCUCCACGAUUUUCUUUGUGGAAAUUGAGCACGAUGUUGCUUGCUAACAACACAAUCUUCACAAAUUUCCAAGGAGUAGAGAUUUGAGGAAGACCCUCCACCAUCUCUUUUUUAUAUAGUGUUCGCAACCCACCGAAAUUAAGAUGCCCAUAGCGAAAAUGUCAUAACCAAGCUUCCUCCUUCAAUCUUGCAGAGAAACAUGAAUUUGUAGUGUUGUGGAGAUACAGUGGAAACAUCCGAUUGCCUGUCAUUUUGACUUCGGCAAUUAAACCCAACUUCUCAUCUUGGAUUCUGCAAAUCCCACCUUUAAUAGAGAUUUCAUAUCCCUUCUCUUGCAGCUGACCAUCACUUAACAGAUUAGUCUUCAAUUCAGGGGCAUACAAUACAUUUGAGAUAGUUUGUACCGAAGUCCCUUUUGGAUGAAUUGCCACUGUUCCUUUCCCCAUCACUGACACAAUGGAAUUAUCACCAAACUUUACGAUGUUGUUGUACGUUUCGUCUAGAUCAAAAAAACAUUUUCUUGUCUCCACACAUGUGAUUGCUACAACCAGUGUCGAGAUACCACAUGUUUGGUUGAGUUUCUUCAUUCUCAUGGCACACCAUCAAAAGAGAUACUUCUUCUUCUUUUUCAACAAAGUUAGUUCUUUCAAUUCUUUGUUUAUUCAAAUUAGUUCGACAUUCAGAUUUGUAAUGCCUAUACCUGUGGCAUCUAAAACACUCCACUUUGGAUUUGUCUGCUGACCUUGGCCUAAAACCAGUUGAAUGUCGUCCUCCACGACCUCUUCCUCUCCCUUGGAAAUCACGAUAGGAAUAGCUUUCAGACUUUUGAUCAAAGAUGAAGCUGCUGCGAUCGUUGUUCUCCCUUCCUCUGCCUCUUCCUUUGUUCACCCUUGCUGCUGAUGAAGAAUGAUCUCCAGUUGAGACCUUCAAAGCUUGCUCUUCCGUCUCUUGUUGUAGUAGUUUUUGUUCAUGAACUAACAAGGAUCCUUGCAACUCAUCAAUGGAAAGUUCUUCAAUGUCCUUGGCUUCUUCUAUGGAACAAACAAUAAAGUUGAACUUUGGUGUCAAAGAUCAAAGAAUCUUUUCAACGAUGAUGACAUCCUCCGUCUUGUCGCCAUGAAUCCGCAUCUUAUUAACUAUUUCCAUUGUCCGAGAGAAGAAAUCUGUGAUUGUCUCUCCCGACUUCAUUCGUAGCAUUUCAAACUCCGAACGAAGCAUUUGAAGCUGCUGCUUCUUUGCUCUUGCUGAGCCUUGAUACUUUUUCUUCAUGGAAUCCCAUAUUUCCUUGGAGGUAUCCUUGCAAAGAAUUUUCUCCAAAAUGGAUCUGUCAAUUGCUUGGAAAAGAUAGUUUUUGGCCUUGAGAUCCUUCAAUUUUAAUGUAUCUAAAGCCGUUCUUUGCGCUGCCGUUAACACAGCUCCUUCAUCAGGUUCGGCAACUCCCAAAGAAACAACAUCCCAAUACUCCUUGAACUUGAGAAAAUUCUCCAUUAGCAUGCUCCAAUGAUCAUAGUGACCAUCAAAGUGUGGAAUAGCAGGUUGUACAAAUGUUUCUGAGGCCAUUACUGCUGUUGCAAAAUAGAACCACCACAAAAGCAACCUGCUGCUGCUACAAACGAAAAUAACCUGCUGCAAUACUCUCCUUUGACUGCUGCAAACGAAAGUACUUGCUGUAAUAAAAACUCUCUUUUGGUUCUCACCUUUUUACAGCACUCAAACACACACUUUUCUUCCUAACCUCGGCUCUGAUACCAAUGUUAAAAAACAGAGGAGAUGCAGAUAUGUAGAUAUGCACAAGAGCAGCGUUAAAAACAGAGGAGAACAGAGGAGAUGUUGAUAUUCACAAGAACAGAGGAACCAUCUGCAGAACCACACACAUAAAAAACUGACACCAUAGCCUUUAUAUAGGCUUUACAAAAACAAAUAACCACCACAGCCCACUAACUUCACACGUACAGCAACCAAUCCACAUAAUAGAAGUGCGUAAUAGACUAUUAACACAUAAAAAACAAACCAGAAACAUUGACUUGUUCAACAAAAAACACGAUGUGGGGCCGUCAUGUAUGGACACAAGAAAAGAAAUCAACAAAAUAUUAACUUAGAUGGCAAGAAAUUUAUUCCUCUUCUUGUGACCUUGAGGUUUAAGCCUCGUUGGGAGUAUUUCACAAGUAAAAUUCUAUUUGAAUGUCCUAGACUGUUAUGGGAAAGUGCGCCUUUAAGAUCUUUUGAGGAGAUAGACUUGGCAAGAUGUGCCAAAGUUAGCUUGGACAACCAUUUAACUGUGAAUAUUAAAAAAAGAAAGAAGGCAUAAAUCAAGCACAUCUUAUUACGGGAACCAGAAGUACCUAGACAUCAAUCGAGCCAGAUGACUUAGCAAUGGCGAUAACUUUUGAUGUCCACUGCUCUCAACAGACGAUUCAUCGGUGGGAUCAUCUGUGGAUUUCAUCAGUCUGGAUGCAGAGGUGAUUGGUCUGCAACGUCCCUCACUGUAAUCAUACCAAGAUCGUCUUUGUCCUAGAUAGAAUGUCAUGCCACACACACAUUAGCUUACAAGAACUUGACUUGUGGCCCAUUCUCUUGCUAACCCCAUCUAAUUUCUAUCCAAUAUUGCUUCCAAAAGAUCAGCCCUCAGAGAUUUCACAAAGUCGUAAAGAAAGUUAACCACUCAUCUCCUUUUCACUACAGAAAACGAUUUAAAGAAAUUAAAGUUAGUCGUACCACCUAGUGAUGACAGUCAUUUAGUUAUUUUCACCGGAUAACUUACUGUAGGGUAAUUUAUCUUAAUCUAUCAACAACGUAGAAUGAUAUCGAUUACAACAAGACAUGAAUGUUAUAUGUUUGUUUUGAGGAAAUGAAACUAGAAUAGAUAUAAUGGUCUCGGAAAAUUAGGGUUUUAUCAAUUCCCCCGAUUUGGUUUUCAGUUUUUGGUUCCUAAAAUGAUGUAGUUGGAAACCAGACCAGGUCGAAAUGGAGCCUGGAACCAGACCUAUUCCCAUAGGUUUGGUUCUCUGGUUCUCAAAUCUACUAUAGAACCAUGCUCAUCCCUAAAUAUAUCCUAUCAAAUAUUUUUUUCCCAUGUUUUUGUGAUUUUGAAAUUGCAAUUGUAAAUUUCUUCCUUUUGGCAAUUACUAAAUUUGGUAUGGAGUUGGCAACUUAUUUUCUCAACUUAUGAGUAAUCUGCAGAUACUAGUAAAGUUCCUAAAUCAUCGGUGAUUUGGGAACGCCGGAUAGAAUUUUCGUAAAAUCAAUUUCCGGAAAUUUUGAACACAAAGAAAUAAAUGUCUCAAGAAUCUAACUGGAAAUUUGAAUAGCAGUUUUGGAGUUGCUUUCCUCUUACAUAAUCCGACGAUUGUCUUUGCUUGUUUGAAAACAAACGGUGUAGAUGUGCCGAGCAUGAUUAUUGGUCAACCCAUAGGAACGUUGGAGGUUGCACAAUCGAGGGCACUCUCGAUUUGGUGAAUCGUAGAAAUCAAGAUGGAUAUUUUUAUCUCCUUUCAUGUAAAUUAUUUAAUAUUAAUGAUAUAUCAAUAUAAAUGAACUUAAAAAUGCGCAAACAAAGAUUAUAAUAAUCUUUUAUAAUUCACAGCCAAUUCUAGUAGAAGAGAGAAAAUAUAAUCAUUCAUUUUUGUGAUUAUAAAAAAUAGUACUUUGACUUUCUCGCUACUUUGAAACUUCAAUAAUAACCACAAAAUUACAGAGGAGUUUCGACUCUUUCUUGAACUUUUGACAUGAACUAGAGAGUUACGAAAGAAAAGAAGUUCCGUCUCUUUUGCCAUUUUCACGGAACAUUGACGUGAACUAAAAAACCAUGGAGGAGCCAUGAAAUUUCAACGUGAACUAGAGAUAGAAAGGAGAUGGAGAGGGAGAUGGAGACGGUAGGUUUUUAUUUAUUUAUUUAAAUUUCGUUGCCCUCAUUUUUCGAGCAUUAGAAUGAUCUUUUUAAGUUUGAAUUGGUUCAUUUAAAAUCUAGGUUCUUCUACUUCAUUUUUAUUUACUUAAAUCUUUUAUUCCCCUCCAACAUUCCUUAAUAAAAAUUCUAUCAAAUAAUAUAUUAUACUAUUAUACCUAAAAUAUGUUAAAAAAUGAUAUAUUGAGGGCUUUGUGGCCCUUGCUUAGAGGGGGUUGUCGGCCCUCACCUAGUGGCCACCGACCAUGGCUAACCCUUUGAACUAAGAAAGAAAGAAAAGAAAAAAAAGGAAAUUUAAAAAAUAAAAAUUGAUAAAAAAAUAAAAAUUUGUUAAAAGGCUAACGCCUAUGCUUUUCUAAUUACGCUCUUAUUCUUUAAUAUGCCUAAUCAAGCCCUUCUACUUUUCAAUUAUUUUAAUUAACUCCCCCAACACCAAAUUCGAUCAAAUUCAGCUUAUAGGGCCACCGGAUAACACUAAAGUAUGACGAUAAAAUAUGCGGAUGCCCACAUAGAGGUGCGAGGAAAGCUAUAGCCAUGUACACAAUAUCAAAGCUUGAUAUGGAUAUAAUUUAGCUACUCUAAAAUCAAACCUACUAUGGCAUAUCGGGUUGAGACUUGAGAGAGUAUCUAUUCAAGCAACGAAAAUAGAGGGAAGUGACAAGUAAGGAAGACAAAUCGAGAAAUACAGAGAGAGAUGCUUAUCACAAAUAGGAUAAGAAGACAAAAAUAAAUUAAGCAUAUGUCAUCACAGAAACCGAAGGUACUUCAAAAAUCAACCGAGCAAGACGACGUAGAAAUGCUGAUAACUUUGUUGUCCACUGCUACAAUUCAUCCUCAGCUGAUCAUAUACGGAUACUGUGACGGCCCGAGCGAUCGUCCUAGGACGUGCACAAGGAAGGGUCCCUCUCUUCUCUUGUCUAACAUUGCCUAGGGAGGGAGGUUUUGGUUAGCUUAUAAGGCUUGGGUUCCUCUAAUAUUUGUAACGCGUUUUAAAGCCGUGAGGGAAAAGACCAUGGCUGGGAUGGCGGUUCGUCCGCGCUAGGACGGGUGACCCAAAGCGGACAAUAUUACACAGUGGGGCCCGGAAUGUUAUAGAUACGCUCGCCCCAGCAGUCUGGGUUUAGAAUGAUUACAUUUUGUUAGUCAUUUGCUAAUAUCAUCAUCGUCCUAUGUAAAAUAUCAUGCCACAUGACUAUUAAUGAAAAAUCUAUCAACAUAUGUAUGGCAAUGCAUUUUGAUAGAGCUUAUAAAAACACGAUCUCUGGCCCAUUCCCUUAAUGACACCUAAAAAUGAGAAAAAAACUAAUUUACAUUGAUUUCAUUUUUUAUUACAGUACAACAAUUAGUUUAGAAACCGAAAAGGAGUUUGCAAUUGAAAAUAGGAGUACUGGGCGAGCUAAAAUAGAAAAGGUAACAUAAUGAAAAGGUAAAAAAAAAAAGAAACGUGAAAACUAAUAAAGUAGAACUUAAGAAUUAGACCCGAUAUUUUGGCACUUUUAAGUGAAAUUGCCAUUAUUAUUCUUUGAACAAUGCCACAGCAACUAAUUUUCAAUGAUAAUAUAACCAUUUUGAUAUACUUUCAAGCUAUAAUAAAAGUUAUAUGCACUAGGCCUAAUAGUUAGUAUAAAGUUCGGAAAAGAAGAAAAGUGAUUUUUCCGUACCAUGGGAGAUCGAUGGUUAAAUGGAGAGAAUAAAAGAAACCAUGGGAGAUCGAUGGUUAAAUGGAGAGAAUAAAAGAAACGUGAAAAUUUUGGGUAACUCACAAUAAAUAAACUCGAUGAAGGGUUCGAGGGAGAUAGGGGCAAGGGGAUGGUCCCACUCCAGCGCUUGCCACGUCGCCUUGUUAUCUAUGAAAAUCUUUCCAAGGGAGGGGGGAGGAGAAAGGAGGCCAUUGUCAAGUAGGUGCAGUCGCAAAGGAAUACUCUUCAGCUCCGGACAAUCGUAUAUUUCAAUAUAUUGGAUGUGAUCGCAACUCUCCAUCCGAUCACAUAUCCUCUUCAGUUCCCAAAGAUUCUUUAGAGUCAAGUGUGUUAACUUUGGGAAGGAGGAUUGCGUCAUGUUCGGAGCAAUGCCUAUUAUCACCUCUAUGCCCUCGCAGUUUAUGAUUAUUAUAUCUCGGAGGAAAGGGAUGUGGAGCAACAUAUCGUGCGUUAGCAGCACCCCCUUCAUGGUGUUGCAUCUUACAAUUUUAAUCUCCAUAAGAAGACAAGUGGCACCGAUUGGCAAUGGCCCACCUAUUAUUUCCUCUAAUUUCUCACAAUAAAUUAUUCCAAUGGACUUCAGAUUUGGAAGGCGAGUGGUCAGCCAGUCCCAUUCCACCACUCUUUUCAUUUUAUGACAACAUUGCACUUCCGCAGAGUUUAGAUUGGGCGCAGCUAAAUCGAUCCCUUCCAGUUCCUCUGAGCCUGUGAUUGUAAACCAGCGUAGAUGUGGAAGCCCCUGUCCCUCCACUGAGAGACGCUUCAAUUUGGAACAGCAAUUGAUGUCCAGUCCCUCCAGCUGAGGGAAGUGGACAGCACCCAGCUCCUCCAACUUCUCGCAAUCUAGAAUCUUUUAUAGUCAGCUCCUUUAGAUUCUCCAGUGGGCCUACCUCACUCAAACUUGUCACCCCACUGCCCCCUCCUACUUCCAGUACUUGCACAUUUCUCGGAAGCAAAUUGCGGCCUUCCCCACCGAUAAGUCCAUCUACCCUUUGGCGUAAUAGCAUCGCGACUUUCAAUACGUACACAUAUCCUCUGCUCAUGCCAAUUGGAAACGCCUUGUUCACGAGGUUUUACACAAAACAAUUCAAAGAAAUUAGAUACUUGAAUGUAAACAACAUGAAGAAAUUAGAGACUUCCCUGACUAAUCAAGCUUAAUCAAAUUAAACAGAAAGAAAUUCAAUAUGUGCAAAUAUGCAAUUGGAAGUCCAAGAACAGGUGUUCCUUUCUAAAAACGAGUAAGACUAAUUUACACUGGUUUAAUUUUUUGAUUAAAGUGCAGAGAUUAAUUUAAAAAGCAUGUUAGAGUUCGAAAGCGAAAAUAGAAGUACUAGAUGAGGGAAAACAGAAUAGGCAACAAAAAGAAAAUGUAAAAAGCAAUUAACAUGCUCCUUUAAACUCGCCCAACCCAUGAAGUAGAAGUCAGGAAUUGAUUCUAUAUUUUGGCACUUUUAAACGUCAUAAUUUACCAAAAUGAAGAAGAAGUGUAGUAUUUUUAAGGUACAAUAGGUUAAAAAGAGAGAGAGAGAGUGAGGACUGUUCAGUAUUAUCCUUUCAAAGUGAAAGGUGUGUUUUCUUUAUCGAAAUUUCAAUAAUAAUAUAACCAUUUUGAUAUACUUUCGAGUUGUGAUAAAAGUCAUACACACUGGGUCUAACAGUGUGGUAUUAAGUUUCCCCAAAAAAAAAAGAGGGAAACUUACUGUACCGCGGGAGUGCAUCCUUCGAAAGGCCCACAGGAGAUGGAGAGGAUAAAAGAAAAUUAAAAAUUUGCGGGUGACUUACCAUAAUCCCAGGCUAAGUGUCGAAGUGAAGGAUGGAAAGGGGAAUGGUCCCACUCCAGCGACUGCCACGUCAGCUCAUCUAUCCAAAUAUCAUCAUCUAUCCAAAUACCAUAAUCAUCGCAAGGACCCUUGUCAAGCAGAGGAAGCCUCUUCAGCUUCGGACAGUCUUCUAUCUUCAUAUAUUGGAUUGAAAGCCAACUCACGGUCCCUUCACAUAUGGUCUUCAGCUCUGGAAGAAUCCUUGAAAGUCAGGUUUAUUAAAUGUAGGGGCUGAACGAAGCUCAUUAUCGGCUCUACGCUAAUGCAGCCUGGGACCACUACAUGUUGGAGGAAAGGAAGGUUGAGCAACACGUCAUGCCUCAAGUUGCUGCAUCCUUCUAUAUCAAUCUUUGUAAGACAACAAGGUGCACCGAUCGGCGGUAGCCCACCUACUAUCUCCUCUAGUUGCUCGCAAUCUUUUAUUUUAAUGGACCUUAGAUUUGGAAGGUGAGUGGCUAGCCACUGCCAUUUCACCACCCACUUCAUUUUAGGACACCUGUACACUUUUAUAUUAUAAAGAAAAGGUGCCGCUAUAUUAAUCCCCUCUAGUUCCUCUGAGCCCUCGAUUUUUAACCAUUGUAGACAUCGGAGCUCGUGCCCCUCCUUCAAGAAAUGCUUCAGUUUGGUACACCGAGUGAUAUUCAGUCUCGGUAGGCGAGGGAAGUGGACAGCACCCAGCUCCUCCAGCUUCUCCCAUUCCUUUAUCUUCAGCUCCUCUAGAUUAUUAAGUGGGCCUACCUCGCACAAACUUGUCACCUCAUCGCAUUGUCCCACUUCCAGUACUUGCACAUUUUUGGGAAAUAGAGCGCGGCCAUCCCCACCAAUUUCUCCAUUUACCAUUGCCGCAAUACUAUGGCAACUUUCGAUGAUUAUACGCCUCUCGUGCUUAUUAUCCCUAAAGAAGUAGUUUCCUGAUAAACUCAGUGCCAGGUCAUAUGAUUGGGAGCUGUUUUGCUCGACAAGCCUCACACAUGCAUUGAAUGUUUCAACAUUUGGAACAGAGCAAUAGAAUCCUUCCACUGAGCAAUAGAAUCGUUCCACCAAUGUUAAUUCUAUCACUUCCUCCCAUGCCAUAUCGUAAUUAAUCACCAGAUAUUGCAAGUUCACCAGCUUCCCCAACACUCCUUCUGGUAACCCCUUGAUCUAUGUGCCAAGCAGGUCAAGGUACGUUAGCUUUACCAGCAUCUCCAUUCCCUCCGGCACUUCUCCAAGCAUAACACACCCACUAAGGUCCAACUUUUUUAGAGCUUUGAACUUUCGUACACAAGGUACACAAUGUAAUUCCUUACACUCUCGGAGUAACAGUGCUUCUAAGCUCUCCAAGUGAGAUAUAGUGUCCGGUAAUUCCGUGAUUUUUGUUUUGCUGAGAUCUAGAACCUUCAACCCCUUCAUAUGCUUGAAGAAAGAUUUGUGGAUGGCUUCCAAAGAGACAUUGUUAUCCAACGACAGCCUCAUAAGUUUAGGGCAAUUUGGCGAUAUGCCGUAUGGGAUUUCUUUUAUAUCGUUGCUUUGUAAAAAGACUUUCUCUAGGUGAUCGGUCCAGAACUUAUCCUUUGGAAUCUCUUUCAAUCCCAUGUUGGCCUUGACCAUGUGAGUUGUGCUCGUCACUAUUUGCAAUGCCAUGUCCCUUAUCAAGGGGUGUACUAACAGAUAUUCUGUGUCUUUAUCAACCCCCAGGCAAGCCUUUUUUAUUUUGUCCAAUAUGGUGUUACCUUUAUUGUGCAAUUCUUGCCGAGUGGCUAUUCCACUUAACAAGCCCUCAUCCAUGAAAGAUUCUAUCAAAACCUUUUCGAUGAUUUCAGCUUUAGAGUACUCUCCAAAACAGAGUAUUAAAUGCAAGAAAGACUGCUGCACUUGAAGAUUACCCAAGUUCAUGUAACUGAGUUUCAGUUUCUUGAACACACCAAGUUCCAUCAUCGAAUUUUCUAAUUGCUGCAACAAGUCUUUCCAUUCAUGCACUCCCUUUGGUCCCCUCAUCUGAGUUGCAAUCUCAAUGAUCCCAAGUGGCAAACCUCCACACUUAUCCAAAAUGGAGCUUGCAAUUUUUUUAACUUCUGAAGGGAGGUCUCUCCCAAAGCAAAGCUUUUUUAAAAAUAAGACCCAACAAUCAUCUCGCAAAUCUAGAGGACCUAUUUUGACUUGUUUUUGGCAGACCAUCUUCUCAUAUACAUCUAGCAAUCGAGUUGUCAUUACCAACUUAAUGCUUCCUUUCUCAACUGGAAUUCCCACAUCCUCAAUGUCAAAGUGCAUCGACAGACCAUCUAAACAUAAGACAGCUCUCUUUCUCUUCAAAUGCCUAUUCAAUAUGCAUGCCCUCCUCUUCACAUCCUUAUCCAUUGAGAGAUUGUCUAGUCCGACUACAUUGGCAAUCUCGUUUUGUAGUUUAUAGAUGCUAAACUUCCGAGGUACAGUGACCCAGAACACAUCAUUAAAGUUAGGAUCCUCAAGUACUCUAUUAUGGACAUGCAUUAGAAUGGUUGUCUUGCCAACUCCCGCCAUUCCAUAAAUACCAAUGAUGACAAUCUCAUCCUCCAUUAGAUAGUUGCAAAUCUUAUUUAUUGUCUUCUUACUUUCCUUGUCUACUAGCCCUGUUGUUACCAAGGGUGAACUAUUCCUACGUCCAGCAGCAUGUGUUGUCCACCCUUUUCGGAAGCUACAGUGGCCUAGAAUAUCUUAAACUUCUUUGCUCAAAUCAUUUACUCUUUCUACCUGCUGUGGAGAAAGAGAUCUACCUUCUCGGAAUGCUUGGACCAUGCUCCAGUAUUCUCCUCUUAUCCUUUGUGCUUUCCUACACCAUGUCUCCAACCCAUCCAUGUCUGCUUCUCGAUUGCUUAGUUCUUCCAGCUUUCUUUUCAGAGUUGGCAUAUUCUUGUCAACCAGCCCACAAGCACCUGGUUGACCAUCCACGAGUGCAUCAUCUGUCCUCGCAUCUAACAUCAAGGAAAUACUCAGUAUUUUCUAGAAACAUAAUGUUCACAAAACAAUAUGAAAUAAGACGAAAUGUAAGGUUGUGUAUAUAUAAGAGAAAGAAAGGCGGGGGGGGGGGUGCCUUGGGGGUCCUUGGGAUUGGGCGAGAGAAAGAGAAAGAGAAAGAAAGGGGGCGAGAGCAUUUGCCCUGUUGCUGGGUUUAGUUGCUAUCGGUUUGCUUUGAGCUGUUGAUGGGUUCAGGUAGUAUCUGGGCCUGUAUGGGAUGGGUUGAAUUGAUAUUUUGACCAGUAUAGGAUGGGUUGAAUCGUUAUUUAGGCAUGUAUGGGAAGUGGUUCUCCCUGUAUUUUACAUUAAUAUAAAAAGUUGAAAAUUGAAGUAUGUAUUUUAGCAUAAAUUACUCGUGAAAACGUAUCAUAUUUCAUAUGAAUCUUCAUGUUUUAAACAAAGUGCAAUUCCAAGUAAUAUAUAUUAGUGUAAAAUAUAUGGACUUGAUAACAGUUAGGGAAUUUUUAAUGGUAGUUAUUACAUGACAUAAAGGAAUAUGUAUGAAAUCAACUCCAUUACUGUCAUAUUAAGAGAAAAUAAUAAAAUCUUUCAAAUAAAUAUUUAAAAAGGAAAAAAAAGAGUUACAAAGAAUGUUUGAGAUUUCAAUAAUUGCUAAUUUGCAACAUUAGAGAUUAUUAAAACUAAUCCUUUUUCCUCAUGGUAUUGAAUGGGGUAAGUAAUCCUAGUUAAAGGCAAAAUGAGUGGAGAGUGCAACAAAAUACCACUUGCAAAGAGAAUAAGCAAUCUCUUUCAAUUUAGACUCCUAAGUGUCACUUCUAAAGGCAACACUCAAGAAUGAGCUUGUUAUUAUAUAUUUUUAUAGAUGCUAACAUUUAUGUAUCUAUUCUUUCAAAAUGUUCGAGCGGUACAAUACUAGAAAAAUUUAGAUCAACCCCAUAAGUUAAAAGUAGAAGUUAAAAAUAAAUGUCCCCUUAACCAGACCCUAAGUUGAAAUUUGAAAUUUGAAAUUUGAAAUUUGAAAUUAAAGCCUUAAAAAAAGGAGAUAUACCUCAUAUCUACAUCUAAGGUAUGAAGACUAAUAUCCCAACUGUUCUAUAAAAAAAGAACUAUACUUGCUUUCAAUUGGAUCAUUGAUUGGUGGGUGACCCAUUUGAAUGUCACUCAAACGCGAUGGUAACUAAUAGCACCAGGAGAAAACUGAACCAUAUAUUAUCGAUGGCUUGGAGACAAUGCAUGACAAUAUUUUGUCCCAUUAUCGUACUUUUGUUAAUGUCCCAACAAUUCCAACCAUACUUAUUCAAAAAUAUGAAAACAAGCAAUAUUCAUAUAAUUUAAAUUUAAGAUGAAUGAAGGUGCUGUUAGUUAAAAUCUCAUAUAGGCGGCAUUUGAAUGUGAAAACAAUCAAUUAAAGGAUGAUUUGGAGGUAAGUAUGAAUCAUUGAAAGAGCAAAUAAUUUAUUGUACGCUGUCAGAAAAUAAUCAUAUGUUUAUGAUGACUUCUUUUCUGUCAUUACAUAUUUUGUGAUCCGUCGAGAAGCAGUCAAUUUAAAUUUUAGGUUCAUCUAAUACUUUUUAGUUUGAAAUUAAAGUAUUUAGAUAUGAUCAAAUGCAUGAUUAAAGAUAAUUCCUAUCUCUGUGCGGUUGACAGACAUCAAAGGUUCCCAUGAAAUAUCUUUUAUGCAGCACUUUACUUUAAAUUACUAACAGUAAUUGGCAUAUAAACCUUGUAAUUUUAUUUCCAAUAAAGAUUUCGUGUUGUUAAUUUUCUUGAAAUGUGUUGCUUGGCCAAGAAAUAUGAGAUCAGUACACAUUUGGACUCGUUUAAGGGGAAACAAGGAAAUUUUCAUGAAUUUUGUGAAGUCGUCAAGACAAUACCAGUCCCCUUGACACAUCGAAAAUAUUUUGAAAACUGGAAAGUGCCUACCAAAUGCAUGCUUACCCCUUCUAUGCAUCCUCUUUUUUAAUUUGGAAGUGGUUUUGGUAAUUCGUUAGGGAAACAUGGAUGAAAUAUGAAAUGAUGUUCACAAUUUUGGCACACGAGAUUGAAAUAUACUCUCUCUCUCUCUCUCACGUAGGUGAUUUGAGGGGAAAGUUCACUGAUCAAGCGAUCUCAUAUACACCUCCCUCCCUCCCUCCCUCCCUCCCUCCCUCCCUCUCUCAGCUCCCAUGGUUCACACGACUCUGUUCCUUUGUUUAAAAGUAAAUGCUCUUCACGUAGGUGAUUUGAGGGGAUAGAGAGAGCCAUGGCUUUUCAAGAUUUGAAUGUCACACUUGAAAAGCAUUUGUCUGUUCAUUUUCAAAGAACUAUUGAUUAUUAUUGACCGACUCUUAAACUUCUCUGUUCAUUUUCUAUUACUAUUAGGAAUCUAAAUGUCCUGCUAUAUCCAAAUUCUUAGGUAAGGAUUAGAAAACAAAUUCGGUAUCCUGCAUGAGCUUUUAGCAUAUGGUGAAUUUCGAAGUUGCACAUACCUUGUGGAACCUCUGCAUUGGGUUCUCCCCCUUCUACAUUUACUUGGGGUGGCAUGUGAGUCAAAGCUUCAGGUGCAAGGUCUCCGCCGCUGCUGGGAUGACUCAAAUUCCAUGGCUGAAUGUUAGAAUUAAUGCCAUGAGAUUGAGGAGGUUGUGUCCAGAAUAAAAUGUCCCCAUGUGUGGUCAUGUUUUGAGUAGGAAGAUACUGACUGGGCACAUUCAUCUCAUGCAAUGGAUGAAAGUCUGAUGAACUUGCACCUACAGUGCUUAUGGCAUUAGAGCUCAGGUAUGGCAUGGCAACAAAUGAAGUCUCUCUCCGACCAUCUUGAUUGCUUGCAAUCACAGGCUGACCAUCUUCAUUGCUUGCAAUCACAGGCCAACCAUUGCUUAUGGCAUUAGAGCUCAGGUAUGGCAUGGCAACAAAUGAAGUCUCU
rnacentral:lncRNA from 1 species